rnacentral:lncRNA from 1 species
UUUGAAAAUCAUCAUCCCAUGUUUGUUACUGAAAAUAGAAAACAAGCUUACAAUCACCCUGGAGGAUGGUAAGUUAUGCGGGACCUAGUUGUGAACUUGUGAUUUGCUUAUUCCACUGUUGCAGAGAUGCAGAAGACAUGCCAAAAGGAUCAAUUGACCUUGCACUAGUGACUCAUAUCUGAUCGGACAGAUGCAGCUGCUUAUAAUUGGAACCCUGCAGCAGUCCAGGAAGUUAUGAACUAGCAGUGGACUUACAGUUUUGUAUAGGAUACUCAUUUACCUCUACACGCACCUCUUUUUUUUGUUGUUGUAUCUCAGAAUCUCAUCAAAUGGAUUGCAUGUGGACCUAUAAGGUCUUUUUCGGUGUUAAAUAUUGCAUAAUUCACCAUAUGAUGAUUCGUGUGGUAGGUUUAUUUGUAAUAAACUCGAAGGAAUAAUUGUGAUGGUGUAUAGAACAAAGGACACAAGAUUUAAAUAUAUCCAUGCAGCCAAAUCGUUGUACUCUAUGUCAUGUUGGGGUGAUUGAUGCUUGUAUUGCAUAUAGAUGAGCUGAUGUCGUAAGGUGGUGUCAUGAGUUGUCUUUAUAUGUAUAUUUUAUUAGAUCUCUCAUCUUUCAGGAGGGUCCUCACCUCUCUUUAUGUAUGCAGGGGCUAGAGCUACAAGGCGAUUAUAUAUUAUAGAUCUAAUCUGGCUAUAAUUUACGUAUAAAUCCAUAACCAACUAGAACUUCAUUCUGUAUUUAUGAGGAAUACGUCUUUUUGCACCGCAUGUCUUUCAUAACGUGCGCUGAUGCAAGAGUCGAAUGUUUAGUUUUCAUGUGCUCAAGAAAUCGUAUGUGAUAUAUUUCUCAUGGCCUUUCUAUUUAACCUUGGUUACUAUAUACUGAGAUCACAAUGUUUUUUUCUUUAUUUUCUUUGUUCCGUUUGGUAUAAUAAUAAGGAUACAUGUUCAAUAGUUUCUCACGCCUUCUUGUUUGUUAUAUAUGUACACUAGGCUCGGCCAUUGCAUCGCUUGUAAUCCCAUCUUUGGAUGGAUCAACCUCCCUCUCUUGUUUCUUGACGUCGCUGCGCUUCUUGGGCAAUGGGAGGGAGACACUGACUGGAGGUCAUGCAUGGAUGGAGAUGCAGCCAGCAACGCAUGCACGGGAGAGGCUUGUCUUGAUGCGGCUGUUCUUAGCUGUGUGUAUGGGAGGGAUAAUAAUAAUAGACGGAAACGUAGGAAUUUUUCAUUCGAGCAAAAUUAGAGAUGUUGUAAGUAGGAAUUUUUGUGGACGAACAGCGAACGUAGGAAUGUGCUGCCUCCCCGGAGUCUAACGGUUGGGCUCAACUAAUAAGCAGAGGAGGCAACAACGCUCGCUGGGCCGCGGCCCAUUAACGUAGCACCAGACGGACGCAGCAGCCAGCGCUCGCACACGAAUAAACGACACGGGGGAUGCAGUGCGUUCAGCUUCAUCCGUUUUUAGUUAGUCCCACCUCGCCCAGCCAAAGCAGCACGGAGGCGCGCGCUCGCUACAUAAGGAGACGGAGGCCGACCGUAGAAAUCAUACCUUUCUCGGCCUUUUGGCUAAGAUCAAGUGUAGUAUCUGUUCUUAUCAGUUUAAUAUCUGAUAUGUGGACCAUGUGUUCACUUUGAUAUUAAAUUUAUUUUUUGUGGGGGAGGGCUCGCUACAGUGGCUUGCUACUGGGGCCCUCAAGCGUCGCUCGGCCGUUGCACUAUAGGCUGAGCCUGGCGCGCCCCAACCAAUGCAAUUUCAGCUUUAAGUAUGUCUUUAGACUAUACGAAAUGUAUGGUUCCAUAUCAAUAAAUUUGGUCGUAAGUAAUGAAGAAGCUAAUAUCGCCCAUAUUUAGUCAUCAAGCAGCAUGCCGGUCUAGCAGCAUGUCCCUGUGCUGCCCGGACCUGGUGGAGGCCGCUCUCGCCACGAGCAGGAGAGACCCGCCGGUUCAGGUACAGGCAAACGACAACACCAUGGACGCCUAUGACGGGUCGGGCAGAGAACCAUAACAUCUGAGAGCUUUCGUCUACUGUAUAAAUAAACCAUUAUCAGCUAAAACUCCAUUGAAUCGUCUUAGAUAGGUACUGCUGGAAAAGUGCCAUACCAAUAAAAAAUCAUUGAUAGUUAUAAUGUGUGAGGGUCGAACGUGUCACGGGCGAUAGAAGCAGCAAGCUAAGCUGUCACAAGCUUUUCAUCGAACACCUUGUAUGCAUGAACCAGCGUCGUCUCUGGGCAUGUUCGACAUGAGCGACGGCUCAGGGCCUCUAAAUUAUAUAGGCCUCUAAAUAUAUAGUAGUUAGUACAUACAUAUACAUAGUUAAGCACAACAUCAGCUUUAGUCCAUUAGCACUCACGGCAGCCAUGUAGCCCAAUAAAAAAAUGAUUUGUAGCCUGCUGCUCACGUCGUUUUGUUUCUCCGAUCUAGUUAGUCUGCACCGUCUAGUGUCCACGUCUUCUAAUCCUAUCGUCGCAGCACAGCUCUGAAGUCUGAAGCCUAAACCCUAUCGGCCACCGUCGCUGGCCACAUCGCCAUCGGCCGUCGCGAGCGUUCGCUCCGCGCGGCGAGCGUGAGCCGUGUCCGUGACGAGUCUGAGUUGGAGCCUGAGUCCUGACGCACGACAACAGCAGGAGAGACCCGUCGGUUCAGUACAAGCAAACAACGGCGCAGUCGUCCACCAUGGACGUCGGGUGCUUGCGCCGACCGAUCAGCUGCCUCGCCGCCUAGGACGGGUCGAUCGCCGUUGACACGAGCUUCACCACCUCCUUGUUCGACAGCACGUCCCAAAUCUGCGACAGGUAAAGAGAACCAUAACAUUUGAGAGCUUUCGUCUACUGUAUAAACAAACCAUUAUCAGCUAAAACUCCAUUGAACCGUCUUAGAUAGGUACUGCUAGAAAAGUGCCAUACCAAUCAAAAAUCAUUGAUGUUAUAAUGUGUGAGGGUCGGACGUGCCACGUGCGAUAGAAGUAGCAAGCUUAAGUUGUCACAAGCUUUUCACCGAACACCUUGUAUACAUGAACUAAACAGAAUCAAGUUUCAGAUCAGACAACCACAUGAUGUCCAGCAGACACUAUAUGCACAACAAUUAGCUCACUACACAAUCAAUCCCAUCAUCAGAUCACGAACAUAUCAAAUAACACAUAUAUGCCCCUCAUACCAACAUGACCAUACAUCAACAACUUAAGAUAUGGCUCCAAUAACAAGCAAGAUGAUGAACAAUCAGCACAUAUGACAAGUAAAAUAUCCAAGCAAGCGAAGAUAGAUAUUUACGUGGGAAACUCCUUGCGGAGAGAAAACUCACGGUCGACAAUGAACAAGAACUCUACUAUGGAGAUGAAGAGUACAAGAGGUGGGAGCCAACAGGUGUGGGAAGUCUCAGAUCCCCAAAUCACUCUCUCAAAUAUUUGGAUUUGGUGCCUCUCAAACUCCACUCUCCUUUCUCUAACCCUAGCUCUCUCUUCUCUAGUUUUCCCAAAUGAGCUAGUGCGUUCUGGACAAGCUUCCCACGGAAGACAGCAGCAUACAGGCUACACUUAUUGGGGCUAGUUUGGCCUUUUUGCAGAAGAACUCAUGCUAACCCCAAGUUUUGACACAGCCGACCCCGGUGGGAAAUUGGAGCUCAUGACCCCAAGGGUUGGCUAGAGUUGCCUACCACAUAAUGUAUGUAGGUAAAUAUAAAUUCAGUUAGAGUAGUAAAAUGCUUAUUUAAGGACAUUUUAAACAUGACUAGUGAGAGCACCUAGAGGUGGGGUGAAUAGGUGAUCCUGUAAAAUUCAAACACUAGUGGCCACAAAAUUUAGUUAUGAGUGUUAGUAUGGCUAAAUAACUUGAAGCGAGGUCUUGUGAACACAAAUAAUCACAGAGAGAUCAACACAAGACACGCGAUUUUUAUCCCGUGGUUCGACCAAGUAACACUUGCCUACUUCCACAUUGUGGCGUCCCAAUGGACGAGGGUUGCACUCAACCCCUUUCAAGUGAUCCGAUGAUCAACUUGAAUACAACGGUUUUUCCUUUAGAUGAAUUAUCCCGUUUGCGAGGAAUCUCCACAAGAUUGGAGUCUCUCGCCCUUACAACAAAGAUCACAAUGAAAGCACAGAGUAAGGUUGGGAUGAGCAACACACACAAGACACAAAUCGCAGCACACCCACGCACACAAGAGAAGACUUGAGCUCAAAUGACAAUACAUGGAGUCCUUGACUCGAAUAGAGCUCAAAUCUCUAACACAACGAAACAAAUGUGCAGGAACAAAGUCUAGAUGCCUUAGAAUGCUUAGUGAAUGCUUGUGUAGCUCCUCCAUGCGCCUAGGGGUCCCUUUUAUAGCCCCAAGGCAGCUAGGAGCCGUUGGAGGCCAACAAGGAAGGCUAAACUUGCCUUCUGUCGGGUGGUGUACCGGAUAGUCCGGUGCACCACCGGACAGUCACUGUAGCUGUCCGGUGCGCGAUCUCCUUCCUUUUCUGGCGCACCCGACCGUUGCAGCUUCGGACCUGUUGGCGCACCGGACAGUCCGGUGCCCCCUGCCGACCGUGGUGCGGGCCACGCGUCGCUCGCGGAUUGCGCGGCCGACCGUUGGCUCACCGGACAGUCUGGUGUACCACCGGACAGUCCGGUGAAUUAUAGUUGUACGCCGCCAAACUUUUUCCGAGAACGGCCUGUUCACCGGAGACCAGCCUGGCGCACCCGACACUGUCCGGUGUGCCAGACUGAGCUAAGUUUUGGCUACACCGAGCCAAGUCUUUUUCCUAUUCUUUUCUCCGUGUUUCUAGUACUUAUACAAAAUAUGUUAGUACUCAAAACAAUGUACUAAGUCUAGAAACGUACCUUGUUACAUGAUUUGCACUUCUUGCUUGUUUGGCACAUCAGAACUCAAUUAAAUGUGUUGGACACUUAAUCACCAAAACAUUAUAGAAAUGGCCCAAGGGCACAUUUCCCUUUCAAUCUCCCCCUUUUUGGUGAUUUAUGCCAACACAUCAAAAAGCAACCAAAAUAAGUUCAACAUCAAUGUAAAUGAGGGCUAAAUUGAUUUUGACUCUAAUUUGGCAUAUUUGGAUCAUUCUUUGCCACCACUUGGUUUGUUUUUGCAAAUCAAAUUCAUUUUCCUAUCUCUAAGUCAAACUCACUUGUUUGGGCAUAAAGAGAGAUAAUCCAAGAGUGAAAUUGAUCAAGUGCCAAAAACUCCCCCUUUUUCCAUAAUCAUAAAUUCUCCCCCACAAGAAACAAAAUUUUGCAAUAAGAGUAUUUUGGACAAAUCAAAAGUUCUAACUCUAUUGUUUUCAAAAUUCACAAGUGGUAGCUGAUCCAUUUGCUUUGGCCUUAAUUUCUCCCCCUUUGGCAUUAAGCACCAAAACGAGAUCAUUCUUGGCCCAAUAACCCCAUUGCCUCACCAAAAAUGUCAAUUAAGAGCAAAAAGGCAAUGAGAGCAUAAGUAUGAACUUAGAAGUGAGUACACUAAUACCGGAGUGCAGUGGAAGUCUUUGCAUCGUCCAAGUUCACCUUUGCCUUUCAAUGCACCUUUGAGACUACAUCAAGUAUACUCAAACAAACAGAUUAGUCUCAAAGGGUCGAGUUGUAGCACAUCUCCCCCUAAAUAUGUGCAUCAUUCACACAUGGACUUGUGAGGUCCGGGGAUCCAUUGCACAACUUGAGCACCAUAAAUAAGCAACAAAUCACAUAAAUACAUAAAGUAACAUGAUCAAGGGCAUAUAACACAUGUAUGCUAUAGAUCAAUCCAAGUUACGCGAAUCUAAGACAUUUAGCUCACUACACAACCUACAAAAGGUUUUCUCAUCCAACGGCUUGGUAAAGAUAUCAGCUAGCUAGUUCUCGGUGCUAACAUGGUACACUUCGAUAUCUCCCUUUUGCUGGUGGUCUCUCAGAAAGUGAUGCCAGAUGUCUAUGUGCUUAGUGCGGCUGUGUUCAACAGGAUUAUCCGCCAUGCGAAUUGCACUCUCAUUGUCACAUAGGAGUGGGACUUUGCUCAGAUUGUAGCCAAAGUCCCUGAGGGUUUGUCUCAUCCAAAGUAGUUGCGAGUAACACUGUCCUGCGACAACAUACUCGGCCUCAGCGGUGGAUAGGGCAACGAAUGUCUGUUUCUUGGAACUCCAAGACACCAGGGACCUUCCUAGGAAUUGGCACGUCCCUGAUGUACUCUUUCUAUCAACCUUGCAUCCAGCAUAAUCGGAGUCUGAAUAUCCAAUCAAGUCAAAGGUAGACCCCUUUGGAUACUAGAUCCCGAAGCAAGGCGUAGAAACUAAAUAUCUAAGAAUUCGCUUAACGGCCACAAGGUGACAUUCCCUGGGGUCGGAUUGAUAUCUAGCACACAUGCAUACACUUAGCAUAAUGUCCGGUCUACUAGCACAUAAAUAAAGCAAUUACCCUAUCAUAGAUCGGUAUGCCUUUUGAUCAACAGACUUACCUCCUUUGUUGAGGUCGACAUGCCCAUCGGUUCCCAUUGGUGUCUUUGCGGGCUUGGCAUCCUUCAUCCCAAACCUCUUGAGAAGGUCUUGAGUGUACUUCGUUUGGGAGAGGAAGGUGUCGUCCUUGAGUUGCUUCACUUGGAAGCCGAGGAAGUAGUUCAACUCGCCCAUCAUCGACAUCUCAAACUUUUGAGUCAUCACCCUGCUAAACUCCUCACAAGACUUUUGGUUAGUAGAACCAAAUAUUAUGUCAUCGACAUAAAUUUGGCACACAAAAAGGUCACCAUCACAAGUCUUAGUGAAAAGAGUGGGAUCGACUUUCCCAACCUUGAAAGCAUUAGCAAUUAAGAAAUCUCUAAGGCAUUCAUACCAUGCUCUUGGGGCUUGCUUAAGUCCAUAGAGCGCCUUAGAGAGCUUGAACACAUGGUCGGGGUACCUGUCAUCCUCAAAGCCAGGGGGUUGUUCCACAUACACCUCCUCCUUGAUUGGCCCGUUGAGGAAAGCGCUCUUCACAUCCAUUUGAAACAACCUGAAAGAGUGGUGAGCGGCAUAGGCUAAUAAUAUUCGAAUAGACUCUAGCCUAGCCAUAGGAGCAAAAGUCUCCUCGAAAUCCAAACCUGCGACUUGGGCAUAACCUUUUGCCACAAGUCGAGCCUUGUUUCUUGUCACCACUUCGUGCUCGUCUUGCUUGUUGCGGAACACCCACUUGGUUCCCACAACAUUUUGCUUUGGACGUGGCACCAGGCUCCAAACUUCAUUCCUCUUGAAGUUGUCGAGCUCUUCCUGCAUGUCCAACACCCAGUCUAGAUCCUGCAAGACCUCUUCUACCCUGAAAGGCUCAAUAGAAGAGACAAACGAGUAAUGCUCUAAAAAAUUAGCUAAUCUUGAGCGAGUCGUUACUCCCUUGCUUAUGUCACCCAGAAUCUGAUCGACGGGGUGAUUUCUUUGGAUCGUCACUCGGACUUGAGUUGGAGGGGCCAGUGGUUCUUCUUCCUCCAUAACUUGUUCUUCUUGUGCUCCCCUUGAUCACGUGCCUCUUCUUGAGGAACCUGUCCAUCAUCUCAAGUUGGGGGAUGCACCAUUGUAGAGGAAGAUGGUUGAUCUUGCUCCUGUUGUUCCUGUGGUCGUACCUCUCCUAUCGCCAUCGUGCGCAUUGCGACCGUCGGAACAUCAUCUUCAUCUAUGUCAUCAAGAUCAACUUGCUCUCUUGGAGAGCCAUUAGUAUCAUCAAAUACAACGUCGCUAGAGACUUCAACCAAACCCGAUGAUUUGUUGAAGACCCUAUACACCUUUGUAUUUGAGUCAUACUUUAAUAAAAACCCUUCUACAACUUUGGGAGCAAAUUUGGAAUGUCUACCUUUCUUCACCAAAAUGUAGCAUUUGCUCCCAAAUACACGAAAGUAAGAUACAUUGGGUUUGUUAUCGGUAAGGAGUUCGUAGGAGGUCUUCUUGAGGAGGCGAUGCAGAUAUAGCCGGUUUAUGGCGUGGCAGGCUGUGUUCACAGCUUCCGACCAAAACCGCUCGGGCGUCUUGAACUCUCCAAGCAUCGUCCUCGCCAUGUCGAUAAGCGUCAUGUUCUUCCUCUCUACCACACCGUUUUGUUGUGGUGUGUAGGGAGUGGAGAACUCGUGCUUGACGCCUUCUUCCUCAAGAUACUCCUCCACUUGCGAAUUCUUGAACUCGGACCCAUUGUCGCUUCUUAUCUUUUUCACCUUGGGCUCAAAUUCGUUUUGAGCCCUCUUUAGAAAGUGCUUUAGAGUUCCUUGGGUUUCCGAUUUAUCCUGCAAAAAGAACACCCAAGUGAAGCGGGAAAAAUCAUCAACAAUUACAAGACCAUACUUACUUCCCUGAUGCUAAGGUAGGCAACAGGUCCAAAGAGGUCCAUGUGAAGAAGCUCUAGAGGUCUUGAUGUUGUCAUCACAUUCUUGUUGUGAUGAGUGCUUCCCACCUGUUUUCCUGCCUGAUAAGUUACACAAGGUCUAUCUUUCUCGAAACAUACAUUGGUUAGUCCUAAUACAUGUUCUCCCUUUAGAAGUUUAUGAAGGUUCUUCAUCCCAACAUGUGCUAGACGGCGAUGCCACAGCCAGCCCAUACUAGUCUUAGCUAUUAAGCAUGCAUCUACAUCGACCUCCUCUUUCAAAAAAUCAACUAAGUAGAGUUUGCCGUCUAAUACACCCUUAAAUGCUAAUGAACCAUCACUCCUUCUAAAGACAGAAACAUCAACAUUUGUAAACAAACAAUUGUAGCCCAUGUGGCACAAUUGACUUACAGACAGGAGGUUGUACCCUAAUGACUCUACUAAAAAUACAUUUGAAAUAGAGUGCUCGCUUGUGAUGGCUAUCUUUCCCAAACCUUUGACCUUGCCUUGGUUCCCAUCUCCAAAAAUAAUCGUAUCCUAGGAAUCCUUGUUCUUGACGUAGGAGGUGAACAUCUUCUUCUCCCCCGUCAUGUGGUUUGUGCAUUCGCUGUCGAUUAUCCAGCUAGAUCCCCCGGAUGCAUAAACCUGUAAGGCAAUUUAAGCUUGGGUUUUAGGUACCCAACUCUUGUUGGGUCCUACAAGGAUAGUGAAAGGAAAAUAGGGUCAAACCUUUUCCUAAAUGAUUUUGGUGGUUGAAUUGCCCAACACAAAUUAUUGGACUAACUAGUUUGCUCUAGAAUAUAUGUUCCACAGGUGCCAAAGGUUCACAACAAACCAAUACAAAGUUAUAAGAAUGGGUUUAAAUGAAAGGAGCAAAGAAAACCGAAGGCUGCCCUGGUCUGGCGCACCUGAUUGUCCGGUGCACCACCAGACAAUGUCCGGUGCACCAGGGUGGAUCAACUCCAACUUGCUAGCUUUGGGUUUUCGGGGAGCCACUCCGCUAUAAUUCACCGGACUUUCCGGUGUAGCACCGGACUGUCUGGUGUGCCAAGCGGAGCAACGGUCGUCAGCGCAACGGUCGAGUUCAACGGUCGGCUGACAACGCUACAGUGCACGGACUGCGCGUGCAAAGUCAGAGCAGGCGCCAGAAGGUGCACCGGACAGUGAACAGUGACUGUCCGGUGGCCCCACUUGUCAGAGCUCCAACGGUCGAACCCUAACGGUUGGGUGACGUGGCUGGCGCACCGGACAGUGUCCGGUGGCACACCGGACUGUCCGAUGCGCCCAUCGACAGCAGCCUUCCCAACGACCACUUUGGUGGUUGGGGCUAUAAAUACCUCCAACCACCACACUUCAAGGCAUCCAAGUUUUCAACCAACACAUUCAAUACAAGAGCUAGUGCAUUCAAUACAAGACACAAUUAGAGUGAAUCAAUAUCUCUCCAAGUCCCAAUUCCACUCAAAACAAUAGUGACUAGAAAAGAGAGUUUUGUCGUGUUCUUUUGAGCUCUUGCGCUUGGAUCACUUUUCUUCUUCCUCUAUUCUUGUUUCCAAGUUCUUUGUAAUCAAAACAAGAGACACCAAUUGUGUGGUGGUCCUUGUGGGGACUAAGUGUCCCAAUUGAUUGAGGAGAAAAGCUCACUCGGUCUAAGUGACCGUUUGAGAGAGGGAAAGGGUUGAAAGAGACCCGGUCUUUGUGACCACCUCAACGGGGAGUAGGUUUGCAAGAACCGAACCUCGGUAAAACAAAACAUCGUGUCACUCACGCUAUUUUCUUGUGAUUUGUUUUUCGCCCUCUCUCUCGGACUCGAUUAUAUUUCUAAUGCUAACCCCGACUUGUAGUUGUGCUUAAACUUUAUAAAUUUCAGAUUUGUCUAUUCACCCCCUCUAGGCGACUUUCAGUUAGUCACAAUAGCCUUUGGAACCCAAAUACAAGUCUUGUCUCCCUUGCAUUUGGAUCCCAACUUUCUAGCAACUACUUUCUCAUUCUUACAUAAAAGCGCAAAUGAAGUAUUGCAAGCAUGGUAAAUGGUAGUAGAUUCAUUACACACUUUCCUAGGUACAUGAUGCACAACAUGAUUUCUCCUAGGCCUACUUCUACCAUGAACAAAAGUAGAACUAGAGGCAAACAUAGCAUGUGAAUCAAAAGCAUCAUGAUCAUAACUCCUAUUAUAAUUGGAAUGACUAGCAAUUUUCUCAUUAUAGAUAAAGGCAUGGUUCCUUUGAGGACUACUAACCAUAGGGGCCUUUCCUUUCUCCUUGUUGAGAAUGGGAGCCCUAUGGCUUGUUAAGUUCUUAGCUUCCCUUUGAAAACCAAGCCCAUUCUUAAUUUCGGGGUGUCUACCAACGGUGUAGGCAUCCCUAGCAAAUUUUAAUUUGUCAAAAUCAAUUUUGCAAGUCUUAAGUUGAGCAUUAAGUCUUGCCACCUCAUCAUUUAAUUUAGCAAUACAAUUAAGAUGUUUAUCACAGGCAUCAACAUCAAAGUCCUUACAUCUAUUACAAAUAAUGACAUGCUCAACACAUGAACUAGUUUUGGCUUCCUCUAGCUUAGUAUUUAAUUCAUCAUUUAAACUCUUUAAACUAGAAAUAGAUUCAUGGCAAAUAGAUAACUCCGAGGAAAGCAUUUCAUUUCUUUUAAUCUCUAAAGCAAGAGAUUUUUGCACACUAACAAAUUUGUCAUGCUCCUCAUAUAAAAUAUCCUCUUGUUUUUCUAACAAUCUAUCCUUUUCAUUUAGAGCAUCAAUUAAUUCAUUAAUUUUUUCUACCUUAGCUCUAUCUAAACCUUUGAAUAAGCUAGAGUAAUCUACUUCAUCAUCAUAAGAUUCUUCAUCACUAGAAGAACAAUACUUAGGUGUAUCUCGAAUACUUACUUUCUUCUCCUUGGCCAUGAGACACGUAUGUGAGAGCACCUAGAGGGGGGUGAAUAGGUGAUCCUGUAAAAACUUGAAACUUAAUGCCACAAACUUGAUUAGGUGUCAGAGCAAUAAAGCCAAGUGGCUAGAGAGGAGUUCUUGCGAAACACAAUAACCACAAAAGAUCAACACAGAGAGGCACAGUGGUUUAUCCCGUGGUUCGGCCAAGUCCAACACUUGCCUACUCCACGUUGUGGCGUCCCAACGGACGAGGGUUGCACUCAACCCCUUUCAAGUGGUCCAAAGACCAACUUGAAUACCACAGUAUUUCUCUUCUUUUCACUAUAUCCCGUUUGCGAGGAAUCUCCACAACUUGGAGUCUCUCGCCCUUACAAAAGAUGAUCACAAAUGAACACGAAAGUAAGGAUGGGAUGAGCAACACACACAAGUCCACAUCAAUACGCACACACACACGGUCAAGACUUGAGCUCAAAUGAAUAUCUCAAAGUUCUCACUAGAACGGAGCUCAAAUCACUAAGAAUGUCAAACGAGUGCGCAAGAACGAAGUGUGAAUGAUCAAGAAUGCUCAAAGUGUGCUUGGGUGCUUCCUCCAUGCGCCUAGGGGUCCCUUUUAUAGCCCCAAGGCAGCUAGGAGCCGUUGAGAGCAUUCCAGGAAGGCAAUUCUUGCCUUCUGUCGACUGGCGCACCGGACAGUCCGGUGCACCACCAGACACUGUCCGGUGCGGAUUUCUUUCCUAUUUUGGCGCAGCCGACCGUUGGCGAUUUGGAGCCGUUGGCGCACCGGACACUGUCCGGUGCCCCCUUCAGACCGUUGGCUCGGCCACGCGUCACGCGCGGAUUGCGCAGCCGACUGUUGGCUCGGCCGACUGUUGGCUCACCGGACAGUCCGGUGCACACCGGACAGUCCGGUGAAUUUUAGCCGUACGCCGCCACCGAAUUCCCGAGAGCGACCUUUUCACCAGAGCCAGCCUGGCGCACCGGACACUGUCCGGUGCACCACCAGACACUGUCUGGUGCACCACCGGACAGUCCGGUGCACCCAGACUGAGCAGAGUCUUGGCUGCUCGAGCCAAGUCUUUUCCAUUUGUCUUUUCUCUGAUUCUAGCACUUAGACAAAUAUGUUAGUACACAAAAACCAAUUUACUAAGUCUAGAAUCAUACCUUUGUAUUGAUUUGCACUUUGUCUAUCAUUUGGCAUAUACUCAUUCUCUUAAUGUGUGUUGGUCACUUAAUCACCAAAAUCUUAUAGAAAUGGCCCAAGGGCACAUUUCCCUUUCAAUCUCCCCCUUUUUGGUGAUUUAUGCCAACACAACAAAAAGCAACUAAAAGAAGUGCAACAUCAAUGCAAAUGAGUACACAAAUUUGUUUUGAUUCAAAUUUGGCAUAUUUGGAUCAUUCUUUGCCACCACUUGGUUUGUUUUUGCAAAUCAAACUCAAUUUCCUAUCUCUAAGUCAAAUUCACUUGUUGAGUCAUAGAGAAAGAUAUUCCAAGAGAAAUUGAUCACUGAUUCAAAAACUCCCCCUAUUUCCCAUAAUCAGACAUUCUCCCCACAAGAGACCAACUUUUGACAAAAAGAGACAUUUAGAAUUUUGACAAAUCAAAAGUCCUAACUCUACUAUUUUCAAAAUUCUCAAGUGGUAGCUGAUCCAUUUGUUGCUUUGGCCUUAUUUUCUCCCCCUUUGGCAUAAAGCACCAAAACGGGAUCAAUCUUGGCCCUUUGAACCCCAUUGCCUCACCAAAAUUGUCAAUUAAGAGCAAAAGGCAAUAAGAGACAUGGAGAUGAACUUGGAGUAAGUUACCCUCUUAUCGGAGUGCAGUGGAAGUCUUUCAUGGUCCAAGUCCACCUUUCCCUUUCAAUCCACCUUUGAGACUAAUUUAAGAACACUCAAGCACAUGGUUAGUCUCAAAGGAUCAAGUUGUAGCACAACUCCCCCUGAAUAUGUGCAUCACUUGCAGAUGGACUUGUGAGGUCCUGGGAGUGCUUGUACAACUUGAGCAUCAUAAAUAAACAACAAAAUGCAUAAAGAACAUGAUCAAGGCAUAAAACACAUGUAUGCUAUAAAUCAAUCCAAGUUCCGCGAAUCUAAGACAUUUAGCUCACUACGCAGCCUGCAAAAGGUCUUCUCAUCUAGAGGCUUGGUAAAGAUAUCGGCUAGCUGGUUCUCGGUGCUAACAUAAAACACUUCGAUAUCUCCCUUUUGCUGGUGGUCUCUCAAAAAGUGAUGCUGGAUGUCUAUGUGCUUUGCGCGACUGUGUUCAACAGGAUUAUCCGCCAUGCGGAUAGCACUCUCGUUAUCACAUAGGAGUGGGACUUUGCUCAGAUUGUAGCCAAAGUCCCGGAGGGUUUGCCUCAUCCAAAGUAGUUGCGCGCAACACUGUCCUGCGGCAACAUACUCGGCCUCAGCGGUGGAUAGGGCAACGGAAGUUUGUUUCUUAGAACUCCAGGACACCAGGGACCUUUCUAAGAAUUGGCACGUCCCUGAUGUACUCUUCCUAUCGACCUUGCAUCCAGCAUAAUCAGAGUCUGAAUAUCCAAUUAAGUCAAAGGUAGACCCCUUUGGAUACCAGAUCCCGAAGCAAGGCGUAGCAACUAAAUAUCUAAGAAUUUGCUUCACAGCCACUAAGUGACACUCCCUUGGAUCGAAUUGAAAUCUAGCACACAUGCAUACACUAAGCAUAAUAUCUGGUCUACUAGCACAUAAGUAAAGCAAGGAACCUAUCAUAGACCGGUAUGCUUUUUGAUCAACGAACUUACCUCCUUUGUUGAGGUCGACGUGUCCGUCAGUUCCCAUUGGAGUCUUUGCGGGCUUGGCGUCCUUCAUCCCAAACCGCUUGAUCAAGUCUUGCGUGUACUUCGUUUGGGAGAUGAAAGUGCCGUCCUUGAGUUGCUUCACUUGGAACCCAAGGAAGUAGUUCAACUCGCCCAUCAUUGACAUCUCAAACUUUUGAGUCAUCACCCUGCUAAACUCUUGACAAGACUUUUGGUUAGUAGAACCAAAUAUUAUGUCAUCGACAUAAAUUUGGCACACAAAUAGGUCACCAUCACAUGUCUUAGUAAAAAGAGUUGGAUCAGCUUUCCCAACCUUGAAAGCAUUAGCAAUUAAAAAGUCUCUAAGGCAUUCAUACCAUGCUCUUAGGGCUUGCUUAAGUCCAUAGAGCGCCUUAGAGAGCUUACACAUGUGGUCGGGGUACCGUUCAUCCUUAAAGCCAGGGGGUUGCUCUACGUACACCUCCUCCUUGAUUGGCUCAUUGAGGAAAGCGCUCUUCACAUCCAUUUGGAACAACCUGAAAGAAUGGUGAGCGGCACAGACUAAUAAUAUUCGAAUUGACUCUAGCCUAGCCACAGGAGCAAAAGUCUCCUCAAAGUCCAAACCUGCGACUUGGGCAUAACCUUUUGCCACAAGUCGUGCCUUGUUCCUUGUCACCACCCCGUGCUCAUCCUGUUUGUUGCGGAAAACCCACUUGGUUCCCACAACGUUUUGCUUGGGACGUGGCACCAGUGUCUAAACUUCAUUUCUCUUGAAAUUGUUGAGCUCCUCCUGCAUGGCCAACACCCAGUCCGGAUCUAGCAAGGCUUCUUCUACCCUGAAAGGUUCAAUAGAAGAGACAAAAGAGUAAUGCUCACAAAAAUUAACUAAUCUAGAGCGAGUAGUUACUCCUUUGCUAAUAUCACCCAAUAUCUGGUCGACGGGAUGAUUCCUUUGAAUCGUCGCUCGAACUUGAGUUGGAGGGACUUGAGGUGCUUCUUCCUCCAUAACAUGAUCAUCUUGUGCUCCCCCUUGAUCACACGCCUCUUAUUGAUGAACCUGUUCAUCAUCUUGAGUUGGAGUUUGCACCAUUGUUGAGGAAGAAGGUUGAUCCUGCUCCGUUUGUUCCUGUGGUCGCACAUCUCCAAUUGCCAUGGUGCGUAUGGCGGCCGUUGGAACAUCUUCUUCAUCUAUAUCAUCAAGAUCAACAACUUGCUCUCUUGAAGAGCCAUUAGUCUCAUCAAAUACAACGUCGCUAGAGACUUCAACCAAACCCGAUGAUUUGUUGCAGACCCUAUACGCCUUUGUAUUUGAGUCAUAACCUAACAAAAACCCUUCUACAGCUUUGGGAGCAAACUUAGAAUUUCUACCUUUUUCACUAGAAUAUAACAUUUGCUCCCAAAUACACGAAAGUAUGAAACGUUGGGUUUGUUACCGGUUAGAAGCUCAUACAAAGUCUUCUUGAGGAGGCGAUGAAGAUAGACCCGGUUUAUGGCGUGGCAAGCCGUGUUCACGGCUUCCGACCAAAACCGUUCGGACGUCUUGAACUCUCCAAGCAUCGUCCUCGCCAUGUCGAUGAGCGUCCUGUUCUUCCUCUCUACCACACCGUUUUGCUGUGGUGUGUAGGGAGCGGAGAACUCAUGCUUGAUUCCUUCCUCCUCAAGAUAAUCCUCCACUUGUAGGUUCUUGAACUCAGACCCAUUGUCGCUCCUUAUCUUCUUUACCUUGAGCUCAAACUCAUUUUGAGCUCUCCUUAGGAAGCGCUUGAGGGUCCCUUGGGUUUCAGAUUUAUCCUGCAAAAAGAAUACCCAAGUGAAGCGGGAAAAAUCAUCAACAAUUACUAAACCAUACUUACUUCCCCCGAUGCUAAGAUAGGCGACGGGUCCAAAGAGGUCCAUAUGUAGCAGCUCCAGGGGUCUUGAUGUGGUCAUCACGUUCUUGCUGUGAUGAGCAUUUCCCACUUGUUUACCUGCUUGACAAGCUGCACAAGGUCUAUCUUUUUCGAAAGUCACAUUUGUUAGACCUAACACAUGUUCUCCCUUUAGAAGUUUGUGAAGGUUCUUCAUCCCCACAUGUGCUAAACGGUGAUGCCACAGCCAGCCCAUGCUAGUCUUAGCUAUUAAGCAUGCAUCUAGACCGGCCUCCUCUUUUGCAAAAUCAACUAAAUAAAGUUUGCCGUCUAGUACACCCUUAAAAGCUAAUGAACCAUCACUUCUUCUAAGACAGACACAUCUACAUUUGUGAAUAGGCAAUUAUAUCCCAUAUUACAAAGUUGACUAACGGACAACACGUUAUAACCGAGCGACUCAACUAAAAACACAUUAGAAAUGGAGUGCUCGGAAGAAAUAGCAAUCUUUCCUAACCCUUUAACCUUGCCUUGAUUCCCGUCACCGAAUAUGAUUGAAUCUUGGGAAUCUUUGUUCUUGACGUAGGAGGUGAACAUCUUCUUCUCUCCCAUCAUGUGGUUUGUGCAUCCGCUGUCGAUAAUCUAGCUUGAGCCCCCGGAUGCAUAAACCUGCAAGGCAAUUUAGGCUUGGGUCUUAGGUACCCAACUCUUGUUGGGUCCUACAAGGUUAGUAACAAUGGUCUUAGGGACCCAAAUGCAAGUUUUAUCUCCCUUGCAUUUUGCCCUAGUUUCCUAGCAAUCACCUUCUUAUCCUUUCUACAAAUUGCAAAUGAAGCAUUGCAAGCAUGAUAGAUUGUAGAAGGUUCAUUAACUAUUUUCCUAGGAACAUGAGCAACAUUUGUCCUAGGCAUAUGAUGAAUGACAUUUUUCCUAGGCAUAUCUCUACUCUACACAUAGGGAGAAUUUGAAGCAAACAUGGCAUUAGAAUCAUAAGCAUUACAACUCCUAUCAUGAUGAACAUUUCUAGAAUAUCUCCUAUCAUGGUACAUGAAAGCAUGGUUCUUUUGAGCACUAUUUGUCAUAGGAGCCUUCCCUUUCUCCUUGGCGGGAAUGGGAGCCUUAUGACUUGUUAAGUUUUUGGCUUCUCUCUUAAAGCCAAGCCCAUCCUUAAUUGAGGGGUGUCUACCAAUCAUGUAGGCAUCCCUUGCAAAUUUUAGUUUAUCAAAUUCACUUUUGCUAGUCUUAAGUUGGGCAUUAAGAAUAGCCACUUCACCAUUUAAUUUUGCAAUAGAGGUAAGGUGCUCAACACAAGCAUCAAUAUUAAAGUCCUUACACCUAUUACAAAUUACUACAUGUUCUACACAAGAGUUAGAUUUGUUAACCACUUCUAGCUUAGCAUUUAAAUCAUCAUUGAUACUUUUUAAGCUAGAGAUGGAUUCAUGGCAUGUAGACAAUUCACAUGAAAGCAUUUCAUUUCUUUUAAUUUCUAAAGCAAGAGAAUUUUGCGCACUUACAAAUUUAUCAUGCUCUUCAUAUAAAAUAUCUUCUUGCUUUUCUAAAAGUCUAUUCUUUUCAUUCAAAGCAUCAAUCAAUUCAUUGAUCUUAUCAAUUUUAGUUCUAUCUAAUCCUUUGAAUAAACAUGCAUAGUCUAUUUCAUCAUCACUAGAUUCAUUAUCACUUGAAGAAGCAUAAGUAAUAGUACUUCUAGUAUUUACCUUCUUCUCCUUUGCCAUUAGGCAUGUGUGAUGCUCGUUGGGGAAGAGGGACGACUUGUUGAAGGCCGAGGCGGCGAGUCCUUCAUUUUCGGAGUCGGAUGAUGAACAAUCCAAGUCCCAUUCCUUGCCAAGGUGUGCCUCGCCCUUAGCCUUCUUGUAGUCCUUUUUCUUUUCCCUCUUCUUUCCUUGAUCCUGGUCACUGUCUUUAUCGGGACAAUUAGCAAUAAAAUGACCAACCAUACCACACUUGAAGCAGGAGCGCUUUCCCUUCGUCUUGCUUUUGUUGGGAUGCUCCUUGCGACCUUUGAGCGUCGUCUUGAAGCGCUUGAUGAUGAGGGCCAUUUCAUCCUCGUUUAGCCCGGCCGCCUCAAUUUGCGCCACCUUGCUAGGUAUCGUCUCCCUGCUACUUGUUGCCUUGAGAGCAAUGGCUUGAGGCUCAUGGAUUGGGCCAUUUAGCGCCUCAUCAACAUAUCUUGCCUCCUUGAUCAUCAUUCGCCCGCUCACAAACUUCCCAAGUAUUUCUUCGGGCGUCAUCUUGAUGUACCUAGGAUUCUCACGAAUAGAAUUAACAAGAUUAGGAUCAAGGACGGUGAAGGACCUUAGCAUAAGUCGGACGACGUCGUGGUCUGUCCAUCGCGUGCUUCCAUAGCUCCUUAUUUUGUUGACGAGGGUCUUGAGCCUGUUGUACGUUUGGGUUGGCUCCUCCCCCCUGAUCAUUGCGAACCUUCCUAGUUCGCCUUCCACCAACUCCAUCUUGGUGAGCAUGGUAACGUCGUUCCCCUCAUGUGAGAUCUUGAUGUGUCCCAGAUCUGCUUGGCAUUGUCCAAGCCGCUCACUUUAUUGUACUCUUCCCUGCACAAGGAUGCUAAGAGAACAGUAGUAGCUUGUGCAUUUUUAUGGAUUUGUUCAUUGAUAAACAUGGAGUUAUCAGAACUAUCAAACUGCAUCCCAUUUUCUACUAUCUCCCAUAUACUUGGAUGAAGAGAAAACAAGUGGCUACACAUUUUGUGACUCCAAAAUCCGUAGUCCUCUCCAUCGAAGUGUGGGGGUUUACCAAGUGGAAUGGAAAGCAAAUGAGCAUUUGAAUUAUGCGGAAUACGAGAGUAAUCAAAAGAAAAGUUCGAGUUAACCAUUUUCUUUUUCUCCUCGUAUUCUUUGUCCUUUUGAGAAGAGGAAGAUUCGUCGCUGUCGUAGUAGACAACCUUCCUGAUGCGCCUCUUCUUCUUUCCAUCUUUCUUCUUUUGAAUUGAGCUAGAGUCAUUGACUUUGUUGUCCCUUGGCUCGUUGAAGAUGGACUCCUUCUCAUUGUCGUUGACCACCAUCCCCUUUCCCUUAGGAUCCAUCUCUUCGGGCAAUUAGUCCCUUUCUCGAAGAGAACGGCUCCGAUACCAAUUGAGAGCACCUAGAGGGGGGUGAAUAGGUGAUCCUGUAAAAACUUGAAACUUAAUGCCACAAACUUGAUUAGGUGUUAGAGCAAUAAAGCCAAGUGGCUAGAGAGGAGUUCUUGCGAAACACAAUAACCACAAAAGAUCAACACAGAGAGGCACAGUGGUUUAUCCCGUGGUUUGGCCAAGUCCAACACUUGCCUACUCCACGUUGUGGCGUCCCAACGGACGAGGGUUGCACUCAACCCCUUUCAAGUGGUCCAAAGACCAACUUGAAUACCACAGUAUUUCUCUUCUUUUCACUAUAUCCUGUUUGCGAGGAAUCUCCACAACUUGGAAUCUCUCGCCCUUACAAAAGAUGAUCACAAAUGAACACAGAAGUAAGGAUGGGAUGAGCAACACACACAAGUCCACAGCAAUACGCACACACACACGGUCAUGACUUGAGCUCAAAUGAAUAUCUCAAAGUUCUCACUAGAACGGAGCUCAAAUCACUAAGAAUGUCAAACGAGUGCGCAAGAACGAAGUGUGAAUGAUCAAGAAUGCUCAAAGUGUGCUUGGGUGCUUCCUCCAUGCGCCUAGGGGUCCCUUUUAUAGCCCCAAGGCAGCUAGGAGCCGUUGAGAGCAUUCCAGGAAGGCAAUUCUUGCCUUCUGUCGACUGGCGCACCGGACAGUCUGGUGCACCACCGGACACUGUCUGGUGCGGAUUUCUUUCCUAUUUUGGCGCAGCCGACCGUUGGCGAUUUGGAGCCGUUGGCGCACCGGACACUGUCCGGUGCACACCGGACAGUCCGGUGCCCCCUUCAGACCGUUGGCUCGGCCACGCGUCAUGCGCGGAUUGCGCGGCCGACCGUUGGCUCGGCCGACCGUUGGCUCACCGGACAGUCCGGUGAAUUUUAGUCGUAUGUCGCCGACGAAUUCCCAAGAGCGGCCUUUUCACCAGAGCCAGCCUGGCGCACCGGACACUGUCUGGUGCACCACUGGACAGUCCGGUGCACCCAGACUGAGCAGAGUCUUGGCUGCUCGAGCCAAGUCUUUUCCAUUUGUCUUUUCUCUGAUUCUAGCACUUAGACAAAUAUGUUAGUACACAAAAACCAAUGUACUAAGUCUAGAAUCAUACCUUUGUAUUGAUUUGCACUUUGUCCAUCCUUUGGCAUAUACUCAUUCUCUUAAUGUGUGUUGGUCACUUAAUCACCAAAAUCUUAUAGAAAUGGCCCAAGGGCACAUUUCCCUUUCAGUAUGGCGUUCGUCGGGGAAGAGUGAAUACUUGUCGAAGGAUGAGGCGGCCAGUCCCUCAUCGUCGGAGUCGGAUGAAGAGCAGUCAGAGUCUCACUCCUUUCCAAGGUGCGCCUCGCCCUUCGCCUUCUUGUAGUUCUUUUUCUUCUUCUUCCCAUGUCUUUCUUGUGCCUGGUCUUUCUCAUUAUCGGGACAUUGAGCAAUAAAGUGACAAGUCUUACCGCAUUUGAAGCAGGAGCGCUUUCCCCUUGUUUUGUUCUUGUUGGGGUACUCCUUGUGUCCUUUAAGUGCGAUCUUGAAGCGCUUGAUGAUAAGCGCCAUCUCAUCCUCGUUGAGGCCAGCAGCCUCCACUUGAGGUACCUUGCUUGGUAGCGCCUCCUUGCUGCUUGUUGCUUUGAGAGCAACAGGCUGCGGCUCGUAGAUGGGUAGUGGACCGUUCAAGGCAUCAUCCAUGUAUCGUGCCUCCUUUACCAUCAUGCGCCCGCUCACGAAUUUUCCGAGGAUCUCCUCGGGCAUCAUCUUGGUGUACCUGGGGUUUUCACGAAUGAGGUUGACAAGAUGGGGGUCAAUUACAGUAAAUGACCUUAGCAUGAGUCGGACGACAUCAUGAUCCGUCCAUCUUGUGCUUCCAUAGCUUCGUAUUUUGUUGACCAGGGUCUUGAGCCUGUUGUAGGUUUGCGUUGGCUCCUCUCCCCUGAUCAUCGCAAAUCUCCCCAGCUCGCCUUCCACCAACUCCAUUUUGGUGACCAUGGUGGCGUCGUUUCCCUCAUGAGAUAUCUUGAGGGUGUCCCAGAUUUGCUUGGCGUUGUCCAAGCCGCUCACCUUGUUGUAUUCAUCCCUGCACAAAGAUGCUAGCAAAACAGUGGUAGCUUGUGCAUUCUUAUGAAUUUGUUCAUUUAUCAUCACAGGGUUAUCCGUACUAUCGAAAUGCAUUCCAUUUUCCACUAUUUCCCAAAUGCUAGGAUGGAGAGAAAAUAGAUGACUACGCAUUUUAUGACUCCAAAAUGAGUAGUCCUCUCCAUCAAAGUGUGGAGGUUUUCCUAGUGGAAUAGAAAGUAAAUGUGCAUUUGAAUUGUAUGGCAUGUGAGAAAAUAGUCAAAAGAGUAAUUUUGAUUAACCGUCUUUUUCUUUGACGAAGAGUCGUCAUCGUCGUCGUGUGGUGAAGAGGACGAGGCAUCACUGUCGUAGUAGAUGAUCUUCUUGAUGCACCUCUUCUUCUUCCCUUCUCUUUUCUUGUGACUCGAGCCUGAGUCGGUUGGCUUGUCGUCUCUAGGCUCGUUGAGGAAGGACUCCUUUUCCUUGUCAUUGACCACCAUCCUCUUUCCCUUAGGAUCCAUCUCUUCUGGCGAUUAGUCCCUUAAAUGAAGAGUACAACUCUGAUACCAAUUGAGAGCACCUAGAGGGGGGGGGGUGAAUAGGUGAUCCUGUAAAAUUCAAGCACUAGUAGCCACAAAACUUAGUUAUGAGUGUUAGUAUGGCUAAAUAACUUGAAGCGAGGUCUUGUGAACACAAAUAAUCACAGAGAGAUCAACACAAGACACGCGAUUUUUAUCCCUUGGUUCGACCAAGUAACACUUGCCUACUUCCACGUUGUGGCGUCCCAAUGGACGAGGGUUGCACUCAACCCCUUUCAAGUGAUCCGAUGAUCAACUUGAAUACCACGAUUUUUCCUUUAGAUGAUUAUUCCCGUUUGCGAGGAAUCUCCACAAGAUUGGAGUCUCUCGCCCUUACAACAAAGAUCAUAAUGAAAGCACGAAGUAAGGUUGGGAUGAGCAACACACACAAGACACAAAUCGCAACACACCCACGCACACAAGAGAAGACUUGAGCUCAAAUGACAACACAGGGAGUCCUUGACUCGAAUAGAGCUCAAAUCUCUAACACAACGAAACGAAUGCGCGGGAACAAAGUCUGGAUGCCUUAGGAUGCUUAGUGAAAGGGAAAUAGGCUUACACCUUUUCCUAUAUGAAUUUUGGUGGUUGAAUUGCCCAACACAAAUAAUUGGACUAACUAGUUUGCUCUAGAUUACAAGUUUUACAGGUGCCAAAGGUUCACAACAAACCAAUAAAAAGACCAAGAAAGGGUUCAAAUAAAAAGAUCAAAAGACUACCAAAGUGUGCCCUGGUCUGGCGCACCGGACAGUGUCCGGUGCACCAGGGAACCCGACUCCAAACUUGCCACCUUCGGGAAUUCUGGGGGCCGCUCCGCUAUAAUUCACCGGACUGUCCGGUGUAACACCGGACUGUCCGGUGUGCCAGCGGAGCAACGACUACAUCGCGCCAACGGUCGUCUGCAAAGAGCAGUUAAUGCGCUACAGUGCACGCAGAAGUCAGAGCAGAGCCAGAAGGCGCACCGGACAGUGAACAGUGACUGUCCGGUGCACCACCGGACUGUCCGGUGGCCCAGAAGUCAGAAGCUCCAACAGUCAGAACCCAACGGCCGGGUGACGUGGCUGGCGCACCGGACUGUCCGGUGCGCCAUGCGACAUCAGCCUCCACCAAACGGCUAGUUUGGUGGUUGGGGCUAUAAAUACCCCCAACCACCAACCAUUCAUUGCAUCCAAGUUUUCAGCCUUCAAACACCUUACAAGAGCUAUAACAUUCAAUACAAGACACAAUCAAAGAGAUCAAAUCCUCUCCCAAGUCCAAAGAUCAUUCCAAUCAAAUAGUGACUAGUGAGAGAGAGACUUGUGUUUAUUUGAGCUCUUGCACUUGGAUUGCUUUUCUUCUUCAUUUUUUCUUGAUUCCAACUCAAUUGUAACCAAGACAAGAGACACCAAUUGUGUGGUGGUCCUUGUGGGGACUUAGUGUCCCGUUUGAUUGAGAAGAGAAGCUCACUCGGUCUAAGUGACCGUUUGAGAGAGGGAAAGGGUUGAAAGAGACCUGGUCUUUGUGACCACCUCAACGGGGAGUAGGUUUGCAAGAACCAAACCUCGGUAAAACAAAUCACCGUGUCAUCCGCUUUAUUUGCUUAUGAUUUGUUUUCGCCCUCUCUUUCGGACUCGUUUAUAUUUCUAACGCUAACCCCGGCUUGUAGUUGUGCUUAAAGUUUGUAAAUUUUAGAUUCGCCCUAUUCACCCCCACUCUAGGCGACUUACACAGAGCCGGUACUUCAUUAGAGCCUAACCGCUCGAAGUGAUGUCGGGAACACGCCAAGAAGGAGAUGGUGACCGGCGAGAAGCCCGCCACAAGCCAUGGGAAGGCUCGAUCCGAGGAGUCCGGCAACAAGGUGAAGGGAUCCCCUUCACGUGACAAGUCGCGUCAGAGCGGCGAGAAGAAAAAGAAGAUGAAGAAAGUGGUCUACUACGAGACCGACUCUUCAUCGCCAUCCACCUCCGGCUCCGACACGCCGUCCGUCACUUCUAAGCGCCAUGAGCGCAAUAAGUUUAGUAAGAUCCCCCUACGCUACUCUCGCAUUUCAAAACAUACUCCAUUACUUUCGGUCCCAUUAGGCAAACCACCGACGUUUGACGGUGAAGAUUAUUCUAGGUGGAGUGAUAUGAUGAGAUAUCACCUAACCUCACUGAAAGGGAAAUAGGCUUACACCUUUCCCUAAUUAAUUUUGGUGGUUGAAUUGCCCAACACAAAUAAUUGGACUAACUAGUUUGCUCUAGAUUAUGAGUUCUACAGGUACCGAAGGUUCACAACAAACCAAUAAAAAUACCAAGAAAGGGUUCAAACAAAGAGAGCAAAAGACAACCGAAGUGUGCCCUGGUCUGGCGCACCGGACUGUCCGGUGUGCCACCAGACAGUGUCCGGUGCACCAGGGAACCCAACUCCAAACUGCUCACCUUCGGGAAUUCUGGGAGCCGCUCCGCUAUAAUUCACCGGACUGUCCGGUGUGCCAGCGGAGCAACGACUACUUCGCGCCAACGGUCGUCUGCAGAGAGCAGUUAAUGCGCUACAGUGCGCGCAGAAGUCAGAGCAGAGGCAGAAGGCGCACCGGACAGUCUACAGGACCUGUCCGGUGGCCCAGAAGUCAUAAGCUCCAACGGUCAGAAUCCAACGGCCGGGUGACGUGGCUGGCGCACCGGACUGUCCGGUGCGCCAUGCGACAACAGCCUCCACCAACGGUUUUUUUGGUGGUUGGGGCUAUAAAUACCCCCAACCACCCACCAUUCAUUGCAUCCAAGUUUUCAGCCUUCAAACACCUUAUAAGAGCUAUAGCAUUCAAUACAAGACACAAUCAAAGAGAUCAAAUCCUCUCUCAAGUCCAAAGAUCAUUCCAAUCAAAUAGUGACUAGUGAGAGAGAGACUUGUGUUCAUUUGAGCUCUUGCGCUUGGAUUGCUUUUCUUCUUCAUUCUUUCUUGAUCCCAACUCAAUUGUAACCAAGACAAGAGACACCAAUUGUGUGGUGGUCCUUGUGGGGACUCAGUGUCCCAUUUGAUUGAGAAGAGAAGCUCACUCGGUCUAAGUGACCGUUUGAGAGAGGGAAAGGGUUGAAAGAGACCUGAUCUUUGUGACCACCUCAACGGGGAGUAGGUUUGCAAGAACCGAACCUCAGUAAAACAAAUCACCAUGUCAUCCGCCUUAUUCGCUUGUGAUUUGUUUUCGCCCUCUCUUUCGGACUCGCUUUUAUUUCUAACGCUAACCCCGGCUUGUAGUUGUGCUUAAAGUUUGUAAAUUUCAGAUUCGCCCUAUUCACCCCCCCUCUAGGCGACUUUCAAUUGGUAUCGGAGCCGGUACUUCAUUAGAGCCUAACCGCUCAAAGUGAUGUCGGGAGCAUCCGCCAAGAGGGAGAUCGGGACCGGCGACAAGUCCGCAAGUUCGGGGAGAACGCACUCAAGGGAGUCCGCCCACAAGCACAAGGAGGAAUCCUCUUCCUCCAUCAAGUCCCAACGGAAGGGUGACAAGAAGAAGAAGAUGAAGAAGGUGGUCUACUAUGAGACCGACUCUUCGUCACCCUCAACCUCCGGCUCGGAAUUGGCAUCCGCCACUUCUAAGCGCCAUGAGCGCAAGAAGUAUAGUAAGAUGCCCCUUCGCUAUUCUUGUAUUUCAAAACGCACUCCAUUACUUUCCGUUCCAUUACGCAAACCACCUAUGCUUGAAGGUGAAGAUUAUUCUAUGUGGAGUGAUAAAAUGAGGCAUCACCUAACCUCACUCCACAAAAGCAUAUGGGAUAUUGUUGAGUAUGGAGCACAGGUACCAAAGAAGGGAGACAAGGAUUACGACUCGGAGGAGGUCGAACAAAUCCAACACUUCAACUCCCAAGCCACUACUAUACUCCUCGCCUCUCUAAGUCGAGAGGAGUAUAAUAAGGUGCAAGGGUUGAAGAGCGCAAAGGAAAUUUGGGACGUGCUCAAGACCGCGCACGAAGGAGACGAGGUGACCAAGAUCACCAAGCGGGAGACGAUCGAGGGGGAGCUCGGUCGCUUCAUGCUUCACCAAGGGGAGGAGCCACAAGCGAUGUACAACCGGCUCAAGACCUUGGUAAACCAAGUGCGCAACCUCGGGAGCACCAAAUGGGAUGACCAUGAAAUGGUCAAGGUUAUUCUUAGAUGACCCUACGCAAGUUCAAUUAAUUCGUGGUGAUCCUAGAUAUACACUAAUGUCUCCCGAGGAAGUAAUAGGAAAAUUUGUGAGCUUUGAGUUGAUGAUCAAAGGCUCCAAGAAAAUCAUCGAGCAAGGCGCCUCCUCCACACCCGAUGUGCAACCCGUUGCAUUCAAGGCAAUGGAGGAGAAGAAAGAAGACUCUACACCUAGUAGGGCCCCCCAUCGACGCCUCCAAGCUCGACAACGAGGAAAUGGCGCUCAUCAUCAAGAGCUUUCGCCAAAUCCUCAAGCAAAGGAGGGGGAAGGAUUACAAGCCCCGCUCCAAGAAAGUUUGCUACAAGUGUGGUAAGCCCGGUCAUUUUAUAGCAAAAUGUCCAUUGUCUAGUGAUAGUGAUAGGGGCGACGACAAGAAGGGAAAGGGAAGAGAAAAGAAGAGGUACUACAAGAAGAAGGGCGGCGAUGCCCAUGUUUGCCGGGAGUGGGACUCCGACGAGAGCUCCACCGACUCCUCCUCCGACGAGGACGCCGCCAACAUCGCCAUCACCAAAGGUCUCCUCUUCCCCAACGUCGGCCACAAGUGCCUCAUGGCAAAGGACGACAAGAAGAAGAAGGUAAAAUCUAAAUCCUCCACAAAGUAUGCAACAUCUAGUGAUGAGGCUAGCUCUAGUGAUGAUGAGGAUAAUUUAUUAACGCUUUUUGCCAACCUAAGCAUGCAACAAAAAGAGAAAUUAAAUGAGUUGAUUAGUGCUAUUCAUGAGAAGGAUGAACUCUUGGACACCCAAGAGGACUUCCAAAUUAAGAAAACAAAAAACAUGUUAAGGUUAAAAAUGCUUAUGCUCUAGAGGUAGAAAAAUGUGAAAAAUUAUCUAGUGAGCUAAGCACUUGCCAUGAUGUUAUUUCUAACCUUAGAAAUGAAAAUGCAAAAUUAAUUGCUAAGGUUGAGAAAUCCAAUGUUUAUGAUGAUUCAAUUGACAAUCUUAGAAAUGAUAAUGCUAGUUCAAUUGCUAAGAUUGAAAAGUUGAAUGCCUCUCUUGCUAGCCUUAGAAAUGAGAAUGAAAAAUUAAUUGCUAAGGCUAAGGAAUUAGAUGUUUGCAAUGUUUCCAUUUCCAAUCUUAGAGAUGAGAAUGACAUUUUACAUGCUAAGAUUGUUGAACUAAAUUCUUGCAAACCCUCUACAUCUAUCGUUGAGCAUGUUACUAUUUGCACCAGAUGUAGAUAUGUUAACAUUGAUGCUAUUCAUGAUCACAUUGCUAUGAUUAAACAACAAAAUGAUCAUAUAGCAAAAUUAGAUGCUAAAAUUGCCGAGCAUGAGUUAGAAAAUGAAAAAUUUAAAUUUGCUCGUAGUAUGCUCUAUAGUGGGAGACGCCCUGGCAUUAAGGAUGGCAUUGGCUUCCAACAGGGAGGCAAUGUCAAACUCAAUGCCCCUCCUGAAAGAUUAUCUAACUUUGUUAAGGGCAAGGCUCUCAUGCCUCAGGAUAACGAGGGUUACAUUUUGUACCCUGCCAGUUAUCCCGAGCACAAAAUUAGGAGAAUUCACUCUAGGAAGUCUCACUCUGGCUCUAAUCAUGCUUUUAUGUAUAAGAGUGAGGCAUCUAGCUCUAGGCAAUCAACCCGUGCUAAAUUGCCAAAGAAGAAAACUCUUACUGCAUCAAAUGAGCAUAACAUUUCAUUCAAGACUUUUGAUGCAUCCUAUGUGCUUACUAACAAAUCAGGCAAAAUAGUUGCCAAAUAUGUUGGGGGCAAACACGGGGGCUCCAAAACUUGUGUUUGGGUACCCAAGGUGCUUGUUUCUAAUGUGAAAGGACCCAAGACCGUUUGGGUACCUAAGAACAAGGCCUAAAUUUGUUUUGUAGGUUUAUGCAUCCGGGGGCUCAAGUUGGAUCAUCGAUAGCGGGUGCACAAACCACAUGACAGGGGAGAAGAAGAUGUUCUCCUCCUAUGAGAAAAACCAAGAUCCCCAACGAGCUAUCACAUUCGGGGAUGGAAAUCAAGGUUUGGUCAAAGGUUUGGGUAAAAUUGCUAUAUCACCUGACCAUUCUAUUUCCAAUGUUUUUCUUGUAGAUUCAUUAGACUAUAACUUGCUUUCAUUAGAAGAAGUCGGUGUUCAUCAUCCACACAAGAACAUCAUGACGACCGACAGGCCGCUUGAGCUACUUCACAUGGACCUAUUCGGCCCGAUAGCUUACAUAAGCAUCGGCGAGAGUAAGUAUUGUCUUGUAAUUGUGGAUGAUUAUUCUCGCUUCACUUGGGUGUUCUUUUUGCAGGAAAAAUCUCAAACCCAAGAUACCUUAAAGGGAUUCCUGAGACGGGCUCAAAAUGAGUUCGGCUUAAGGAUCAAAAAGAUUAGAAGCGACAACGGGACGGAGUUCAAGAACUCUCAAAUUGAAGGCUUCCUUGAGGAGGAGGGCAUCAAGCAUGAGUUCUCUUCUCCCUACACGCCACAACAAAAUGGUGUAGUGGAGAGGAAGAAUAGAACUCCAUUGGACAUGGAAAGAACCAUGCUUGAUGAGUACAAGACUUCGGAUCGGUUUUGGGCCGAGGCGGUCAACACCGCUUGCUACGCCAUCAACCGGUUAUAUCUUCACCGAAUCCUCAAGAAGACAUCGUAUGAACUCCUCACUGGUAAAUAGCCCAAUGUUUCAUAUUUUAGAGUCUUUGGUAGCAAAUGCUUUAUUCUUGUUAAAAGAGGUAGAAAAUCCAAAUUUGCUCAUAAGGCUGUAGAAGGCUUUUUACUUGGUUAUGACUCAAACACAAGGGCAUAUAGAGUCUUUAACAAGUCCACUGGACUAGUUGAAGUUUCUUGUGACAUUGUGUUUGAUGAGACUAACGGCUCUCAAGUAGAGCAAGUUGAUCUUGAUGAGCUAGAUGAUGAAGAGGCCCCGUGCGUCGCACUAAGGAACAUGUCCAUUGGGGAUGUGUGUUCUAAGGAAUCCGAAGAGCCUCCACAAGCACAAGAUCAACCAUCAUCUUCAAAUCAAGCAUCUCCACCAACUCAAGAUUAGGAUCAAGCUCAAGAUGAUGAUGAUGAAGAUCAAGAGGAGCCACCUCAAUAGGAAGACAAUGAUCAAGGGGGAGAUGCUAAUGAUCAAGACAAGGAAGAUAAUGAGGGCCCAAGACCGCCACACCCAAGAGUCCACCAAGCAAUCCAACGAGAUCACCCCAUGAACACCAUCCUCAGCGACAUUCAUAAGGGGGUAACCACUCGAUCUCGUGUUGCUCAUUUUUGUGAACAUUACUCUUUUGUUUCCUCUAUUGAGCCACACAAGGUAGAGGAAGCACUUCAAGAUUCGGAUUGGGUAGUGGCGAUGCAAGAGGAACUCAACAACUUCACGAGGAAUGAGGUAUGGCAAUUAGUUCCACGUCCUAACCAAAAUGUUGUAGGAACCAAAUGGGUCUUUCGCAAUAAACAAGAUGAGCAUGGUGUGGUGACAAGGAACAAAGCCCGACUUGUAGCCAAAGGAUAUUCACAAGUCGAAGGUUUGGAUUUCGGUGAAACCUAUGCACCCGUAGCUAGGCUUGAGUCAAUUCGUAGAUUACUUUCCUAUGCUACUUACCAUGGCUUUAAGCUCUAUCAAAUGGACGUGAAAAGUGCCUUCCUCAAUGGACCAAUCAAGGAAGAGGUCUAUGUUGAGCAACCUCCUGGCUUUGAAGAUAGUGAGUACCCUAACCAUGUAUAUAAACUCUCUAAGGCACUUUAUGGGCUCAAGCAAGCCUCAAGAGCAUGGUAUGAAUGCCUAAGAGAUUUUCUUAUCGCUAAUGGCUUUAAAGUCGGAAAAGCCGACCCUACUCUCUUUACUAAAACACUUGUAAAUGAUUUGUUUGUAUGCCAAAUUUAUGUUGAUGAUAUCUGUCGGGGACCAUAAUUAGGGGUACCCCCAAGACUCCUAAACUCGGCUGGUAACCAGCAUAAGCACAAAGCUGCAAAGGCCUGAUGGGCGCAAUACAGGUCAAAGCUCCGCCCACUCAAGGGACACGAUGUAACGCCCUGAAUUUGGGGGUAGAAUUUUUUCUUCUUUUCUCUCACCAAAUUCGGGCGUUACUCUCUUUUCUCUUUCCCCGUUUGCUCUUUCUUCCCAAUUUCAAACCAGUAUAGCGACGAGUGUCCGUGUCAUGUAUAAACCAAAACCUAAGUCUCAUGGGUGUUGCAUCAUGCCGGAGCAUUUUUCUUUGUCUGAUGUUGAGUGUUCGUCUCGUUCCAUUCCGGAUUUCGGUUCGCGAUUUAAUUCCGUUUAGUGGUCCGCGCUCGUCGUGGGUUUCCGAUCCGCGAAGUGGCCCGGCCCAGCCCAACCUAGCCCAGCCCAGCCGGCCCGGCCCGCCUCGGCCUGCGCGCCCCUGGCGCCCAAAACCCCCAUGCGCCCCCCCUCUCCUCUCUCUCUCUCUCAUUUGGAUCUCCCGCGCAACAACCUCUCCUCUCCCUCUUCCACCUCUCUCUCCCCGUGGUGCCCUAGGGUUUGGAGACAGCGAUCACCGGAUUUUGGACCCCGAGGUGAGCUCCCCUCCCCUUCUCUCUCUCUCUCUCUCUCCCUCCCCCUCGCGCGCGGUGGCGGCGCUCGCCCCGGUCCGCGGCGACCCCGCCCGUCCCCACCCCUGCUCGGCGCGGCGGCGCCCGACCCCGUCCCCGCCCCUCGUCGGCGGCGCUCCCCCCACCCCGGCCCCGCGGCGGCGCUCCCCGCCCCCCUGCCCGCCCGCGCGGCGCUCCCCGCCCCUCCCCGCGGCGGCGCCCGCCCGUCCCGGCCCCGUGGCGGCGCCCGCCCGCCCCCGCCCCUCACCUGCUCGCGCGCAGCGCGGCCCCGGCGCGGCCCCGGUGGCCCCUACUCGCCGGCGCGACCCCGGCGCGGCCCCCGGCCCCCGGCGCGUCCCCGGCGCGGCCCCGGCCGGCUCGGCCGCCUCUGGCCGGUUCAACCGCCCCCUGGCCGGUUCAACCGCCCUGGCCCCAGCUCGCCCGCCCGUUCCCUGUCCCGGCCUCGCCCGAACGUAUCUUCGCUCGCCCGCGCUCGCGGUGACUAUUCGUUAAUUAGCGUGUUGCGUCGCGCGCUUCGCCGCGCGACGGAUUUGUCUAAAUUCAGAUUCUAUCUUGUGUUGCGUCGUGCGCUUCGUCGCGCGACGAUCCAUUUUUGUUUCAGGUUGUUUAAGGUGUAACGCCGCGUGUGUAUUCACGCGACGUUCCACUUUGGACUCAGUUUAGUCGACGUAUGCCGUCGUGCGCUUCGUCGCGCCACGCUUAACGUCUCCUCGUAACUAAGGCGAAGUGUCUCGUUGCGUGCUCGGUCGCGCGACGAGUCGUUAACUUCUUAAUUUGUUUUAGAGAGCUUUGUCGCGCGUCUCGCCGCGCGACCAUCCUUUUAUUUAUCUCCACCUGCUUAUAAUAAUUAGACAUGAAACAUGACUUUACUUUACGCUAAACAUAGUGUCUACAUUAAAUUUCCUUCCAUUAAGCGAGUGGUUAAUUUAUAAUCAUGUAACGUUAUCGUUUCUCGACUGUCUUUUCCUCUUUCUCUCUUAACCGUACUCGCGAGCCUGCGUAGAACGUCUGUUUACUUAUUGCAUUCUAUUGUAUGGUGUACUGUUCUUUGGUAUUAAAUGUGUGGAUGUAUGUAUGUUUGCGCUCGUAUAGAGAACGAUCCGGUUGAAGAGCCCGAGGAACCCGCAGGAGAAGCCCCUGAGCAGCAGUCGUUUGGUGGAGGCAAGUGUCCCUUGACCUAUCUAUGUCCUAUCCAUUCUUUAAUUCACCUCCCGCUUUACACAUUUAUGCCUAAGGAUUGACUAGCUUUUGUUAUCCAUGUCCUUGUUCACCUAUUUGGGUUGGAUUAUUACUGUUUAGCUUUAUGCUAUUGCUUAACUCUAAUCAAUGAACAUGAUGAGAAUAUCUAUGAUACGCAGUUUUCCCCUCUCUUAUUAUGAUGUUAUGCUUGUGGUCUUCAAGGGGGCUCGAGCGGUUUCUCGAGUGCCUCUCCGUAAGGACCUGUUCUAUGGAUGACCGCCCGGGAAAACAGUGCAACCAUGAGGGUAGAAUGGGGUGCCCUUAGCUGAAUAAUUAGAGGAUCCGGGGUGUAGUUCACUUAGCCGUCGUGCCGUCAAUGGGGCUCGGUGUAUGCGGCUCGCUCUGCCAAGUUUGGGUUCGCCCCUUGGGGAGGAGUGCGGUGCAUUUAGGAAACCUAACGGGUGGCUACAGUCCCGGGGAAUCUUUGUAAAGGCUACGUAGUGAUGCCCUGCUGGGUCACCUUGGUAGUGAUCAAUGGAGAGUCAUGAUCUCCGGGCAGAAUGGGAAUCACGGCUUGUGGGUAAAGUGCACAACCUCUGCAGAGUGUUUGAAAAACUGAUAUAUCAGCCGUGCUCACGGUUAUGAGCGGCCAAGGGAGCUCCAGUGAUUAGUGGUACUUGAUCAGAGAUACUUUGGUACAGGUGGUUAUGAGAUUGAUGGUUUCGGUUCUGACUAUGAUGCUGGUAAGUGGUACUCUUUCCGUUUGGAAAGGAGUACGUUUGGGUUAAUAACUUGGGUUAAUGCUAAAACUUGGCUUUCUACUAGUAAGUAAUAAUCUGACCAACUAAAAGCAACUGCUUGACUUAUCCCCACAUAAAGCUAGUCCACUACAGCCAAAACAGGAUACUUGCUGAGUAUGUUGAUGUGUACUCACCCUUGCUCUACACACCAAACCCCCCCCAGGUUGUCAGCAUUGCAACCACUGCUCAGGCGAAGAUGAAGCUGUGGAAGGAGACUUCUAGGAGUUCCAAGAUUACGACGAGUUCUAGGUGUGGGUUAGCGGCAACCCCCAGUCGGCUGCCUGUGAAGGCCGCGGUUAUCUACGUUUCUUUUCCGCACUUUGAUUUAUUGUAAGGACUAUAUGGACGUCUCAGACGUAUGAUGUAAUCGACUAUUUCCCUUAUUAAUACUAUUUUGAGCACUGUGUGAUGAUGUCCAUAUUAUGUAACUGCUGUGUACGUGAAUAACUGAUCCUGGCACGUACAUGGUUCGCAUUCGGUUUGCCUUCUAAAACCGGGUGUGACAUAAGUGGUAUCAAAGCCGUGCUGACUGUAGGACCGCUAACCUAGAGUAGAAUGGUCGCUCUAAGGACUAUAGACCUCUGUCUCUGCCUUGACUUUGAUAUCCCUUCAAAAGUUGGUCCUACAGACCAAACCUAUGUUCUACUAUAUAUUAUACCUUGCUGAAAAUCAUGUUUUAUUCUAAUCCUUCAUUUACUUAUGAUUCAUUAUUUGCUGGUCAUAUUAAUUCUGUUCUUACCCUUUUGCUUGCGAUGUCUUUUGUAGAUGGCUCGACUUAGACACACUGCACGAAAGUCAGUCAUCCCUUUCUUACCCUCCCGCCUUGCUGAGCGUCCGCUUCGCCGUCCCGUGGCCGGACAGUCCAGCCACUUGGAGAGACUGCACCACCGCCUGCGCGAGGAGCAGGAACGUCGACGACAGGAGCAGCAGAGCUCUUCCUUCUCGCUCCAGCAGGAGAUAGAGUCUGUGAGGAGCUGCUCCCCUGUGCUUCCCCUGGAGCCGCCCCCUGCACCACCACUGGGCGCCCCAGCUUCUGGAGUAGCUGCUGGAGGAGACCCAGACGACGGAGAUGGCGACGACAGCUCGAGCCACGACACCGACUUCUCUGCUAACCCUGAGCCGGAAGGAUGGGUUGCUCGACCCAUCACUCGCGACGCUGCUCGCGGGUGUCACUUCCACGAUGCGCUCGACACCCUGCUACGUCGGGCAUUUAACCGGCAUACUUGGUCCGUCGAGUAUCGCUGUGUGGUCUACCAGCACAGUCGCGGGGUCUACCCGGACCGCUGGGAGGCAACUUGCUUGGUGCGCUGCCCGGAGAACAGUCUCCAGGGUGCGGAGGCCUGCUCAGAGCACUAUUCCAUCUCUGAGCGGGACUCAGCUGAGGCAGCCAUGCAAGAUGCUGCACGGCGUGCGCUUUCGCACUACUGCUCGGUUUUCGGUGGGGCAGCUGAUGGUCUUGACCUGAAGUAUUACCCCCGCCGUCCAUCUGGCAGCACAGGAGGCGUGAUUGUCUCACCUGUCGGUGAGGGCAAUCCUAGGUUGAGCAGCACAGUCAACCUAGCCGCCGUGCUAAACACGGAGCUGGACCAUGCAUUAGAUGAGCUGAGUAGGGCUCGUGCUGAGAUCGCCCUGCUUCGGGCUGAGCGCGUGGAACGUCGUCACUUGGAUGGUGGUUCCCCCGCUCCCGUCGGGACUCAGCACCCGUACCGCUCACCUCAGCGUGGACACCAGUCUUAUGGCAAUCCCGCCUGCAAGACCAAGAUAACUCUAGAACCAUAGAUCGUUAGAGUUGGAUCUUGUAAUUAAUACGAAAUAUAUGCAUAGAAGCUUCAGUUUUAGCUUUAAUUUCGGUCUUAGUUAGCCUUAGUUAGACAGGGUAGUUUGCUAUAUCCUGUGCAUUUAUGUUUGUCAUGGUGAACUAUGUUUGAUUUGGAUCUUUGUAAUGACUGUCACCAGAGUGUGGGUAUCCCCUGCAUUUUGGUUUAUCUAUUAUGUUAAUGGAGUUAGUUAUAUAGUUGGGAAACCCCCUUUUAUUCCACUCUCCUCUUUAUCUGAGAAGCUGUGUGGUCUGUGUUGGAGAUCAGUGAAGAUGCUCAUCUGUUCAGUGCUGUUGAAGAAUUCUAUUCUCUUUCCUUAUGCUGCAAGAUUUGCCAGAUCAGUUCUGAUGUGUGGUUGCAUUCUGCAGAUGUCAGAGAACAGGCGCAGAGGAGGAAGGCGUGCUCAGCAGGAGCGAGCCGCUCAACAGGAGGAGGUGCCCCAGCAACAGCACCUGCCGCCCCCGCCCCCGAUGUCCAUCGAGCAGAUGUUUCUGAUGUAGACUCAGGCAGUUCAAGCCAUCGGUCAGACUUUGGCCGCCAUUCAGCAGCAGCAGCAGCAACAGCAGCAGGCCCCACCUCAGCCUCAGAUGCCUCAAAUGCCCAGAGACAAGCGUGCUGAAUUCAUGAGAGGUCAUCCACCAACGUUCGCUCAUUCUUCUGACCCUAUGGAUGCUGAAGAUUGGCUGCGCACUGUGGAGCGGGAGUUGCAUACCGCUCAGUGCGACGACAGAGAGAAAGUUCUGUAUGGUCCCCGUCUGUUGAGAGGAGCAGCCCAAUCAUGGUGGGAGUCUUACCUCGCCACCCAUGCCCACCCUGACGCCAUCACCUGGGAAGAGUUCAGAGGUAGCUUUCGUCAGUACCAUGUGCCUGCAGGUCUGAUGACAGUGAAGAAGGAGGAGUUCCUGGCCCUCAAGCAAGGGUCAUUGUCUGUCAGCGGGUACCGGGACAAGUUUCUGCAAUUGUCUCGCUAUGCUCCUGAAGAUGUCAACACCGACGCCAAGCGACAGUACCAUUUCCUGAGAGGCUUGGUUGACCCUCUGCAGUACCAACUGAUGAAUCACACCUUCCCGACAUUCCAGCACCUGAUUGAUAGAGCGAUCAUGACAGAGAGAAAGCGCAAGGAGAUGGAAGAUCGUAAGCGCAAGAUCAGUGGACCCCAGCCUGGAAGCAGCAAUCGUCCUCGUUUCUCAGGCAAUCAACCUCAGCAGUUCAGGCAGAACCAGCGUCCACCUCAGCAGCAUCAGCAGUUCCAAAGGCAGUACCCUCAGAAUCAGUAUCAGAACCGUCAGAGCAAUCAGUCAGGAGGUCAGUUUCAAAGGCAGAAUCAGCAGGCACCUCGCCUUCCUGCCCCAGCAAGCCAGCAGAACAAUCAGGCAGCACCAGCUCAGGUUGGAAACAGGGCAUGUUUCCACUGUGGAGAGCAAGGCCACUGGGUGAUGCAAUGUCCGAAGAAGGCAGCCCAGCAGCAGUCAGGCCCCAAUGCCCCAGCAAAGCAGAAUGUGCCCCAGUCUGGAGCAGGCAAUCGCUCUCAGCCGCGCUACAAUCAUGGAAGACUGAACCACUUGGAGGCUGAAGCAGUUCAGGAGACCCCCGGCAUGAUAGUAGGUAUGUUCCCAGUCGACUCCCAUAUUGCAGAAGUGUUAUUUGAUACUGGAGCAACGCAUUCUUCCAUUACUGCAUCAUGGGUAGAAGCACAUAAUCUUCCAAUUACUACCAUGUCAACCCCCAUUCAAAUUGACUCAGCCGGUGGUAGAAUUCGAGCCGAUAGCAUUUGUUUGAAUAUAAGUGUGAAAAUAAGGGGGAUAGCGUUUCCCGCCAACCUUAUAGUAAUGGGUACUCAGGGAAUAUAUGUCAUCCUAGGGAUGAAUUGGCUAGAUAAGUAUCAGGCAGUUAUCAGUUGUGAUAAAAGGACCAUCAAGUUGGUGUCCCCACUAGGAGAGGAAGUGGUGACCGAGUUAGUCCCGUCUGAGCCAAAGAAAAGAAGUUGUUAUCAGAUAGCUGUUGAUAGCAGUAAAGCAGACCCGAUUGAGAGCAUCAAGGUUGUGUCCGAGUUCCCGGAUGUGUUUCCAAAGGACCUACCGGGUAUGCCACCAGAGCGGAAAGUUGAGUUUGCCAUAGAGCUUCUUCCUGGAACCGCCCCUAUCUUCAAGAGAGCUUACAGAAUAUCUGGACCAGAGUUGGAUGAACUUAAGAAGCAAAUUGAUGAGUUGUCAGAGAAAGGUUACAUCCGGCCAAGCACCUCGCCUUGGGCCGCCCCUGUUCUAUUUGUGGAAAAGAAAGAUGGCACCAAGAGGAUGUGCAUCGAUUACCGAGCUUUGAAUGAGGUCACGAUCAAGAACAAGUAUCCUUUGCCCAGAAUAGAAGAUAUGUUCGACCAGUUGAGAGGAGCCAGUGUGUUCUCCAAGAUCGAUCUGAGGUCAGGUUACCAUCAGCUCAGGAUCCGACCUUCAGACAUACCGAAGACGGCAUUCAUUACCAAGUAUGGUUUAUAUGAGUUCACAGUGAUGUCUUUUGGUUUGACCAAUGCGCCAGCAUUCUUCAUGAACUUGAUGAAUAGUGUAUUCAUGGAUUACCUUGAUAAGUUUGUGGUGGUAUUCAUUGAUGACAUUCUGAUUUAUUCCCAAAGCGAAGAAGAGCACGCAGAUCAUUUGAGGAUGGUAUUACAGAGAUUGCGAGAGCACCAGUUGUAUGCAAAGUUGAGCAAGUGUGAGUUCUGGAUCAGUGAAGUCCUGUUCUUGGGUCACAUAAUCAACAAGGAAGGAUUGGCUGUGGAUCCGAAGAAAGUGGCAGACAUUCUGAACUGGAAAGCGCCAACAGAUGCUCGAGGAAUCAAGAGUUUCAUUGGAAUGGCCGGAUAUUAUCGGCGAUUCAUUGAAGGGUUUUCGAAGAUCGCGAAACCAAUGACAGCGUUGCUAGGCAACAAAGUUGAGUUCAAGUGGACCCAGAAAUGCCAAGAGGCCUUUGAAGCGCUGAAAGAGAAGUUGACUACAGCGCCUGUCCUAAUCUUGCCUGAUGUGCACAAGCCCUUCUCGGUGUAUUGUGAUGCUUGUUACACAGGUUUGGGAUGCGUGUUGAUGCAAGAGGGAAGAGUUGUGGCUUACUCGUCCCGACAGUUGAAGGUUCAUGAGAAGAAUUACCCAAUCCAUGAUCUAGAGUUGGCAGCGGUGGUUCACGCACUGAAGACAUGGAGGCACUACCUGUAUGGACAGAAAUGCGAUGUUUACACAGAUCACAAGAGUCUAAAGUACAUAUUCACUCAGUCAGAGUUGAACAUGAGGCAACGAAGAUGGUUAGAGUUGAUCAAAGAUUAUGAGUUGGAGAUUCAUUACCAUCCAGGCAAAGCAAACGUAGUGGCAGAUGCUUUGAGCAGAAAGAGUCAAGUCAAUCUGAUGGUCGCUCGCCCGAUGCCUUAUGAGUUGGCCAAGGAGUUUGACAGGUUGAGUCUCGGAUUUUUGAACAAUUCGCGAGGAGUCACAGUUGAGUUGGAACCUACCUUGGAGCGCGAAAUCAAAGAAGCGCUGAAGAAUGAUGAGAAGAUUAGUGAGAUUCGGCGACUGAUUCUAGAAGGCAAAGGCAAAGAUUUUCGAGAAGAUGCAGAAGGCGUGAUAUGGUUCAAAGACCGCUUGUGUGUUCCCAAUGCCCAGUCCAUUCGGGAGUUGAUUCUCAAGGAAGCUCAUGAGACAGCUUAUUCGAUUCACCCUGGCAGUGAGAAGAUGUAUCAGGAUCUGAAGAAGAAAUUCUGGUGGUACGGAAUGAAGAGGGAAAUCGCAGAGCAUGUGGCUAUGUGCGAUAGUUGCCGAAGAAUUAAGGCAGAACACCAGAGACCUGCUGGAUUGUUGCAACCGUUGCAGAUCCCUCAGUGGAAAUGGGAUGAAAUUGGUAUGGAUUUCAUAGUCGGAUUGCCUCGCACUCGAGCCGGCUACGAUUCCAUCUGGGUAGUAGUGGACCGCUUGACCAAGUCAGCCCACUUCAUACCUGUCAAGACCAACUAUAGCAGUGCCGUAUUGGCAGAAUUGUAUAUGUCUCGGAUCGUUUGUCUUCAUGGUGUGCCAAAGAAGAUAGUGUCAGACAGAGGAACGCAGUUCACCUCUCAUUUCUGGCAGCAGUUGCAUGAAGCUUUGGGCACGCAUCUGAAUUUCAGUUCAGCUUAUCACCCGCAGACGGAUGGCCAGACCGAAAGAACCAAUCAAAUUCUUGAAGAUAUGUUGAGGGCAUGUGCGUUGCAAGAUCAGCCCGGAUGGGAUAAGAGAUUGCCUUACGCAGAGUUUUCCUAUAACAACAGUUACCAGGCCAGUUUGAAGAUGUCACCAUUUCAGGCGCUUUAUGGAAGGAGUUGCAGAACUCCGUUGCAAUGGGAUCAGCCUGGAGAAAAGCAAGUGUUUGGGCCAGACAUUUUGCUUGAAGCCGAAGAGAACAUCAAGAUGGUCCGAGAGAAUCUGAAAAUAGCGCAAUCGAGGCAGCGAAGCUAUGCAGACACAAGAAGAAGAGAGCUGAGUUUUGAAGUCGGAGACUUUGUCUAUCUGAAAGUGUCACCGAUCAGAGGAGUCAGAAGAUUCGGAGUGAAAGGCAAGCUAGCACCCCGCUACAUUGGUCCAUACCAGAUCCUCUCAAAGCGUGGAGAAGUGGCUUAUCAGCUCAGUUUGCCAGAGAAUUUGUCAGCUGUGCAUGAUGUCUUUCAUGUGUCUCAGUUGAAGAAGUGCUUGCGUGUGCCAGAAGAGCAGUUGCCAGUGGAAGGUCUUGAAGUCCAGGAGGACUUGACCUACGUUGAGAAGCCAGCUCAGAUCCUUGAGAUUGCAGACAGAGUCACCCGAAGGAAGACCAUCAGAAUGUGCAAAGUCAGAUGGGAUCAUCACUCUGAGGAAGAAGCAACCUGGGAGCGUGAAGAUGAUCUGAUGGCUAAAUACCCUGAGCUCUUUGCUAGCCAACCCUGAAUCUCGAGGGCAAGAUUCUUUUAAGGGGGAUAGGUUUGUAACGCCCUGAAUUUGGGGGUAGAAUUUUUUCUUCUUUUCUCUCACCAAAUUCGGGCGUUACUCUCUUUUCUCUUUCCCCGUUUGCUCUUUCUUCCCAAUUUCAAACCAGUAUAGCGACGAGUGUCCGUGUCAUGUAUAAACCAAAACCUAAGUCUCAUGGGUGUUGCAUCAUGCCGGAGCAUUUUUCUUUGUCUGAUGUUGAGUGUUCGUCUCGUUCCGUUCCGGAUUUCGGUUCGCGAUUUAAUUCCGUUUAGUGGUCCGCGCUCGUCGUGGGUUUCCGAUCCGCGAAGUGGCCCGGCCCAGCCCAACCUAGCCCAGCCCAGCCGGCCCGGCCCGCCUCGGCCUGCGCGCCCCUGGCGCCCAAAACCCCCAUGCGCCCCCCCUCUCCUCUCUCUCUCUCUCAUUUGGAUCUCCCGCGCAACAACCUCUCCUCUCCCUCUUCCACCUCUCUCUCCCCGUGGUGCCCUAGGGUUUGGAGACGGCGAUCACCGGAUUUUGGACCCCGAGGUGAGCUCCCCUCCCCUCCCCUUCUCUCUCUCUCUCUCUCCCUCCUCUUCUUCCCCCCGCGCGCGCCCUCCUUCUCCCCUGCUCGCGCACCCCCUGCCCGCCCCUGCUCGCCGGCGGCGCGACGCCCCCCGCCCCUGCCCGGCCCCGCGCGGCGGCGCCCGCCCUCCCCCUCGCGCGCGCGGCGGCGCCCGCCCUCCCCCGGAAGCGGCGGCGCUCGCCCGCCCCUCCCCCUCGCGCGCGGUGGCGGCGCCCGCCCUCGCCCCGGUCCGCGGCGACCCCGCCCGUCCCCGCCCCUGCUCGGCGCGGCGGCGCCCGACCCCGUCCCCGCCCCUCGUCGGCGGCGCUCCCCCCACCCCGGCCCCGCGGCGGCGCUCCCCGCCCCCCUGCCCGCCCGCGCGGCGCUCCCCGCCCCUUCCCGCGGCGGCGCCCGCCCGUCCCGGCCCCGUGGCGGCGCCCGCCCGCCCCCGCCCCUCCCCUGCUCGCGCGCAGCGCGGCCCCGGCGCGCCCCCGGCGCGGCCCGGCGCGGCCCCGGUGGCCCCUGCUCGCCGGCGCGACCCCGGCGCGGCCCCCGGCCCCCGGCGCGGCCCCGGCCGGCUCGGCCGCCUCUGGCCGGUUCAACCGCCCUGGCCCCAGCUCGCCCGCCCGUUCCCCGUCCCGGCCUCGCCCGAACGUAUCUUCGCUCGCCCGCGCUCGCGGUGACUAUUCGUUAAUUAGCGUGUUGCGUCGCGCGCUUCGCCGCGCGACGGAUUUGUCUAAAUUCAGAUUCUAUCUUGUGUUGCGUCGUGCGCUUCGUCGCGCGACGAUCCAUUUUUGUUUCAGGUUGUUUAAGGUGUAACGCCGCGUGUGUAUUCACGCGACGUUCCACUUUGGACUCAGUUUAGUCGACGUAUGCCGUCGUGCGCUUCGUCGCGCCACGCUUAACGUCUCCUCGUAACUAAGGCGAAGUGUCUCGUUGCGUGCUCGGUCGCGCGACGAGUCGUUAACUUCUUAAUUUGUUUUAGAGAGCUUUGUCGCGCGUCUCGCCGCGCGACCAUCCUUUUAUUUAUCUCCACCUGCUUAUAAUAAUUAGACAUGAAACAUGACUUUACUUUACGCUAAACAUAGUGUCUACAUUAAAUUUCCUUCCAUUAAGCGAGUGGUUAAUUUAUAAUCAUGUAACGUUAUCGUUUCUCGACUGUCUUUUCCUCUUUCUCUCUUAACCGUACUCGCGAGCCUGCGUAGAACGUCUGUUUACUUAUUGCAUUCUAUUGUAUGGUGUACUGUUCUUUGGUAUUAAAUGUGUGGAUGUAUGUAUGUUUGCGCUCGUAUAGAGAACGAUCCGGUUGAAGAGCCCGAGGAACCCGCAGGAGAAGCCCCUGAGCAGCAGUCGUUUGGUGGAGGCAAGUGUCCCUUGACCUAUCUAUGUCCUAUCCAUUCUUUAAUUCACCUCCCGCUUUACACAUUUAUGCCUAAGGAUUGACUAGCUUUUGUUAUCCAUGUCCUUGUUCACCUAUUUGGGUUGGAUUAUUACUGUUUAGCUUUAUGCUAUUGCUUAACUCUAAUCAAUGAACAUGAUGAGAAUAUCUAUGAUACGCUGUUUUCCCCUCUCUUAUUAUGAUGUUAUGCUUGUGGUCUUCAAGGGGGCUCGAGCGGUUUCUCGAGUGCCUCUCCGUAAGGACCUGUUCUAUGGAUGACCGCCCGGGAAAACAGUGCAACCAUGAGGGUAGAAUGGGGUGCCCUUAGCUGAAUAAUUAGAGGAUCCGGGGUGUAGUUCACUUAGCCGUCGUGCCGUCAAUGGGGCUCGGUGUAUGCGGCUCGCUCUGCCAAGUUUGGGUUCGCCCCUUGGGGAGGAGUGCGGUGCAUUUAGGAAACCUAACGGGUGGCUACAGUCCCGGGGAAUCUUUGUAAAGGCUACGUAGUGAUGCCCUGCUGGGUCACCUUGGUAGUGAUCAAUGGAGAGUCAUGAUCUCCGGGCAGAAUGGGAAUCACGGCUUGUGGGUAAAGUGCACAACCUCUGCAGAGUGUUUGAAAAACUGAUAUAUCAGCCGUGCUCACGGUUAUGAGCGGCCAAGGGAGCUCCAGUGAUUAGUGGUACUUGAUCAGAGAUACUUUGGUACAGGUGGUUAUGAGAUUGAUGGUUUCGGUUCUGACUAUGAUGCUGGUAAGUGGUACUCUUUCCGUUUGGAAAGGAGUACGUUUGGGUUAAUAACUUGGGUUAAUGCUAAAACUUGGCUUUCUACUAGUAAGUAAUAAUCUGACCAACUAAAAGCAACUGCUUGACUUAUCCCCACAUAAAGCUAGUCCACUACAGCCAAAACAGGAUACUUGCUGAGUAUGUUGAUGUGUACUCACCCUUGCUCUACACACCAAACCCCCCCUAGGUCGUCAGCAUUGCAACCACUGCUCAGGCGAAGAUGAAGCUGUGGAAGGAGACUUCCAGGAGUUCCAAGAUUACGACGAGUUCUAGGUGUGGGUUAGCGGCAACCCCCAGUCGGCUGCCUGUGAAGGCCGCGGUUAUCUACGUUUCUUUUCCGCACUUUGAUUUAUUGUAAGGACUAUAUGGACGUCUCAGACGUAUGAUGUAAUCGACUAUUUCCCUUAUUAAUACUAUUUUGAGCACUGUGUGAUGAUGUCCAUAUUAUGUAACUGCUGUGUACGUGAAUAACUGAUCCUGGCACGUACAUGGUUCGCAUUCGGUUUGCCUUCUAAAACCGGGUGUGACACACGAUCUCGCCUCGCCCGAGCCUAGCCUCGGGCAAGAACAGCAGACCCAGGUGGAUUCACGUCUUGCCCGAGGGUCUCCUCAAGCAACGGGCGCACCUUCGACUCGCCCGAGGCCUAGCUCGGGUAGGCUUCGCGGAGAAGCAACCUUGGCCAGAUCGCCUCGCCAACCUACCGUAUCGCAGGAGCAUUCAAUGCAAGGAUUGUCUGACACCUUAUCUUGACGCGCGUUCCUCAGUCGACAGAGCCGAAGUGGCCGCAGUCAUUUUGCCCCUCCACUGACUGACCUGACAGGAAAAUAGCGCCGCCUGCCCUGCUCCGACUACUAUGCCACCCGCCAGGGUGAGGCUGACAGCAGCCAAGUCCAGCCUCAGGCACCAUAGGAAGCUCCGCCUCGCCCGAUCCCAGGGCUCGGCCCCCGCCUCGACCUCGGACGACGGACUCUGCUUCGCCCAACCCCAGGACUCGGACUCAACCUUGACCUCGGACGACGGUCUCCGCCUCGCCCGACCCCAGGGCUCGGACUCAGCCUCGACCUCGGAGGAGUCACCGCCUCGCCCGACCUCGGGCUCGGACCAACCACGCCGCAGGGGGGUACAUCAUUACCCUACCCCUAGCUAGCUAAGGCUACGGGGAACAAGACCGGCGUCCCAUCUGGCUCGCCCCGGUAAACAAGUAAUGAUGGCACCCCGCGUGCUCCAUGACGACGGCGGUCCUCAGCCCCUUACGGAAGCAAGGAGACGUCAGCAAGGACCCGACAGCCCCGACAGCUAUGCUUCUACAGGGUUUAAGCGCUCCUCCGACGACCACGACAUCACAUGAACAGGGCUCCAACACCUCUCCGACAGCCACGUCGGCAUGUACAUAGGGCUCUGGCUCCUCUCUGCUAGACACGUUAGCACGUUGCUACACCCCCCCAUUGUACACCUGGGCCUUCUCCUUACGUCUAUAAAAGGAAGGUCCAGGGCCCUCGUACGGGAGGGUGGCCGCGCGGGAGAAUGGGCCGACAGAUAGGCUCUCACUCUCUCUCUCUCUCUCCCUCGCGAACGCUUGUAACCCUCUACUGCAAGCGCAUCCGCCCUGGGCGCAGGACAACACGAGUCGUGGUUCCCCUUAUUGUUCCCCCUUGUGUUCCGUCUCGCGCCGACCCAUCUGGGCUGGGACACGCAGCGACAAUUUACUCGUCGGUCCAGGGACCCCCCGGGUCGAAACGCCGAUAGUUGGCGCGCCAGGUAGGGGCCUGCUGCGUGUUGACGAACAGCUUCACGUCAAGCUCCAGAUAGGUAGUCUCCAGCAACCUCUCCAGCCCGGGACACUGCUCCGUUUCGGGAGUCUAGAGUUCAUGUCCCUCGAUGGCAGCUACGACAUGGUACUCCUUCCUCCGUCGCGCGACAACGACAACGACGGCCAUCAGCCCGCCCGACGGCGGCAGAAUCGACGACGUCUUCCCCGCGUGACAGAAGAGCAGCAUCCGGGUCUGUCCCGUCACCUUCCCCGCCGACGGAGGAGGAGGCGGGGCAACCAUGGCCAAGCAGGAGGCGGCACCUCGUUGGCUGUCGAGCGAGUCGAUGACGCCGGUGCCCCAGCGGGGGACACGGCGGACGUUGACCUCGCGUCUGAGACGAAGAUGAGCAUCGUUUCCCCGCAACAUGCCAACCCCAAGCAGACGGACGACGCCAGUAUGCUCGCGAAGGACUUGCUGGGCGUUAGCCUCGUACCUGAGAUAACGGUGCAGUCCGUCCCCGACGCGACUUCGUCACCAUCCGUCGAUCUAGAGGUACCGUCCGUUUUCUACCCUGUGCCUUUUAGAUUCAGCUUCGACCCACCAAGCAAUCCCGCUUCGGUGGACACUUUCAUAAAGGCAUAUCCUAGCCUUCUGGGGUACCAUAUGUGGUCAACCUGGGAUCGACUGACGGCCGUCUCGACCUACGGGCCCCCGGGUUCCGAGGAAGAUGACGAGCCCGACUCUGGUUGGGAUUUCUCCGGGCUCGGUAACCCCAGUGCCAUGCGAGACUUCAUGGCCGCAUGUGACUACUGCCUCUCCGAUUGCUCCGAUGGUGGCCAAAGCCUUGACGACGAGGAUUGUGGCCCAAGUCGCGAAUGUUUCCACGUCGAUCUAGGGGGUCUCGACGAAGGCAACCACCUUGGUAAGCAGGAUCCCCCUAGGCCCGCGCCUCGCGUUGACAUCCUUCGGGAGCUAGCUGUGGUCCCAGUCCCUGCAGAGGGUCAGGACGCACAGCUCGAGCAAAUCUGCGAGAUACAGGCCAGGCUCGACGAGGAAGCAGGACAACUUGUGCAGCUCCGGCAGAACAUCGGGCAGGAGUGGGCAGGCCGAGCACCAGCCGGAGAAGCGCGUCAUCUGGCCUAGGACGUCCAACACCGCAUCACCGACGAUGCCAGGGCAAGGCUGCCUCCGGCCUCCAGUGGGGUCGGCCAGAACCUGGCUGCAGCAGCAAUACUGCACCGAGCGAUGCCGAAACCAUCCACCACCGAGGGGCGACAUAUCCAAAGAGAGCUCAAGAAUCUCCUGGAGGAUGACGCGGUCUAACGGACCGAAAGCUCUGCCUCCCGAAGGCAGGGGUACCCCCGGAGCAUCGCGCCGCGACUUCCCGAUUCAUGCGGGAAGCCUCGGUCCACACCGGGCGCACGCGGGACACAGCGCCUGCGGCCCCGGGUCGCCUCGGCAACGAGCACCACCGCCGCGACCGUCGAGCCCACCUCGACGAGAAGGUGCGCCGAGGCUACCACACUAGGCGUGGGGGACGCUACGACAGCGGGGAGGAUCGGAGCCCUUCGCCCAAACUGCCCGGUCCGCAGGCUUUCAGCCGAGCCAUACGAUGGGCGCCGUUCCCGACCCGGUUCCGAACCCCGACUACCAUCACCAAGUACUCGGGGGAGACAAGGCCGGAACUGUGGCUCGCGGACUACCGGCUGGCCUGCCAGCUGGGUGGAACGAACUAUGACAACCUCAUCAUCCGCAACCUCCCCCUGUUCCUCUCCGACGUCGCCCGAGCCUGGCUAGAGCAUCUGCCUCCUGCGCAGAUCUCCAACUGGGACGACCUAGUCAAAGCCUUCGCCAGCAACUUCCAGGGCACAUACGUGCGCCCUGGGAACUCCUGGGAUCUCCGAAGCUGCCGCCAGCAACCGGGAGAAUCCCUGUGGGACUACAUCCGGCGAUUUUCGAAGCAGCGCACUGAGCUGCCCAACAUCACCGACUCAGAUGUCAUCGGCGCGUUCCUCGCCGGCACCACUUGCCGCGACCUGGUGAGCAAGCUGGGUCGCAAGACUCCCACCAGGACGAGCGAGCUGAUGGACAUCGCUACCAAGUUCGCCUCUAGUCAGGAGGCGGUUGAGGCCAUCUUCCGGAAGGACAAGCAGCCUCAGGGGCGCCAGCCGGAAGAUGUCCCCGAGGCGUCCGCUCAACGCGGCACCAAGAAGAAGGGCAAGAAGAAGUCACAAGCGAAAUGCGACGCCACCGACGCAGACCUUAUCGCCGCCGCCGAGCACAGGAACCCUCGGAAGCCUCCCGGAGGCGUCAACCUGUUCGACAAGAUGCUCAAGGAGUCGUGCCCCUAUCAUCAGGGUCCCGUCAAGCACACCCUUGAGGAGUGCGUCAUGCUUCGGCGCUACUUCCACAAGGCCGGGUCCCCGGCGGAAGGUGGCAGAGCCCACGACAACGACAAGGAGGGCCAUAAGGCAGAGGAGUUCCCCGAGGUCCACGACUGCUUCAUGAUCUACGGUGGGCAAGUGGCGAAUGCCUCAGCUCGGCACCGCAAGCAAGAGCGCCGGGAGGUCUGCUCGGUGAAGGUGGCGGCGCCAGUCUACCUAGACUGGUCCGACAAGCCCAUCACCUUCGACCAAGGCGACCACCCCGACCGCGUGCUGAGCCCGGGGAAGUACCCGCUCGUUGUCGAUCCUGUCGUCGGCAAUGUCAGGCUUACCAAGGUCCUCAUGGACGGAGGCAGCAGCCUCAACAUCAUCUACGCCGAGACCCUCGGGCUCUUGCAGAUCGAUCUGUCCACGAUCCGGGCCGGCGCGACGCCCUUUCACGGGAUCAUCCCCGGGAAGCGCGUCCAACCCCUUGGGCAACUCGAUCUACCCGUCAGCUUUGGGACUCCCUCCAACUUUCGAAAGGAAACCCUCAUGUUCGAGGUGGUUGGGUUCCGAGGAACCUACCACGCAAUGCUGGGGAGACCAUGCUACGCCAAGUUCAUGGCCGUCCCCAACUACACGUACCUCAAGCUCAAGAUGUUGGGCCCCAACGGGGUCAUCACCGUCGGAUCCACGUACCGACACGCGUACGAAUGCGACGUGGAGUGCGUGGAGUACGCUGAGGCCCUCGCCGAAUCCGAAGGCCCUCAUCACCGACCUGGAGAGCCUCUCCAAGGAAGUGUCAGACGCGAAGCGCCACACCGGCAACUUUGAGCCAGCAGAGGCAGUUAAGUCCGUCCCUCUCGACCCCAGCAACGACGCCUCCAAGCAAGUCCGGAUCGGCUCCGAGCUCGACCCCAAAUAGGAAGCAGUGCUCGUCGACUUUCUCCGCGUGAACGCCGAGGUUUUUGCGUGGAGUCCCUCGGACAUGCCUGGAAUAGCGAGGGAUGUCGUCGAGCACUCGCUGGAUAUCCGAGCUGGAGCCCGACCCGUGAAGCAGCCAAUGCGCCGAUUCGACGAAGAAAAGCGCAGAUCCAUAGGCGAGGAGAUCCACAAGCUGAUGGUUGCAGGGUUCAUCAAAGAGGUGUCUCAAGGCGAGAGGCGUAAAACUCAAUCCCGAGAAGUGUGUCUUCGGAGUCCCCCGAGGCAUGCUCCUGGGGUUCAUCGUCUCCGAGCGGGGCAUCGAGGCCAACCCAGAGAAAAUCACGGCCAUCAACAACAUGGGGCCCAUCAAGGACUUGAAAGGAGUACAGAGGGUCAUGGGAUGCCUUGUGGCUAUGAGCCGCUUCAUCUCGCGCCUCGGCGAAAGAGGCCUACCCCUGUACCGCCUCUUAAGGAAGACCGAGCGCUUCACUUGGACCCCCGAGGCCGAGGAAGCCCUCGGGAACAUAAAGGCGCUCCAUACAAGCGCGCCCAUCCUGGUGCCCCCACUGCCGGAGAAGCCCUCUUGAUCUACGUAGCCGCAACCACUCAGGUGGUCAGCGCCGCGAUCGUAGUCGAGAGACGAGAAGAAGGGCAUGCAUUGCCCGUCCAGAGGCUGGUCUACUUCAUCAGUGAGGUACUGUCCGAGACCAAAAUCUGUUACCCGCAAAUUCAGAAGCUACUGUACGCGGUAAUUCUGACGCGGCGAAAGUUGUGACACUACUUCGUGUCUCAUCCGGUGACUGUGGUGUCAUCCUCCCCCCUAGGGGAGAUCAUCCAAUGCCGAGAGGCCUCGGGUAGGAUUGCAAAGUGGGCAGUGGAGAUCAUGGGCGAGACAAUCUCAUUUGCCCCUCGGAAGGCCAUCAAGUCCCAAGUCUUGGCGGACUUCGUGGCUGAAUGGGUCGACACCUAGCUUCCAGCAGCUCCGAUCCAACCGGAACUCUGGACCAUGUUUUUCGACGGGUCGCUGAUGAAAACAGGAGUGGGCGCGGGCCUGCUCUUCAUCUCACCCCUUGGGAAGCACCUCCGCUACGUGCUGCGCCUCCAUUUCCCGGCGUCCAACAACGUGGCCGAGUACGAGGCUCUCGUUAACGGGUUGUGCAUCGCCAUUGAGCUAGGGGUUCAGCGCCUCAACGCUCGUGGCGACUCGUAGCUUGUCAUCGACCAAGUCAUGAAGAACUCCCAUUGCCGCGACCCGAAGAUGGAAGCCUACUGCGACGAGGUUCGGCGCCUGGAGGACAAGUUCUACGGGCUCGAGCUCAACCACGUUGCUCGACGAUACAACGAGACUGCGAACGAGCUGGCUAAGAUAGCCUCGGGGCGGACAACGGUUCCCCUGGACGUCUUCUCCCGAGACCUACAUCAACCCUCCGUCAAGACCGACGACACGCCCGAGCCCGAGAAGGCCUCGGCUCUGCCCGAGGUGCCCUCGGCUCAGCCCGAGGCACCCUCGGCCGCCGAGGGUGAGGCACUGAGCGUCGAGGAAGAGCGGAAUGGGGUCACGCCUAAUCAAAACUGGCAGACCCCGUACCUGCAAUAUCUCCACCGAGGAAAGCUACCCCUCGACAGAGCCGAAGCUCGGCGACUGGCGCGGCACGCCAGGUCGUUCGUCUUGCUGGGUGAAGAAAAGGAGCUCUACCACCGCAGCCCCUCAGGCAUCCUCCAGCGAUGUGUAUCCAUCGCCGAAGGUCAGGAGCUAUUGCAAGAAAUACACUCGGGGGCUUGCGAUCAUCACGCAGCACCUCAAGCCCUCGUUGGGAAUGCCUUCCGACAAGGUUUCUACUGGCCAACCGCGGUGGCCGACGCCACUAGAAUUGUACGCACCUGCCAAGGGUGUCAAUUCUACGCAAGGCAGACGCACCUGCCCGCUCAGGCCUUGCAAACAAUACCCAUCACCUGGUCGUUUGCUGUGUGGGGUCUGGACCUCGUCGGUCCCUUGCAGAAGGCACCCGGGGGCUUCACGCACCUGCUGGUCGCUAUCGACAAAUUCUCCAAGUGGAUUGAGGUCUGACCCCUAAACAGCAUCAGGUCCGAACAGGCGGUGGCGUUCUUCACCAACAUCAUCCAUCGCUUUGGGGUCCCGAACUCCAUCAUCACCGUCAACGGCACCCAGUUCACUGGCAGGAAGUUCCUGGACUUCUGCGAGGACCACCACAUCCGGGUGGACUAGGUCGCCGUAGCUCACCCAUGACGAAUGGGCAGGUAGAGCGUGCCAAUGACAUGAUUCUGCAGGGACUCAAGCCGAGGAUCUACAACGACCUCAACAAGUUCGGCAGGCGAUGGAUGAAGGAAAUCCCCUCGGUGGUCUGGAGUCUGAGGACGACGCCAAGCCGAGCCACGGGCUUCACGCCGUUCUUUCUAGUCUACGGGGCCAAGGCUAUCUUGCCCAUAGACUUAGAAUACGGUUCCCUGAGGACAAGGGCGUACGACGACCAAAGCAACCAGACCAGCCGAGAAGACUCACUGGACCAGCUGGAAGAGGCUCGGGACAUGGCCUUACUACACUCGGCAAGGUAUCAGCAGUCUCUGCGACGCUACCACGCCCGAGGGGUUCGGUCCCGAGACCUCCAGGUGGGGGACUUGGUGCUUCGGCUACGACAAGACGCCCGAGGGCACCACAAGCUCACGCCUCCCUGGGAAGGGUCGUUCAUCAUCGCCAAGAUUUUGAAGCCCGGAACAUACAAGCUGGCCAACAGUCAAGGCGAGGUCUACAGCAACGCUUGGAACAUCCGACAGCUACAUCGCUUUUACCCUUAAGAUGUUUUCAAGUCGUUCAUAUGCCUCGUUCUCUUUACAUACACAAAUAAAGUCUAACCAUCAAGGAAGGGUCAUCCUUGCCUCGGCAAAGCCCGACCCUCCCUCGGGGGCUAGAAGGGGGGAACCCACUCUGCGUCAAAAAUUUUCCUCGGAAAAAGUCUUUCUGUCAGAACGUCUUUCGCGCUUUUCGACUACUUCGAUAGUGGGAUCCUGAAAACGACGGAGUACACGUAAGCGGCAAGGCCGACCGAGCCGAGGGACUCCUACGCCUCCAGGAUACGGAUACCUCACUCAUCACCUUCUGCGAUAAGUAACUCAUGCUCGGAUAAGCGAUUCCGCUGACCGAACAAGUCUUAACGCUCGAAAAAUUUUCUGCCGAAACGAUUUUUCGUGCCUUCUCGACUAUAUCGAUAACAAAAUCUUGCGGACGAGUAAGAGUACACGUAAGCGGCGAGGCCGACCGAGCCGAGGGACUCCUACGCCUCCGGGAUACGGAUACCUCACUCAUCACCUCCCGUGAUAAGCAACUCUCGCUCGGAUAAGCGAUUCUGCUACCGACAAACAAGUCCUGAUACUCGAAACAAGGGGAAAAGAAAUGCAGCUUUACAACACGACGAUGGUAUGUUUGGGCCUCGGCGGCCGCAAAAAACAUACGCAUACUACAGACAAACUGAUCCUGCAGGUUCAGACAUCAGUAGGGGGGCAACAGCACCCUCGGCGUCGACUCCACCUUCGGCGGAAUCCGGCCCGGCCUCGGACGGCGACACGGUCGGAGGAUCUCCACCUCGAAGGAAGAUGUCAGCACCGCGCCUGGGCCAUCGCCGCCAGGGUCUCCUCCAGGAACACGGCCCAAGCAGACGGCUUGAUCAGUUGCUCCGUAGCCUCAGCCAGCUGACCCCGAGGACAUCAGCCCGGCUCAUGGCCUCGGCAGCCCGACUCCAGGGUUGGUCCCGCCAGUGGACGACCUGGCCAGGUUCCAGCCGCCGCUGCUACGCCUCUGUUGGGACCAUGCUUCGUCGCCGAAGGUCCUGUAAAAAGAAACAGCUUUGGCUGAAGCUGCUCGUACGUGACGCCGAAGGCAUCAUUCAUGAAGCUUCGGUGCUAUAACAUAUCCGAAGAUGAAGGGUCGAACCGACUUAAAGAUAGAAUAACCUUUUAGCCCAUAGGGGUCUGAAUCAUUGUGGUAAACUUUUAUGAGGGGCAUGAUUGUAAUUCCUCACAGGCUGUGUUCUGUGCCUAUAAAUAGUGAACAGUAUUCCUUUACUAUUCACGCAUUCCUGUAAUUGCUAACGCAUCACUCGGGAAUUAUUGUUUGUCAAAGGCAAAGGUAUAAAUGUACUUAAAUAUUGUGUUCGGAUAUUAUAAAUUCAUUUAAUAAGAUAAAUAAAUGAUGUCAUUUAUUUUCAAUGUAUUUAACUUUAAUAUUUCAUGUUUUACUUUUCUUUGUAUUAUUUUUAUAAGCUCAUUUACGAAGGUGAAAACCUUCGUAGCAUUAUGCCCGUGACCUUCGUCCGAGGUUCAUUAAAUCCUUGUGGAAAUAAUGCUUCGGCGGACGAAGGGCAUUGAUAUUUAACAUUUUAUGUUGCCUUGUUCUUAAUUCAUAGCAUUUGAGAACAAGUCCCCAACAACCUCCUCGGCCUGGGAAGUCCCCUGCUCCUGAGCCAACGAAGUUUUCUUCUCCAACCGACUCCGCCUCUGUCCACGCUCACACCGCUGCCUCCGGCUCCGGCUCAUCGCAGAGCAGCCGAGGUUUUCCUUUAACUAAACAAGAGAGGCCUUGGGUGGCAAGGCCGACCGAGCCGAGGGACUCCUAUGCCUCCGGGAUACGGAUACCUCACUCGUCACCUUCCGCACAGGGCAACUCACACUUGGUUAAGCGGUCCAGCUAGCCGACAGGCGAGUCCUAGUGCCCGAAAUGAGGAAGAAACACGGUAUUGCACCAAAAAUACCCAGAUGUUCAGGCCCCGACAGCCACAUUGAACAGACACCGGCACUCAAGGUGCCAUUACAAACGGAACUCCAGUUCCACUCCCGCAGGUACGAACAACCCCCCACAUUGGAGGGCCUGCGGGACGAUGAAACUCCAGGUGGCUCGCCGUCGCCCACUCCGUCAGCAGCGACAACGACCUCCACUCUGGGCGGCUAAACAGCAGCAGUGAUGACCUCAGGGCAGACGCUGCCGUGACAAGGCCCUCGCUCGCGUCCCCACUCGAGGGGCGAGGACAAGCUAUCAAAGCCAAAGAGCCGGAGGUCGGUCCGCGGGUGGCGCUGACGGUCUCGUCGGCGGAGAAGCUUUCUCCAGCUGCCACCACCUCAGCACCGGCGGCGGCGUCCACCCACCCACCAACACCGCACCAGCGGGCGCCGGCCACCCCAAAGCGCACCGGUAGGUCCUCACUCCCGUCCUCGCCACGAAAACGAGAAUGGGACCGUCCCAGAACACGAGUACCGCCCUCGCGGCGUAUGACGUGUUGUGAGACCCCCGGUGCGGCUGGCCACCGUUGCCCGGACAGAGGACAAAAUGCUGCACCCUGGCUGGGCAGCAGCAGUUCGCCUUCCCCGGCAUGGCUGGAGGGCACCUCCUCCACAGAGCUGGAGGAUGGUUUCCACCCCCAGAAGCCGGAGGAAGAAGCGGGACGCCAGCCCACGCGAAGGCAGGCCCCGGCUCGCCUCGCCCUCCUCCCCAGCAAGGAUGAUGAAGAUCCUUGAAGCUGAGGGCGGGGCGGAGGCCACAGCCCGGCUUGCUUCUCCCCACCAUCGAACUGGUGGUCACCGUCUCGAGUGACCAUUGGUGAGGGGAUGCAGUUGGGCUGCCUGAUGAAAAUCCUUGAAGCCGAGCGAUGGCUGAAAGGUACCAACUUCCGCGAAGUUGCGCUCCUCCAACAACAGCAAGACGAAAGCAACACGGGCGCUCCCCAUCCGGGGGCUCGGAAGGUGGAAGGGCGCAAUGCAUGAGGGGAGUGCGAAGGCAUGGCUGCCACCCAAGGGGGUCGCCCCCUUUUUAAAGGCGACUCUCCUCACUCGCGUCCUCAGGCGUCACAGACUAAGUCUUCACCAACGCGCUCCAAGGUCCUCCCCCUACGACACGAGGGCGGGGUCCCACACGCCAUGCAAGCUGGCCGGGACAAAAGAAGCCAAACCGCCGUGCGCGGAGCGUGUAACCGCCCAGCGGUUACAAGCACUCCUCCAUCUUCGCCUAAACCAGUGGGUGAAAGGGCGGACCGACAUGCAGGCGACAUGCAACUGCACCACAGAGAUGCACCCUUUCGACUUCGACGCAUCCAGCGUGGAGGCCCAGGCCCACACGUCAUGUAACUGGCGCGCCGGUUGCUACGUGCGAAAAACUGCACCGCCUCUUGCGCCAGUACCACGCCUCCUCGACUGCGGAACCGGUGCCGCGACUCGAGGCACCCCUGCGCACGGCCCAGCAGUGCCAACCAGGCGCAUCGGUCAUGGAUCAGUCAGACGCGGGAGAAGGCGCGACGAUCGAAAUGGCCAAAAGUGGGCCGACAGUAAUGGCGGCGGCAGGCGGGCGGAAGCAGCAGUCAAAUCGUCUGCAGGCUCACGUCCCCUCCUGGGACAGCGAGAGAGCCCUCUCCCACGGCGUGAAGACGACGCGCCCAUGUUCCGUUCCUCGAAUGGCUCGCGCAACGGCUGCCCCGCGAACCACUCGUCCCGUCGCAUUAACUCCACGGCAGGGCAGGCGACACCUUUGGCAGGCGAAGCGGGCGACGCUUCACCUCCACCAUGAUGACCGCGUCAAAAAAGGUGCGCCACGUCGUUCAAUUUCGUAUCCUUUUCCUCUUCCCCUUUCUCUCUCUUGCUACAGGGACCGGGAAAGGGGAUACUCCGAAAGGGAUCCUUCUCCGCGAAGGAAGCGGGCCCCGAGCCCCCCUACUGAUCAGAGGUUCGAAGGCUGGCCCCUCGGAAGGGUUCAACAGCCGCCUCAGAGCACUUGGGCUCCGAGCCCUCCUAUUGAUCAGAGGUUCGAAGGCUAGCCCCUCGGGAGGGUUCGAUAGCCGCCUCAGACCACCCGGGCUCCGUGCCCACUACUGAUCAGGGGUUCGAAGGCUGGCCCCCCGAAGGGUUCGACAGCCGCCUCAGAACACGUAGAGCGAGGGAUGACUCUGGGUACGUCUGAUACAUGGCCGAGGCUCGGGCUACGCUCCUGAGGUACCCUAGGACAUUUCCAAGACCAGCAGGAGCGAUUCUAUAACGGAAUCCCAUCAGAGGGAGGCAUCGAGCCCUCUGACCCUAUCAAACGAGACCGGGUCCGGCAAAUCACCUGCAGGUACUUUUGGAGCGUGCAUCUGGGCCACUAGCCGACCCUUAUCGAACGGGGCACGGGCGUCCACUCAGAUCACCCGUUAGCUACUCACUGGAGACACCAUGUUCGACACCCUCCGAGGGCAACAUGGCACUUUCCCCCCCUCCUUGCGGAAAGGCGACAAAGGGGCGUAUGAUAAAAGCCGAGUCAGUCCUUGACCGUCCGCUCGCUCUGUGCAGAGGCUCGGGGGCUGCUCUCGCAAACCCGGCUCCGGCCAAACCGUUGACAGCGUCAACAUACCAGCCCAAGAACUCGGAACCUGACCAUGCACCCGGGUUACGAUCAGAUCGCAUGAGGGAACAACCAGACCGGCCUAGGCGUCACGAAAGACACUAAGACCUCGGAGGAGUCAAACCACUCCUCCGAGGCCUCGGAGGCUACACCCGGCGGGUGCGCUCGCGCGCACCCACCGGAACAAAAUGCAACCGAGAAAGGUCGGUCCCCUUGCAAAAAAGUGCGACAAAGCCUCCAAGCGAGUACCAACACUCCCUUUGAGGCUCGGGGGCUACUGUCGGGACCAUAAUUAGGGGUACCCCCAAGACUCCUAAACUCGGCUGGUAACCACCAUCAGCACAAAGCUGCAAAGGCCUAAUGGGCGCAAUACAGGUCAAAGCUCCGCCCACUCAAGGGACACGAUCUCGCCUUGCCCGAGCCCAGCCUCGGGCAAGAACAGCAGACCCAGGUGGAUUCACAUCUCGCCCGAGGGUCUCCUCAAGCAACGGGCGCACCUUCGACUCGCCCGAGGCCUAGCUCGGGCAGGCUUCGCGGAGAAGCAACCUUGGCCAAAUCGCCUCGCCAACUGACCAUAUCGCAGGAGCAUUCAAUGCAAGGAUUGUCUGACACCUUAUCCUGACGCGCAUUCCUCAGUCGACAGGGCCGAAGUGGCCGCAGUCAUUUCGCCCCUCCACUAACUGACCUGACAGGAAAACAGUGUCGCCUGCCCUGCUCUGACUGUUGUGCCACCCGCUAGGGUGAGGCUGACAGCAGCCAAGUCGAGCCUCAGGCACCAUAGGAAGCUCCGCCUCGCCCGAUCCCAGGGCUCGGCCCCCGCCUCGACCUCGGACGACGGACUCCGCUUCGCCCGACCCCAGGGCUCGGACUCAACCUCGACCUCGGACGACGGUCUCCGCCUCGCCCGACCCUAGGGCUCGGACUCAGCCUCGACCUCGGAGGAGUCACCGCCUCGCCCGACCUUGGGCUCGGACCGACCACGCCGCAGGGGGGUACAUCAUUACCCUACCCCUAGCUAGCUCAGGCUACGGGGAACAAGACUGGCAUCCCAUCUAGCUCGCCCCGGUAAACAAGUAAUGAUGGCACCCCGCGUGCUCCAUGACGACGGCGGUCCUCAGCCCCUUACGGAAGCAAGGAGACGUCAGCAAGGCCCCGACAGCUGUGCUUCUACAGGGUUUAAGCGCUCCUCCGACGGCCAUGACAUCACAUGAACAGGGCUCCAACACCUCUCCGACAGCCACGUCGGCAUGUACAUAGGGCUCUGGCUCCUCUCUGCUAGACACGUUAGCACGUUGCUACACCCCCCAUUGUACACCUGGGCCUUCUCCUUACGUCUAUAAAAGGAAGGUUCAGGGCCCUCGUACGGGAGGGUGGCCGCGCGGGAGAACGGGCCGACGGAUAGGCUCUCACUCACUCUCUCUCUCUCUCUCUCUCUCUCUCUCUCUCUCUCUCUCUCUCUCUCCCUCGCGAACGCUUGUAACCCCCUACUGCAAGCGCAUCCGCCCUGGGCGCAGGACAACACGAGUCGCGGUUCCCCUUAUUGUUCCCCCUUGUGUUUCGUCUCGCGCCGACCCAUCUGGGCUAGGACACGCAGCGACAAUUUACUCGUCGGUCCAGGGACCCCCCGGGGUCGAAACGCCGACAAUAUCAUAUUUGGGUCUACUAACAAAUCUACAUGUGAAGAGUUUAGUAGGAUCAUGACUCAAAAAUUCGAGAUGUCAAUGAUGGGGGAGUUGAAGUAUUUUCUAGGCUUCCAAGUAAAGCAACUCCAAGAGGGCACCUUCAUUAGCCAAACAAAGUACAUUCAAUAUAUUCUCACCAAGUUUGGGAUGAAGGAUGCCAAACCCAUCAAGACACCCAUGGGAACUAAUGGGCAUCUCAACCUCGACACAGGAGGUAAAUCCGUAGAUCAAAAGGUAUACCGGUCGAUGAUAGGUUCUUUACUCUAUUUAUGUGCUUCACGACCGGACAUUAUGCUUUCCGUAAGCAUGUGUGCAAGAUUCCAAGCCGAUCCUAAGGAAGUUCACCUUAGGGCCGUGAAACGAAUCUUGAGAUAUUUAGUUUAUACUCCUAAGUUUGGCCUUUGGUACCCCAGGGGAUCCACAUUCGAUUUAAUUGGUUAUUCCGAUGCUGAUUGGGCAGGGUGUAAAAUUAAUAGAAAGAGCACAUCAGGGACUUGCCAGUUCUUGGGAAGAUUUUUAGUGUCUUGGGCUUCAAAGAAGCAAAACUCUAUGGCUCUCUCUACCGUCGAAGUCGAGUAUAUUGCCGCAGGCCAUUGUUGCGCGCAAUAGCUUUGGAUGAGGCAAACCCUCAGGGACUAUGGUUACAAAUUAACCAAAGUUCCUCUUCUAUGUGAUAAUGAGAGUGCAAUCCGCAUGGCGGAUAAUCCCGUUGAGCAUAGCCGCACUAAACACAUAGCCAUUUGGUAUCACUUUUUAAGGGAUCACCAACAAAAGGGGGAUAUCGAGAUUGCAUAUGUUAACACCAAAGAACAAUUAGCCGAUAUCUUUACCAAGCCAUUAGAUGAGCAAACUUUUACCAAACUUAGGCAUGAGCUAAAUAUUCUUGAUUCUAGGAAUUUUGAUUGAUAUUUUGCACACAUAGCUCAUUUAUAUACCUUUGAUCGUAUCUCUUUCAUGUGCUAUGACUAAUGUGUUUUCAAGUGCAUAUUAUGCUAAGUCAUAGAUUGAAAGGGAAAUGGAGUCUUCGGCGAAGACAAGGCUUCCACUCCAAUCCAUCGAAUUAUUCAUCCUUCGUUGUCGCUCCGCACCACUCUCCAACUUUGGUAUAAUCUUCACUCAUAUGUUAUUUACCAUAAGGGGAGAAAGUAAAAAGGGCUUAUAUUUAACUCUCAAGUAUCCGUUUUUGGCGAUUCAUGCCAAAGGGGGAGAAAGUAUUAGCCCAAAGCAAAAGGACCGCACCACCACCAAUUUCAAAAAUGUAUUCUUUCAAAUUCGGGUUAAGAAAUUUUUUUCAAUUGGUAUCUUAUUUUUAUAUAAUUUCAAAUUGGUAUACACUCUUCAAAAUUAAUAUCUAAAACCCUCUUGAACACUAAGAGGAGGAUUUCAUAAAGGGGGAGUUUUGUUUAGUCAAAGGAAAAGCAUUUGAAACAGGGGGAGAGAAUUUCAAAUCUUGAAAAUGCUUCUCAAAAUCCUAUUCAUAUACCUUUGACUAUUUGCAAAAAGACUUUGAAAAGAAUUUCCAAAACAUUGCAAAACAAAAAACAAGUGGUGCAAGCUGGUCCAAAAUGUUUAAUAAGAAGAAAGCCAUCCAUGCAAAUCUAGUAGAAAUAAUUAUUGGUUUCAUUCCAAGCAACCUUUGCACUUACAUUAUGCAAACUAGUUCAAUUUUGCACUUAUAUAUUUGCUUUGGUUUGUGUUGGCAUCAAUCACCAAAAAGGGGAGAUUGAAAGGGAAAUAGGCUUACACCUUUCCCUAAUUGAUUUUGGUGGUUGAAUUGCCCAACACAAAAAAUUGGACUAACUAGUUUGCUCUAGAUUAUGAGUUCUACAGGUGCCAAAGGUUCACAACAAACCAAUAAAAAGACCAAGAAAGGGUUCAAACAAAGAGAGCAAAAGACAACCGAAGUGUGCCCUGGACUGGCGCACCGGACUGUCCGGUGUGCCACCGGACUGUGUCCGGUGCACCAGGGAACCCAACUCCAAACUGCUCACCUUCGAGAAUUCUAGGAGUCGCUCCGCUAUAUUUCACCGGACUGUCCGGUGUAGCACCGGACUGUCCGGUGUGCCAGCGGAGCAACGGCUACUUCGCGCCAACGGUCGUCUGCAGAAAGCAGUUAAUGUGCUACAGUGCGAGCAGAAGUCAGAGCAGAGGCAGAAGGCGCACCGGACAGUCUACAGGACCUGUCCGGUGCACCACCGGACUGUCCGGUGGCCCAGAAGUCAGAAGCUCCAACGGUCAGAAUCCAACGGCCGGGUGACGUGGCUGGCGCACUGGACUGUCCGGUGCGCCAUGCGACAGCAGCCUCCACCAACAGCUCUUUUGAUGGUUGGGGCUAUAAAUACCCCAACCACCCACCAUUCAUUGCAUCCAAGUUUUCAGCCUUCAAACACCUUACAAGAGCUAUAGCAUUCAAUACAAGACACAAUCAAAGAGAUCAAAUCCUCUCCCAAGUCCAAAGAUCAUUCCAAUCAAAUAGUGACUAGUGAGAGAGAGACUUGUGUUCAUUUGAGCUCUUGCGCUUGGAUUGCUUUUCUUCUUCAUUCUUUCUUGAUCCCAACUCAAUUGUAACCAAGACAAGAGACACCAAUUGUGUGGUGGUCCUUGUGGGGACUUAGUGUCCCAUUUGAUUGAGAAGAGAAGCUCAUUCGGUCUAAGUGAUCGUUUGAGAGAGGGAAAGGGUUGAAAGAGACCCGGUCUUUGUGACCACCUCAACGGGGAGUAGGUUUGCAAGAACCGAACCUCGGUAAAACAAAUCACCGUGUCAUCCGCCUUAUUCGCUUGUGAUUUGUUUUCGCGCUCUCUUUCGGACUCGCUUUUAUUUCUAACGCUAACCCCGGCUUGUAGUUGUGCUUAAAGUUUGUAAAUUUCAGAUUCGCCCUAUUCACCCCCCCUCUAGGCGACUUUCACUCACUCCACAAAAGUAUAUGGGAUGUUGUUGAGUUUGGAGUACAGGUACCAUCCGUAGGGGAUGAAGAUUAUGAUGAGGACGAGGUGGCCCAAAUUGAGCACUUCAACUCUCAAGCAACUACUAUACUCCUCACCUCUCUAAGUCGAGAGGAGUAUAAUAAGGUGCAAGGGUUGAAGAGCGCCAAAGAGAUUUGGGACGCGCUCAAGACUGCGCACGAAGGAGACGAGGUGACCAAGUUCACCAAGUGGGAAACGAUUGAGGGGGAGCUCGGUCGCUUUAUGCUCAACCAAGGAGAAGACCCGCAAGCCAUGUACAACCGGCUAAAAACCUUGGUGAACCAAGUGCGCAACCUCGGGAGCUCCAAGUGGGAUGACCAUGAAAUGGUCAAGGUUAUACUUAGAUCACUUGUAUUUCUUAACCCCACUCAAGUUCAAUUAAUUUGUGGUGAUCCAAGAUAUAAACUAAUGUCUCCCGAGGAAGUGAUAGGAAAAUUUGUGAGCUUUGAGUUGAUGAUCAAAGGCUCCAAGAAAAUCAUCGAGCAAGGCGCCUCCUCCACACCCGAUGUGCAACCCGUUGCAUUCAAGGCAACGGAGGAGAAGAAAGAAGACUCUACACCUAGUAGGGUCCCCAUCGACGCCUCCAAGCUCGACAACGAGGAAAUGGCGCUCAUCAUCAAGAGCUUUCGCCAAAUCCUCAAGCAAAGGAGGGGGAAGGAUUACAAGCCCCGCUCCAAGAAAGUUUGCUACAAGUGUGGUAAGCCCGGUCAUUUUAUUGCAAAAUGUCCAUUGUCUAGUGAUAGUGAUAGGGGCGACGACAAGAAGGGAAAGAGAAGAGAAAAGAAGAGGUACUACAAGAAGAAGGGCGGCGAUGCCCAUGUUUGCCGGGAGUGGGACUCCAACGAGAGCUCCACCGACUCCUCCUCCGACGAGGACGCCGCCAACAUCGCCGUCACCAAAGGCGUCCUCUUCCCCAACAUCGGCCACAAGUGCCUCAUGGCAAAGGACGGCAAGAAGAAGAAGGUAAAAUCUAGAUCCUCCACUAAGUAUGCAACAUCUAGUGAUGAGGCUAGCUCUAGUGAUGAUGAGGAUGAUUUAUUGACGCUUUUUGCCAACCUAAACAUGCAACAAAAGGAGAAAUUAAAUGAAUUAAUUAGUGCUAUUCAUGAGAAGGGUGAACUCUUGGACACCCAAGAGGACUUCCUAAUUAAAGAAAACAAAAAGCAUGUUAAGGUUAAAAAUGCUUAUGCUCUAGAGGUAGAAAAUUGUGAAAAAUUAUCUAGUGAGCUAAGCACUUGCCAUGAUGUUAUUUCCAACCUUAGAAAUGAAAAUGCCAAAUUAAUUUCUAAGGUUGAGAAAUCAAAUGUUUGUAAUGAUUCAAUUGACAAUCUUAGAAAUGAUAAUGCUAGUUCAAUUACUAAGAUUGAAAAAUUGAAUGCCUCUCUUGCUAGCCUUAGAAAUGAGAAUGAAAAAUUAAUUGCUAAGGCUAAGGAAUUAGAUGUUUGCAAUAUUUCUAUUUCCAAUCUUAGAGAUGAGAAUGACAUUUUACAUGCUAAGAUUGUUGAACUAAAUUCUUGCAAACCCUCUACAUCUACUGUUGAGCAUGUUACUAUUUGCACUAGAUGUAGAGAUGUUAACAUUGAUGCUAUUCAUGAUCACAUUGCUAUGGUUAAACAACAAAAUGAUCAUAUAGCAAAAUUAGAUGCUAAAAUUGUCGAGCAUGAGUUAGAAAAUGAAAAUUUUAAAUUUGCUCGUAGUAUGCUCUAUAGUGGGAGACGCCCCGGCAUUAAGGAUGACAUUGGCUUCCAACAGGGAGGCAAUGUCAAGCUCAAUGCACCUCCUAAAAGAUUAUCUAACUUUGUUAAGGGCAAGGCUCCCAUGCCUCAGGAUAACGAGGGUUACAUUUUAUACCCUGCCGGUUAUCCCGAGCAUAAAAUUAGGAGAAUUCAUUCUAGGAAGUCUCACUCUGGCUCUCAUCAUGCUUUUAUUUAUAAGAGUGAGGCAUCUAGUUCUAGGCAAUCAACCCGUGCUAAAUUGCCUAAGAAAAAAACUCCUAUUGCAUCAAAUGAACCUAAUGUAUCAUUUAAUACUUUUGAUGCUUCAUAUGUUUUAACUAACAAAUCAGGCAAAAUAGUUGCCAAAUAUGUUGGGGGCAAACACAAGGGGUCAAAGACUUGUGUUUGGGUACCCAAGGUGCUUGUUUCUAAUGUCAAAGGACCCAAGACCGUUUGGGUACCUAAGAACAAGGCCUAAACUUGUUUUGUAGGUUUAUGCAUCCGGGGGCUCAAGUUGGAUCAUCGAUAGCGGGUGCACAAACCACAUGACAGGGGAGAAGAAGAUGUUCUCCUCCUAUGAGAAAAACCAAGAUCCCCAACGAGCUAUCACAUUCGGGGAUGGAAAUCAAGGUUUGGUCAAAGGAUUGGGUAAAAUUGCUAUAUCUCCUGACCAUUCUAUUUCCAAUGUUUUUCUUGUAGACUCUUUAAAUUACAAUUUGCUUUCCGUUUCUCAAUUAUGCAAAAUGGGUUACAACUGUCUUUUUACGGAUAUAGGUGUUACUAUCUUUAGAAGAAGUGAUGAUUCAGUAGCAUUUAAGGGAGUGUUAGAGGGUCAGCUAUACUUAGUUGAUUUCAAUAGAGCUGAACUCGACACUUGCUUAAUUGCUAAGACUAACAUGGGUUGGCUCUGGCAUCGCCGACUAGCCCACGUUGGAAUGAAGAAUCUUCAUAAGCUUCUAAAGGGAGAGCACAUUUUGAGACUAACCAAUGUUCAUUUUGAGAAAGACAGGGUUUGUAGCGCAUGUCAAGCAGGGAAGCAAGUUGGUGUUCAUCAUCCACACAAGAACAUCAUGACGACCGAUAUGCCGCUUGAGCUAUUCCACAUGGAUCUUUUCGGCCCGAUAGCUUACAUAAGCAUCGGCGGGAGUAAGUAUUGUCUUGUAAUUGUGGAUGAUUAUUCUCGCUUCACUUGGGUGUUCUUUUUGCAGGAAAAAUCUCAAACCCAAGAGACUUUAAAGGGAUUCUUGAGACGGGCUCAAAAUGAGUUCAACUUAAGGAUAAAAAAGAUAAUAAGCGACAACGGGACGGAGUUCAAGAACUCUCAAAUCGAAGGCUUCCUUGAGGAGGAGGGCAUCAAGCAUGAGUUCUCUUCUCCCUACACGCCACAACAAAAUGGUGUAGUGGAGAGGAAGAAUAGAACUCUAUUAGACAUGACAAGGACCAUGCUUGAUGAGUACAAGACUUUGGAUCGGUUUUGGGCCGAGGCGGUCAACACUGCUUGCUACGCCAUCAACCGGUUAUAUCUUCACCGAAUCCUCAAGAAGACAUCGUAUGAACUCCUAACCGGUAAAAAGCCCAAUGUUUCAUAUUUUAGAGUCUUUGGUAGCAAAUGCUUUAUUAUUGUUAAAAGAGGUAGAAAAUCUAAAUUUGCUCCUAUGGCUGUAGAAGGCUUUUUACUUGGUUAUGAUUCAAACACAAGGGCAUAUAGAGUCUUUAACAAGUCUGCUGGACUAGUUGAAGUUUCUUGUGUCAUUGUGUUUGAUGAGACUAACGACUCUCAAGUAGAGCAAGUUGAUCUUGAUGAGCUAGAUGAUGAAGAGGCUCCGUGCGUCGCGCUAAGGAACAUGUCCAUUGGGGAUGUGUGUCCUAAGGAAUCUGAAGAGCCUCCACAAGCACAAGAUUAACCAUCUUCCUCCAUGCAAGCAUCUCCACCAAACCAAGAUGAGGAUCAAGCUCAAGAUGAUGAUGAAGAUCAAGAGGAACCACCUCAAGAGGAGGACAAUGAUCAAGGGGGAGAUGCCCAUGAUCAAGAUAAGGAAGAUGAUGAUGGUCCAAGACCGCCACACCCAAGAGUCCACCAAGCAAUACAACGAGAUCACCCCGUGAACUCCAUCCUUGGCGAUAUUCAUAAGGGGGUAACCACUCGAUCUCGUGUUGCUCAUUUUUGUGAACAUUACUCUUUUGUGUCUUCCUUUGAGCCAUAUAGGGUAGAAGACGCAUUAAGGGAUUCGGAUUGGGUGUUGGCAAUGCAAGAGGAACUCAACAACUUCACGAGGAAUGAGAUAUGGCAUCUAGUUCCACGUCCUAACCAAAAUGUUGUAGGAACCAAAUGGGUCUUCCGCAACAAACAAGAUGAGCAUGGUGUGGUGACAAGGAACAAAGCCCGACUUGUAGCCAAAGGAUAUUCACAAGUCGAAGGUUUGGAUUUCGGUGAAACCUAUGCACCCAUAGCUAGGCUUGAGUCAAUUCGCAUAUUACUUGCCUAUGCUACUUACCAUGGCUUCAAGCUUUAUCAAAUGGAUGUGAAGAGUGCCUUCCUCAAUGGACCAAUCAAGGAAGAGGUCUAUGUUGAGCAACCUCCCGGCUUUGAAGAUAGUGAGUAUCCUAACCAUGUUUAUAAACUCUCUAAGGCGCUUUAUGGGCUCAAGCAAGCCCCAAGAGCAUGGUAUGAAUGCCUAAGAGAUUUUCUUUUAGCUAAUGGCUUCGAAGUCAGAAAAGCCGAUCCUACUCUCUUUACUAAAACACAUGCAAAUGAUUUGUUUGUAUGCCAAAUUUACGUUGAUGAUAUCAUAUUUGGGUCUACUAACGAAUCUACAUGUGAAGAGUUUAGUAGGAUCAUGACUCAAAAAUUUGAGAUGUCUAUGAUGGGGGAGUUGAAGUAUUUUCUAGGCUUCCAAGUCAAGCAACUCCAAGAGGGCACCUUCAUUAGCCAAACGAAGUACAUUCAAGACAUUCUUGCAAAGCUUGGGAUGAAGGAUGUCAAGCCCAUCAAGACACCCAUGGGAACAAAUGGGCAUCUUGACCUCGACACGGGAGGUAAAUCCGUAGAUCAAAAGGUAUAUCGGUCAAUGAUAGGUUCUUUACUCUAUUUAUGUGCUUCACGACCGGAUAUAAUGCUUUCCGUAUGCAUGUGUGCAAGAUUCCAAGCCGAUCCUAAGGAAUUUCACCUUAGGGCCGUGAAACGAAUCUUGAGAUAUUUAGUUUAUACUCCUAAGUUUGGCCUUUGGUACCCUAGGGGAUCCACAUUUGAUCUACUUGGUUAUUCGGAUGCUGAUUGGGUAGGGUGUAAAAUUAAUAAAAAGAGCACAUCAGGGACUUGCCAGUUCUUGGGAAGAUCUCUGGUGUCUUGGGCUUCAAAGAAGCAAAAUUAUGUGGCUCUUUCUACCGCCGAAGCCGAGUAUAUUGCCGCAGGCCAUUGUUGCGCGCAAUUGCUUUGGAUGAGGCAAACCCUCAGGGACUAUGGUUACAAAUUAACCAAAGUUCCUCUUCUAUGUGAUAAUGAGAGUGCAAUCCGCAUGGCGGAUAAUCCCGUUGAGCAUAGCCGCACUAAACACAUAGCCAUUCGGUAUCACUUUUUAAGGGGUCACCAACAAAAGGGGGAUAUCGAGAUUGCAUAUGUUAACACCAAACAACAAUUAGCCGAUAUCUUUACCAAGCCAUUAGAUGAGCAAACUUUUACCAAACUUAGGCAUGAGCUAAAUAUUCUUGAUUCUAGGAAUUUUGAUUGAUAUUUUGCACACAUAGCUCAUUUAUAUACCUUUGAUCAUAUCUCUUUCAUGUGCUAUGACUAAUGUGGUUUCAAGUGCAUUUCAUGCUAAGUCAUAGAUUGGAAGGGAAUUGGAGACUUCGGCGAAGACAAAGGCUUCCACUCCACUCCAUCGAAUUAUUCAUCCUUCGCCGUUGCUCCGCACCGCUCUCCAAUUUGGUAUAAUCUUCACUCACAUAUUAUUUACCAUAGGGGGAGAAAGUAGUAAAGGGCUUAUAUUUCACUCACAAGUAUCCGUUUUUGGCGAUUCAUGCCAAAGGGGGAGAAAGUAUUAGCCCAAAGCAAAAUGACAGCACCACCACCAAUUUCAAAAAUGUAGUCUUUCAAAUUUGUGUUAAGAAAAGAUGUUUCUAUUGGUAUCUUAGUUUGAUAUAAUUUCAAAUUGGUAUACCCUCUUCAAAAAUAAUAUCUAAAACCCUCUUCAACACUAAGAGGAGGAUUUCAUUAAGGGGGAGUUUUGUUUAGUCAAAGAAAAGCAUUUGAAACAGGGGGAGCAAACUUCAAAUCUUGAAAAUGCCUCUCAAAAUCUUAUUCAUAUACCUUUGACUAUUUGCAAAAAGACUUUGAAAAGAAUUUCCAAAACUUUGCAAAACAAAACAAGUGGUGCAAGCGAGGUCCAAAAUUUUAAAUUAGAAGAAAGCCAUCCAUGCAUAUCUAGUAGAAAUAAUUAUUGGUUUCAUUCCAAGCAACCUUUGCACUUACCUUAUGCAAACUAGUUCAAUUCUACACCUUUAUAUUUGCUUUGGUUUGUGUUGGCAUCAAUCACCAAAAAGGGGGAGAUUGAAAGGGAAAUAGGCUUACACCUUUUCCUAUAUGAAUUUUGGUGGUUGAAUUGCCCAACACAAAUAAUUGGACUAACUAGUUUGCUCUAGAUUAUAAGUUUUACAGGUGCCAAAGGUUCACAACAAACCAAUAAAAAGACCAAGAAAGGGUUCAAAUAAAAAGAGCAAAAGACUACCGAAGUGUGCCCUGAUCUGGCGCACCGGACUGUGUCCGGUGUGCCAGGGAACCCGACUCCAAACUUGCCACCUUCGGGAAUUCUGGGGGGCCCUCCGCUAUAAUUCACCGGACUGUCCGGUGUGCCAGCGGAGCAACGGCUACAUCACGCCAACGAUUGUCUGCAGAGAGCAGUUAAUGCGCUAUAGUGCGCGCAAAAGUUAGAGCAGAGCCAAAAGGCGCACCGGACAGUGAACAGUGAUUGUCUGGUGCACCACCGGACUGUCCGGUGGCCCAGAAGUCAAAAGCUCCAACGGUCAGAACCCAACAGCCGGGUGACAUGACUGGCGCACCGGACAAUGUCCGGUGGCACACCGGACUGUCCGGUGCGCCAUGCGACAGCAGCCUCCACCAAACAGCUAGUUUGGUGGUUGGGGCUAUAAAUACCCCCAACCACCCACCAUUCAUUGCAUCCAAGUUUUUAGCCUUCAAACACCUUACAAGAGCUAUAGCAUUCAAUACAAGACACAAUCAAAGAUAUCAAAUCCUCUCCCAGGUCCAAAGAUCAUUCCAAUCAAAUAGUGACUAGUGAGAGAGAGACUUGUGUUUAUUUGAGCUCUUGCGCUUGGAUUGCUUUUCUUCUUCAUUCUUUCUUGAUUCCAACUCAAUUGUAACCAAGACAAGAGACACCAAUUGUGUGGUGGUCCUUGUGGGGACUUAGUGUCCUGUUUGAUCGAGAAGAGAAGCUCACUCGGUUUAAGUGACCGUUUGAGAGAGGGAAAGGGUUGAAAGAGACCCGGUCUUUGUGACCACCUCAACGGGGAGUAGGUUUGCAAGAACCGAACCUCGGUAAAACAAAUCACCAUGUCAUCCGCUUUAUUUGCUUGUGAUUUGUUUUCGCCCUCUCUUUCAGACUCGUUUAUAUUUCUAACGCUAACCCCGGCUUGUAGUUGUGCUUAAAGUUUGUAAAUUUCAGAUUCGCCCUAUUCACCCCCCUCUAGGUGACUUACACUUAGUGAAUGCUUGUGUAGCUCCUCCCUGCGCCUAGGGGUCCCUUUUAUAGCCCCAAGGCAGGUAGGAGCCGUUGGAGGCCAACAAGGAAGGCCAAACUUGCCUUCUGUCGGGUGGUGUACCGGACAGUCCGGUGCACCACCGGACAGUCACUGUAGCUGUCCGGUGCGCGAUCUCCUUCCUUUUCUGGCGCACCCGACCAUUACAGCUUUGGGCCCGUUGGCACACCGGACACUGUCCGAUGCACACCGGACACUGUCCGAUGCACACCGGACAGUCGGGUGCCCCCUGCCGACCGUUGGUGCGGGCCACGCGUCGCCCGCGGAUUGCGCGACUGUAACGCCCUGAAUUUGGGUGUAGAAUUUUUUCUUCUUUUCUCUCACCAAAUUCGGGCGUUACUCUCUUUUCUCUUUCCCCGUUUGCUCCUUCUUCCCAAUUUCAAACCAGUAUAGCGACAAGUGCCCGUGUCAUGUAUAAACCAAAACCUAAGUGUCAUGGGUGUUGCAUCAUGCCGAAGCACUUUUCUUUGUCUGAUGUUGAGUGUUUGUCUCGUUCCGUUCCGGAUUUCGAUUCACGAUUUAAUUCAGUUUAGUGGUCCGCGCACGUCGUGGGUUUUCAAUCCGCGAAGUGGCUCGACCCAGCCUAGCCCAGCCCAGCCAAGCCGGCCCGGUCCGACCCGGCCCUGCGCGCCCCUGGCGCCCAACCCCCCCAUGGGCCCCCUCCUCUCUCUCUCUCUCAUUUGGAUCUCCCGCGCAACAACCUCUCCUCUCCCUCUUCCACCUCUCUCUCCCUGUGGUGCCCUAGGAUUUGGAGACGGCGAUCACCGGAUUUUGGACCCCGAGGUGAGCUCCCCUCCCCUCCCCUUCUCCUCUCUCUCUCUCCCUCUCCCUCCUCUUCUCUCCCCCGCGCGCGCCCUCUCUCUCCCCCUGCUCGCGCGCGCCCCCGCCCUCCCCUGGCCCGCGGCGGCGCGGCCCCGCCCCUACCCGCGCGGCGGCGCGCGGCCCCCGCCCCCCUGCCUGCGCGGCGGCGCCCCGGCCCCGCUCCCUGCUUCCCCGGCGCGGCGCGGCCCCGCCCGGCCUCCCCUCGCGGCGGCGCCCGCGGCCCCGCCCUGCUCCCCCGCGGCGCGCGACCCCGCUCCGGCCUCCCCGCGGCGGCGCUCGCCCCCGUCCCAGCCCCGUGCGCGGCGGCGUGGCCCCGGCGGCUCCCUGCUCGCCCGGCGCGGCCCCCGGAGCGGCGGCGUGGCCCCGGCGCAGCCCCUGGCCAGUUCAACCCCCCCGGUUCAACAGCCCCGGCCCGGUCGCCCCGCCCCCGUCCCGGCCUCGCCCGACCGUAUCCUCGCUCGCCCGCGCUCGCGAUGAUUAUUUGUUAGUCGAUAUUUAAUGUCAAACUCUGUUAGUUAGCGUGCUGCGUCGCGCGCUUCGCCGCGCGACGGAUUGUCUAAAUUCAGAUUCUAUCUAUGUGCUGCGUCGUGCGCUUCGUCGCGCGACGAUCCAUUUUAAUUUCAGGUUGUUUAAGGUGUAACGCCGCGUGUGUAUUCACGCGACGUUCCACUUUGGACUCAGUUUAGUCGACGUAUGCUGUCGCACGUCUUGCCGCGCGACCAUCCUCUUUAUUUAUCUCCACCUGCUUAUAAUGAUUAGACAUGAAACAUGACUUUACUUUACGCUAAACAUAGUGUCUACAUUAAAUUUCCUUCCAUUAAGCGAGUGGUUAAUUUAUAAUCAUGUAACGUGAUCGUUUCUCGACUGUCUUUUCCUCUUUCUCUCUUAACCGUACUCGCGAACCCGCGUGGAACGUCUGUUUACUUAUUGCAUUCUAUUGUAUGGUGUACUGUUCUUUUGUAUUAAAUAUGUGGAUGUAUGUAUGUUUGCAAUCGCAUAGAGAACGAUCCGGUUGAAGAGCCCGAGGAACUCGCAGGAGAAGCCCCUGAGCAGCAGUCGGUUGGUGGAGGCAAGUGUCCCUUGACCUAUCUCUGUCCUAUUCAUUAUUUAAUUCACCUCCCGCAUUACACAUUUAUACCUAAGGAUUUCCUAGAUUUUGUGAUCCAUGUCCUUGUUUACCUAUCUGGGUUGGAUUAUUAUUGUUUAGCUUUAUGCUAUUGCUCAAACUCUAAUCAAUGAACAUGAUGAGAUUAUCUAUGAUACGAUGUUUUCCCCUUUCUUAUGAUGAUGUUAUACUUGUGGUCUUCAAGGGGGCUCGAGCGGUUUCUCGAGUGCCUCUCUGUAAGGACCUGUUCUUUGGAUGACCGCCCGGGAAAACAGUGCAACCAUGAGGGUGGAAUGGGGUGCCCUUAGCUGAAUAAUUAGAGGAUCCGGGGUGUAGUUCGCUUAGCCGUCGUGCCGUCAAUGGGGCUCGGUGUAUGCGGCUUGCUCUGCCAAGUUUGGGUUCGCCCCUUGGGGAGGAGUGCGGUGCAUUUAGGAAACCUAACGGGUGGCUACAGCCCCGGGGAAUCUUUGUAAAGGCUACGUAGUGAUGCCCUGCUAGGCCACCUAGGUAGUGGUCAAUGGGGAGUAGCUCUCUCCGGGAAGAAAGGGAAUCACGACUUGUGGGUAAAGUGCACAACCUCUGCAGAGUGUUUGAAAACUGAUAUAUCAGCCGUGCUCGCAGUUAUGAGCGGCCAAGGGAGCUCCAGUGAUUAGUGGUACUUGAUCAGAGAUACUUUGGUACAGGUGGCGAUGAGAUCAAUGGUUUUGGUUAUGACUAUGGUGCUGGUAAGUGGUAUUCUUUCCGUUUGGAAAGGGUACAUCGGGCUAAUAACUUGGGUUAAUGCUAAAACCUGGCUUUUUCAUUAGUAAAUAAUAAUCUGACCAACUAAAAGCAACUGCUUGACUUAUCCCCACAUAAAGCUAGUCCACUACAGCCAAACACGAUACUUGCUGAGUAUGUUGAUGUGUACUUGUGGGGGAUAGAUAUCCCCUGGGUCCACUAAAGAAGUAAAAGGCCUCACGAAAGGCCCAAGGGCCCGAUAAUUCGUAAGGUCAUUCUUUCGUGGGCCUAGGGAAAGACAACCAACAAAGAAGACGUGAGACUGAUUAGUGCAAACCCAAGCGGCCCACAACGUCGAACGAAUGAAUCACAACAGAGACCCGACUUUCCCGCGCUGAAGCCCCCAUGCAACAGAGCCGUGCGAGGAUAAGUCGGCGAGGGGUACGUAGGGAUAAACUCAAGAGGUUCACUAUCUUUUAGCUACUUGUUGUUAUCAUAUUCACGUGUACUGCCCCACGGUCGAGUAUAUAAGGCCUAGGGGGCACCCCUUCAGAUCGAUCGACCCUGUUCUACUUAGCCACCCACAAAAACUCUCUGCACCCUCUAUCCAGAGAAUCCUCUUGUAACCACGCUCAUAUACUCACCAGGACGUAGGGUGUUACGCACUUCUAAGCGGCCCGAACCUGCAAACCUUGUCCAUUGUCCCUCGUGCGAUCGGCACGAACCAUUUUGCUACAGUCGUUGACACCGUCCUACUCCUAAAAACACCUUGAGGGGCAACCCCGGGUGUGCGGUCGGACCCAAAACACCGACAGCUGGCGCGCCAGGUAGGGGGUGUGUCGACGAUCCAAGCUAGCUCAAUGGCCGUCACCUUCCACAGCAAGAUUGUCGUGCGUCCCGGAUCUGUAUUCUGCUUCGGGACAAUCUCAUCCAUAGCGGACGAAGAGGGAAUUCUACACCGCCUCGCAGAUCUGCCGGAACAGAAGUCUCCCCCAACAAACUCCGAAAAUGCUGAAAAGGCGCUACCUCCGGCUCUUCGGAAAAAGAUCGUCUCCGGGGAGGCUGGAGCUAGAAGCUCGCUGACCCGGAAGACUCCGCUGUCUACUUCCCCGACGAGGGAAUGGACACGGGUCGUGAGAAAGAAGGAGACCAGGGAGAGGCAAGUCGUUCUUCCCGUUCCUCCGACCUCAAAGGAGAACGGAAAGAAAGUCGCCGCGGUAGCAAUACCGUUCUACCCCGACGUCCUCUUCAUCGGGAGAGCAGAGUCGCCCGCCGUCUCCGACGAUGAACCGACCGCGCCUGGAGAAGAACCGCCUCAGCGAGAAUCCCGCCGACGAAGGAACCGACGCAGGAACGUUCGACGACAUCACGCAGCUGGAGAACGGGAUCCGGAGCAGCCUGUCUCGCGAGACGAGGUCUCAGAGAUAGGAGAAACUCCGGAAGAACGCGUCUUCAGGGAACGAAGGAACUCCCGACGACGUGAUCGCCGUCGGACUCAGGAGCAAGCCGAGCAAGAUGCAAGGCAACGACGCGAGAAUCCGCUCUUCGGGCGCAACUUGAACCCCGACUUCGCCCGAGCUAUGAACACGCCGAGCGAAGUCGGAGGCGUUCUAGCCCGGAUAGCUGACGGACUUCCUCGGACUCCCGACGCCGAGGGAUACCGACGCCUGUUCACUCAGGCAGCCAACCAUCUUCUACCGCUCGCUCACCCGCUGAACGAUUUGCGACACGCCAUCAACAGUCGCCGAGACGCGCGAAGCUCUAUCAAUGCUUCGCGCGAAUGGCGGCACGAGAAUGAAAUUCGCCGUUGGGAGGAGUAUGACCGAGAUCAUGGCUUCCCGACUCAAAGCCAGGCCACCCGAACUGAGUUGGCAACAGCUUCAACUGGUGGAACCACCCGGGGACGGUCGAGGAACCACCACCGCCACUCCCCUCCCCGGGACAGACGACAUCCUCGACGACAGGAGGACACGUGCGGAGUAUCCGCCCUUACUCCGCGCCUUAGGGCCAUCCAAUGGCCUCCCAACUUCAAGGUAUCCAAUGUCGACAAAUAUGAACCUAAGCAGGAUCCAGGGGGUUGGUUAGCCGUCUACACCACCGCUGCUCGGGCUGCCGGGGCAUCCGAAGACGUCAUGACUGCGUAUCUGCCCAUCGUCCUCGGGCAAGACGCGCUGCAGUGGCUACGACAUCUACCCCGACAUUGCAUCGACGACUGGGGGGACUUCAGUCGACGUUUCACCGCCAACUUCCAGUCUCUCUCCGACAAGCCAGCGCAACCAUGGGACCUCAAAUCCAUCAAGCGCCGGGGGGAUGAGACUCUCCGGUCAUACCUUAAAAGGUUCCAGACCAUGAGAAACCGCAUCCCCGAGGUCACGGAGGCGGCCGUGAUCGAGGACUUCUACAGAGGAUCUAACGACUCGGCUUUCGUCCGAGCCAUACUGCAAAAGGCGCCGACUACCUCCGAGGAGCUGUUCCGGGGAGCCGACCUCUACAUCACCGCUGACGAGCGGGCCCAGAACCUCAUCGGAGGAGCAAAGCCCGCACCGGCAGCACCACGACGCGACGCGAACCAGCCGCCCGACAAGCGCUGGGAGAAGAGGCCCCGCGAGGAGGUACACGCCGCUGGACCACCCGCCUCUCGCGCCCGAGGAGGACCUCGUGGAGGUGAACGCACGCUGGACGACAUCCUCGACGCCCAGUGCCCGUACCACAAGGACAUGCGCCACACUCUCCGCAACUGCCGGGAUUUCAAGCACUCCGUCGGGCAUGGCCGACCCUUCCAACCUCUACCGCCUCCUCCGCCGAGGGGAGGACCAGAUGAACCACGACAGCCCCAUCAGCCGGAGGAGGGGGGAGGAGGAGCUUUCCCACGCGUUGACAGGGAGGUCAACGUCAUCUUCGGCGGACAUGGGUCGCAGGAGAACAAGAGACAACAAAAGCUCAACGACCGCCAGAUACUGGUGGCGACCACCGGCCCUCCCGCCCCGUACCGGUGGUCGGAGCACCCAAUCACGUUCACUCGGGAGGAUCAAUGGCUCAACUUUGACCAUCCAGGCAAAUACCCGCUCCUUGUCGAUCCGGUGAUCCGAGAGAGCCGGGUAAAGAAGGUGCUAGUGGACGGGGGGAGCAGCAUCAACGUCACCUUCCCCCGUACGCUCCAAGGCUUGGGAGUUCACCUCAAAGAGCUCCACGAGUCAGACACUCCUUUCUUCGGCAUCGUACCGACGGAAGGGGAAUACCCGCUGGGCCACAUCUACAUGCCGGUCACCUUCGGGACUCCGGAUAACUACAGAACCGAGUUCCUGAGGUUCGAGGUGGCGAACUUCGACUGCGGUUACAACGCCAUCAUCGGAAGGCCGGGGCUGGCCAAAUUCAUGGCCAUCCCACACUAUACGUACAUGAUACUGAAGAUGUCAGGACCGCAAGGAAUCAUAACUGUGCGCGCCGACUUCCAAGGCGCCGCAGAAUGUUUCCGAGUGGCCAUCCAAGCAGCCCUCACCACCAAGCCGUCAACGGUUCCUUCUACGCCGGCGAACUCUAAGCCUGAGGAAGACCUCGCCGUGCCGGCAAACGAAGCUCAGGCCGCGACCUCUAUGCGGCCGACUGAAGAAACCAAGCGGAUCAACCUGGGGUUUGCCGAUGAGCGCAAGGCGGCCAUCAUCAGCUCCAGUUUGAAUGACAAAUAGGAAAGCGCGCUCGUCCAGUUCCUGCAAGAUAACCGAGACGUAUUCGCAUGGCAACCUGCGGAUAUGCCGGGAGUCCCGAGGGAGUUGGCCGAGCACAAAUUGAAAGUCUAUCCUCAUGCGAGGCCGAUCCGGCAAAAGCUGCGUCGUUUCACACCCGACAAGAGAGAGGCCAUUCGUGCCGAGUUAGCUCGCUUGGUCGCGGCCGGAUUUAUUAGAGAAGUAUUACACCCCGAGUGGUUAGCCAACCCUGUUCUUGUACUCAAAAAGAAUAAAGUGGAUUGGCGCAUGUGCGUCGACUAUACUGAUCUCAACAAACACUGUCCGAAGGAUCCCUUCGGGCUCCCGAGGAUAGAUCAGGUGGUGGAUUCCACCGCUGGAUGUUCUAUGCUGUCUUUCUUAGAUUGCUAUUCCGGAUAUCAUCAGAUUAGUUUGGCAAAAGAAGACGAGGAAAAAACGGCGUUCAUCACCCCGUUUGGUGCUUUCUGUUAUACCUCCAUGCCGUUCGGCCUCAAAAACGCUGGAGCGACUUAUCAGAGGGCCAUUCAAACAUGCUUAGCCGAUCACUGGGGCAAGCGUGUGGAGGCUUACGUAGACGACGUGGUGAUUAAAACGGAGAAUCCGGAAGACUUCAUCGAAGACUUACAGCUAGUUUUCAAUAGCCUGAGAAGAUAUAGAUGGAAGCUCAAUCCUGAGAAAUGCGUCUUCGGGGUACCAGCAGGAAAGUUACUCGGAUUUAUUGUCAGCCACCGGGGAAUUGAAGCUAAUCCAGAUAAGAUUGAAGCUAUCAUGAAGAUGGAAGCCCCUCGAUCGCAAAAGAAGGUUCAGCGACUCACCGGAUGUAUGGCAGCCCUGAGCAGAUUCAUAUCCAGGCUGGGAGAAAAAGGUCUGCCAUUUUACAAACUACUCAAGAAGGUGGAUAAGUUUCAAUGGACGUCAGAAGCACAAGAAGCUCUAGAUGCACUGAAGAAAUUCCUGACAACACCACCAGUACUAAAACCGCCCCGGCGAGCUACGCCGACUCAACCGGCUGAAGAUUUGCUGCUAUAUAUCUCUUGCACGACUCACGUGGUAAGCACUGCGUUGGUAGUCGAGCGAGUGGAAGAGGGGCAUGCCUAUCCGGUACAACAUCCUGUCUACUUCAUCAGUGAGGUUCUAGGCCCAUCGAAGAAAAAGUAUCCUCAAGUUCAGAAGCUAUUAUAUGCAGUACUUCUAACUGCCCGCAAGCUGCGCCACUACUUCGACGACCACAAAGUCAUAGUAGUUACUGGUUUUCCAAUAGGGGACAUUCUUCACAACAAGGAAGCCAUUGGCCGAAUAGCCAAGUGGGCUUGCGAGUUGGGAUCCCAUGAUAUCGAGUUCCGACCUCGCACAGCCAUCAAGACUCAAGCACUGGUUGAUUUCGUAUCAGAAUGGACAGAACAGCAAGUACCGGAUAAUCCAGAAACCGCAGAAGUAUGGCGAAUGUAUUUUGAUGGCUCGCUGAAGCUGCAGGGAGCAGGAGCAGGAAUUCUCUUCACUGCACCUGGAGGCGAGCACCUCAAGUAUGCUCUCCAGUUGCUAUUCCCGGCCUCUAACAACGCAGCCGAGUAUGAAGCUUUGAUACACGGAUUAAACAUCGCCAUAUCACUGGGUAUCAAGAGACUGAUGGUGUAUGGAGACUCUCUGGUAGUCAUCAGUCAGAUAAACAAGGAAUGGGAUUGUUCAAGUGAUUCAAUGGGAAAAUACUGCGCCGUCGUCCGGAAGCUAGAAGAUAAAUUCGAGGGUCUGGAGUUUCAUCAUAUAGAAAGAGAUCGGAACACGGCAGCCGAUGUACUGUCCAAGCUCGGAUCCGGUCGGACUCAGGUCCCGCCCGGAAUCUUUGUGCAAGAAAUUCUCCAGCCGAGCAUCUCGACGGAUCAAAUAGAAGAGUGCAACAUCAUAGAUCAACCCGAGUCAGACUCUGAUGACUGGAGGCAACCGAUUAUUAAGUAUAUAAAGAAUGAAGAAGAACCAGAUGACAAGAACUCGGCAGAGCGCAUUGCCAGACAAUCAGCUCACUAUACACUCAUUGGGGAGGUAUUAUACAGGAGGGGCGCGUCAGGCAUCCUCAUGAAGUGCGUUCUCCCGUCCACUGGGAAGCAACUUCUGGAGGAAGUCCAUGCUGGGCAGUGUGGAGUACAUGCAGCAUCCAGAACACUAGUCGGGAAGGUUUUCAGGUCAGGAUUCUAUUGGCCCACAACGAAGAAUGAUGCAGCCGAGUUAGUUCAGAGAUGCGAAGCUUGCCAAUACCUGUCAAAGCAACAGCACAUGCCAGCACAGCAGCUACAGACCAUACCAGUUACCUGGCCUUUCGCAUGCUGGGGACUGGAUAUGAUUGGACCUUUCAAGAAAGCUCAAGGGGGAUAUACUCAUGUAUUGGUGGCGAUUGAUAAAUUCACUAAAUGGAUAGAGUUCAAGCCCAUUGCUUCUUUAACCUCUGCUAAAGCCGUGGAAUUCAUACAAGACAUAAUAUUCAGAUUUGGGAUACCAAACAAUAUCAUCACUGACUUGGGAUCCAACUUCACCAGUUCAGAAUUCUUUGACUUCUGCGAGCAAAAAAGCAUUCAGAUCAAGUAUGCAUCUGUAGCUCAUCCGAGAGCCAACGGUCAGGUUGAGCGAGCCAAUGGAAUGAUAUUGGAGGCACUUAGAAAAAGGGUCUUUGAUAAAAACGAAAAAUUCGCAGGAAAAUGGAUAAGAGAAUUGCCUUAUGUUGUUUGGAGCUUGAGAACCCAACCUAGCCGGGCCUUGCAUGGAAACACUCCUUUCUUCAUGGUCUAUGGGUCGGAGGCAGUACUACCUGCUGAUCUCAAGUUUGGGGCGCCAAGAUUGAUCUUCGAAAGCAUAGCAGAAGCCGAAGCCACUAGGCUGGAGGAUAUUGACGUACUUGAAGAAGAACGACUGAAUGCAGUGAUUCAAUCAGCACGAUACCAGCAGACUCUAAGGCGCUACCACGACAAAGCUGUGCGGCAACGUUUCUUUUCGAUGGGAGACCUCGUCCUCCGCCGAAUUCUAACGGGGGAGGGACGGCACAAGUUAUCACCCUUAUGGGAAGGACCUUUCAUAGUAGCAGAGGUCACUCGUCCCGGAUCAUAUCGCCUCACCCAGAUGGAUGGCACAGAAGUUGGGAACUCCUGGAACAUAGAGCACCUCCGAAAGUUUUACCCCUAGCUGUAUUUCAAAACAGCCGGGGCGACCAUGUAUUCUGUAUAAUAGAAAUACGUCAUCAAUAAAGAGAGAUUUCAAAGAUACUUGGCUCAUUUAUGAUUGACUUGCAUUCUUACUUAACUCGGGGUGACCACUAUGCCCUACGAACGGAGCAAUCGACUUAAGUUGGCGACGACUUAAGGCGGUGCAACAUGCUCACGCUUACUUAACUCAGGGUGACCACUAUGCCCUACAAACGGAGCAAUCGACUUAAGUCGGCGACGACUUAAGACGGUGCAACAUGCUCACGCUUACUUAACUCGGGGUGACCACUAUGCCCUACGAACGGAGCAAUCGACUUAAGUCGGCAACGACUUAAGGCGGUGCAACAUGCUCACGCUUACUUAACUCGGGGUGACCACUAUGCCAUACGAACGGAGCAAUCGACUUAAGUCGGCAACGACUUAAGGCGGUGCAACAUGCUCACGCUUACUUAACUCGGGGUGACCACUAUGCCUUACGAACGGAGCAAUCGACUUAAGUCGGCGACGACUUAAAGCGGUGCAACAUGCUCACGCUCACUUAACUCGGGGUGACCACUAUGCCCUACAAACGGAGCAAUCGACUUAAGUCGGCAACGACUUAAAGCGGUGCAACAUGCUCACGCUUAUUUUUCCUAGGGUGACCACUAUACCCUACUAACGGAGUUACCGGCUAAAAAGUCAUUGACGGCUUAAACCGGUAUAGCAUACUCGCGCUUAUGCAGUUCAAGGGAUGAUCUCCAUAUCCCGCAAACAAACUUCAUAAUCAUCAUGUAGCGUUACCACAAAUUCAAAAUUCGGAUACAAUAAGAAGUGAUGACGUCAUUCGAAUGAUAAGCCGAUAACCUCUAACGAGUACUUGAUCAGGCUAACUGCGCGCUCUGAGCACGCGAACUGUUUCUUUAUUUUCCAAUAUCUUUCUCAGGAACGACCGACGAAGAAGGGCGAUUCGAAGAAUCAGGGGCAACAUUCACAUCGGCUCUUAUAUCUUCAGGGACAACCACACCGGGUCUUCUCAUCAAGAUUCGUCCCGCCCGAAUGGCCUUGUCCAGGGCCUUAUCGCGCUGAGCUUUGAAAGUGACAGCAGCUUCUUCGGCAACUUUAACAGCCUGCUGAGCAGUUUCUAAGUCCUGAGCAAUGGAUUUCUUGGAAGCUCGGAGUCCCUUGAUGGUGGCAUCCUUUGCCGAUAGCAACUGUGUAAGACGGGUCACUUCGUCCGAGGAUUCUUGCAGCUGACGGCGCUGAUUGUCAAGCUCCUCCAUCGUAAAACGGUGGCUCCUCUCCAGGAUGGUCAGCGAGUUGCUGGAGUCUCGGUACAAUCUGUCCAGGUUGUCGCGAGAAGCAGCAAGGAUGCGUUUUUCUUCCUACAAGCAAAAAUCAACUCAUUCAGAAUCCAAGAGUAUAAUAAGGCGAAGCACGGGUUCGUAAGCUACCUUCUCAGAGUCAAGCUGAGCAUGAAGAGAAGAACUCAGAGCGUUGGCAUCAUCCAAAGCCGCAGAGACCUGACUCAACUCGAUCUGACUCUGAGAAUACUUCUCCUCGAAGUCAGCGCAUCGUCGAGCCAUUUCAGCUUGAUCUUGGGAAUGUUUCUCUUCAAGAACUGUGAUCUGCCGAGUCAUCCCUAUCAAGAGGUAUUCAGACAAAAUGAGGUCAGAAGGUAAAACAAUCCACGGACAAGAACAAAGAAGAAGAAGAAAGGACACUAACCAGCAUUAGUUGCCUCCAACUCAGAUACACAGCCCCGAAGCAACACCGGAUUCCAACGCUCAAGAGAUGAAGCCACCUCCGGGAUGGAAGCACCCUGCGACUUCAGCUGGCCGACCAUUCCAUCCACCAAAGCCUGAUAAGAAGAGCGAAUGAACAUAAUGGCAACAAUUCAUACAACAUAAAGAUCAAACUAAAGCACAGCACAGCACCUGGAAGUUGGAAAAAAACGAAGGGAUCCCCAAGUCAGGAGAAAUCGGAUGAUGACCAGGUGCCAGACCACCACCCGAAGCAGCUUGCAGCAGACCAGCAGGGACGAGCUCAGUACAUUCAGCAGAGCCUAACGCCAGACCAGUGGGGAUGCUGCCCUCUAAAGCGACCCCCUGAUCCGGAGUUUGAGCCAUCACCAUGCCGCCAGAGUGUGGAGGUGAACCCACAUGAACAUCCAUGGAAGUGCAGGAGGGAGACCUCGCUCGGACACCCUCGGGGGCUGGGUCAAGGUUGGCACUGCCCACUCGAGCCGGGUCAUCCCCGGCAACACCCUCGGGGGCUGGGCAGUGGCCUACACUCCUCACCCGAGCUGAGCCCUCCCCGGCGACAUCCUCGGGGGCUGGGCACGUGUCAGCACUAUUCAAGGGAUCCAAGCUCUCUGCCGUGACCACCUCUAAGGUUGACGGGCCUUCAGCUGCUUCCAUGGGAUCAGGCCGAUCCAAGUCAUCAUUCCGACCCUCGAGAUCAUGCUCUAAGGUCGACGAGGCACGGGAUGACCUCAACCCAGCAUCUGGCACGGCUGCACAAGUUUCUGUUGCAUCAACAUCUGCAGUUUCCAACAGCAAGUUCUCAGGGACCAUAUCCUCUAGAGCUUGAUCAAAAUUGGCCAUGGACAGUUCUUGCAGACCAAUAAGGGCAGACAAAGCAGGAGAAGGGACUCCACUACUUCCACCGCUAGCGACGAACUGCCGACUGUUUUUUCGAGUUAAUGGAGUUUCAUUUUCUUCCUCUUCAUCUUCCACUGUAACAGCACAAACAGCAUCCUCAUUGGGGUCAGCAGCAGGCGGAGCACACCCAUUGGGAUCAAUGUCAGCAAGGCCCGUUGCAGUCAUUUCUUCGGCAGCAGGGGCCAAGGUACUGGCAUCCUCGUCAAAGCUGGACACUCGCCGGAGGCGUCUUCUUUUCUUCUUCUGCUCAUCAGCAUAAGGCUCGGGCUGACUGGUUCGGCUAGGACGCCUCGGGCGAGUACUGACAGGUUUCGAGACAUCCAAGGUCGCAUCAACCUCUGGAAGGGGCACCACUGCCAAUGUACCAUCAGGAGCAGCAUCAGAUGAAUCCUCAGCUAGCAGAUCGAGCAUGUCAUUUAUGUCUGCAUCACUAGGGUUCAGGGGCACUUCAAAAUAAAUCUGCCGUUCAUCAUCAGGUAUCUCCCCGAGCGAAGCAACUAAGGAACGGACCUCUUCAGCAGAGGGUCGCACUCUAAGACCCAAAUUGCUAUCUGUCACGGGCGGAUUGGACACAAAAAGGGUGAAAGCUUUGGGAGAAGGUAGGUUCCAAGCCGAGUAUGCCACUGGAGCACCAACGUUUGAAACUUUACCCCUGAGGAUCAUUUCGAGUCGGCUUACCAAAUCAACAGAAGGAAUUCUCCUAUUGGUAACUCGGGUUGAGUCGGCCAGCCCUCGGUAAAGAUAUGCCGGAUAGGCCCUGUCUUUCAGCGGCUGAAUGUUUUUGAAAACAAAAUCUGUGACCACAGCUUCGGCAGUCAGACCUCUCUCUUUCAGUAAUCCAACUUCAGUAAGCAACACGCUUGCCUCGGCCACUUCUUGGUCCGUGGGAGACUCAGUCCAACUCGGAGUACGAACGUCCGGCUGUCUUCCUGAGCGGGAAGGGAGAGAAUUUCCAUAAUUAUCCAUUAUAAACCACUCCAGACGCCAACCUUUAAUGCUGUCUUUGAGGGGUAUCUCGAGAUACUCGGUCUUCCGCCCACGGCGCAUCUCCAAACUGGCACCUCCGACCAACUGAUGUUGCCCCCCGGCCAUCCCAGGGCGGCAGUGAUAUAGAUACUUCCAUAAGCCAAAAUGCGGCAGCACGCCAAGAUAAGCUUCGCAAAGGUGAACGAAAAUAGAGAUUUGGAGAAUGGAUUUAGGGUUCAAGUGAGUCAGGUUGAUGUGAUAAAAAUCAAGGAUGCCACGGAAAAAAGGAGAUAUGGGAAGGCCGAGGCCGCGAAGAAGGAAAGGAGUGUAAACCACUGACUCGUGGGUAUCUUCGGUUGGGACAGUAGUCCCGUGGCAAGCCCGCCAAGAACAGAGUUCCCGUGGAGGGAGAACCCCGAUGGAGACAAGGCGGAGAAGCUCAGCUUCAGAAAUUACAGACAUAUGGUUACCUGCGAAGGGUAACUGACUGUUGGGGUCGAUGGCGGGGAUCACUGCGGCAGACGAGUUCGUAGUCUUCCUCUUGGGCGCCAUCUUGCUUCUCGCUGGCGAAACAGAGUAGGAGGCGAGUGGCAGAGAAGAUUCAGAUGCGGAAAUGCAAGAACUAGGGCACGGAAAGCAAAGGCGGCUAAAAGCGCGACUCUUAAGGGAUAUUCUUGAGCCAGAUACCCUUUCAAAAAGUGCCCAGUCAUCACCCGGCGGUCAUCUCCGAAAUCCCAGCAUGCCACGUGGAUAUCCGACAGUUAUUUCCAAGAAAGCCGACGUGCCACCUCAUCACUCGGUUAUUUUCCUCAAAGUAACUUGUGAAGCUGGCUAUCACUCGGCGUUGCCUCUAAAACGCCGACCACGUGUUCAAUCGCUCGGCAUUACUUCUAAAAUGCCGACGCUGACUUUCAAUCACUCGGCGUUGCCUCUAAAACGCCGACCACGUGUUCAAUCGCUCGGCAUUACUUCUAAAAUGCCGACGCUGACUUUCAAUCACUCGGCGUUGCCUCUAAAACGCCGACCACGUGUUCAAUCGCUCGGCAUUACUUCUAAAAUGCCGACGCUGACUUUCAAUCACUCGGCGUUACCUCUAAAACGCCGAUCACGUGUUCAAUCGCUCGGCAUUACUUCUAAAAUGCCGACGCUGACUUUCAAUCACUCGGCGUUGCCUCUAAAACGCCGAUCACGUGUUCAAUCGCUCGGCGUUGCCUCUAAAAUGCCGAAGCCGACCUUCAAUCACUCGGCGUUGCCUCUAUAACGCCGACCACGUGUUCAAAUCGCUCGGCGUUGCCUCUAAAAUGCCGAAGCCGACCUUCAGUCACUCGGCGUGUCCUCUAACACGCCGACCACGUGUUCAAUCGCUCGGCAUUACUUCUAAAAAUGCCAACGCCGACCUUCAAUCACUCGGCGUCGUUUCUAAAACGCCGACCAGGUAUUCUGUUGCUCGGCAUUACUUCUAAAAUGCCGAUGCCGACCUUCUAUCAUUCGGCACUGCCUCUAAAACGUUGGUCUUGUGUUCGAUUGCUUGGUGUUACUUCUAAAACGCUGAUGUCAAUCUUCACAAUCGCUCGGCGUUGUUUCUACUAUAUCAAAAGAAUCAGUUCAACAUUCAAGAAAAGCAAUGACAAGUCAUCAAAAAGGGGGGAUCAACAACAGUUCUUCAUUAAAGGGAAGUUAACGAGUUUACAAACCAACUCUUCACGAGUUGGUACUUCCCUACUUCUACUCUACAUUACUACUACUACUAAACUACACUAUACUACUCUACAUUAUUACUACUACUAAACUACACUAAUUACUACUACAUUAUUCUAACUAUACUAAACUAUACUAACAUCUAAGAAGACCAGUGGCGUCUAGCCACUGGCCCUGCCCCUGCCGCCGCCGCCGCCCUUGGUGCUGCCCCUGCUGCUGCCGCCCUUGGUGCUGCCCUUGCUGCUGUCGCCCUUGGUGCUGCCCCUGCUGCCGUCGCCGCCGCCACUGCCGCUGCCGUCACCGUCGCCGUCGUCGUCGUCGUCGUCGUCGUCGUCGUCUUCACCCUCGUCGCCGCCGUCCGAGUCCUCCUCAUCCGAGGAGUACUCCGACUCAUCCGAGCCUUCGAGCCCGGAGCGCUCGACGGCCCGGAUGUACAUCCAGACCUCCGCGGCUAUCCCCUGGGAGUCGUCCGAGUCAUCGGACGACGCCGGGGGAGAGACGGGAGCCGGAGACCCCUCGGACCCGGAGGAGAACUCCUCCUCCGAGUAUUCCGAGUCACCGAAAUCCUCAGAUGGAGGAGUCGGCUCGCGCUUGCGCUUGUUGUUCUUGCCCAUGGUGGAAGCAGACAGAGGGGAAGAAAAGAAGGUAGUAAGGAGCAGCGAAGAGAUGUGAAGAAACCAGAGAAGCAAAGGGGUUAUUUAUAGAAGGGAAAGGCAACCGCUCACUUCUAACCGCGGUCACUGAACAGUCGCAAGGCAUUCAAUAAGCACUUCCACCCAUCUGAAGACACGUCAGACGGCGGACGCCGUUUCAUGCAACACUACACCCAUUGGGACUCCAGUCAACAGCGCAAAGGAUAUGAUUACACUAGCCGUCCCAUCGCAUUACUACUCAGAGGCAACCGGCUAAAACACUCAGCGUACCAAGCCGUCCCUUGCCCACACCCAUUGGGGGGGGACGCCCAGGAAUUAUCAGUAUAUUUUUCAAAACGGUCACAUCCGUGCAGGGCAUGCAGUGAAUACCUCAAGACAAAAGUGAGAUAUCAGUAAGGAUCAGAGGAAAGCCAAAUAUAGCCAGCAAAGUACAAGAUAUGAUCGACAGAAGCGACGUGAAGACUAGACAGAGAACGUCCGUCAAACGUCCAAUCAAUCGCAGAAGCAAAUAAAUUGCACUACCUAGCAAGAUAUGGAUGGAUUGCAAACUCGGCUGCUAAAGACAAAAUAUACGCUGACCUUUGCAGCAAAAUAUUGAUGACAUAAUGCUGACCUCCAAAGCAUAAUGCAAAAUAGCCUCAUGCCAGUUUCCACAAGCGAAAGGAAGACCUUCGAAUGGAUUAUCCUUAAAAAAUCCAUUUGAAGGUCGGGGGCUACACCCAUUGGGUGCACCUCCGGUGCACCCCAUGGAAUAUUAUUCUAAACCGAUAUAGCGCCGACUUCUAAGGCGUAGAGCAAGAUCGAAAAGACUAAUCCUCAACCGAGAUGCAGGAGCGCGAAUGGAGACAACCUUUGGAAGAAGACCUUCGAGUAGAUUAUCUUCUAAAAUCUACUCAAAGGUCGGGGGCUACACCCAUUGGGUGCACCUCCGGUGCACCCAAUGAAGUUCAGAGUCUUACAAUCCAAAAUGCCGACCUCUAAGGCACAAGCACAAAACUAAACUUUGGUCGGACGAGUGAUCAGAGCCAGAGAAGACAGCAGGAAGUCAUUUUUUGGACCUUGGAUCUUUGAGUUGAUUACCUCUAAAUCAACCCAAAGAUCGGGGGCUUGUGGGGGAUAGAUAUCCCCUGGGUCCACUAAAGAAGUAAAAGGCCUCACGAAAGGCCCAAGGGCCCGAUAAUUCGUAAGGUCAUUCUUUCGUGGGCCUAGGGAAAGACAACCAACAAAGAAGACGUGAGACUGAUUAGUGCAAACCCAAGCGGCCCACAACGUCGAACGAAUGAAUCACAACAGAGACCCGACUUUCCCGCGCUGAAGCCCCCAUGCAACAGAGCCGUGCGAGGAUAAGUCGGCGAGGGGUACGUAGGGAUAAACUCAAGAGGUUCACUAUCUUUUAGCUACUUGUUGUUAUCAUAUUCACGUGUACUGCCCCACGGUCGAGUAUAUAAGGCCUAGGGGGCACCCCUUCAGAUCGAUCGACCCUGUUCUACUUAGCCACCCACAAAAACUCUCUGCACCCUCUAUCCAGAGAAUCCUCUUGUAACCACGCUCAUAUACUCACCAGGACGUAGGGUGUUACGCACUUCUAAGCGGCCCGAACCUGCAAACCUUGUCCAUUGUCCCUCGUGCGAUCGGCACGAACCAUUUUGCUACAGUCGUUGACACCGUCCUACUCCUAAAAACACCUUGAGGGGCAACCCCGGGUGUGCGGUCGGACCCAAAACACCGACAGUACUCACCCUUGCUCUACACACCAACCCCCCCCCCCCCAUCCCCAGGUUGUCAGCAUUGCAACCACUGCUCAGGCGAAGAUGAAGCUGUGGAAGGAGACUUCCAGGAGUUCCAAGACUACGACGAGUUCUAGGUGUGGGUUAGCGGCAACCCCCAGUCGGCUGCCUGUGAAGGCCGCGGUUAUCUACGUUUCUUUUCCGCACUUUGAUUUAUUGUAAGGACUAUAUGGAUGUCUCAGACGUAUGAUGUAAUCGACUAUUAUUUCCCUUUUUAAUACUAUUUGAGCACUGUGUGAUGAUGUCCAUGUUAUGUAACUGCUGUGUACGUGAAUAACUGAUCCUGGCACGUACAUGGUUCGCAUUCGGUUUGCCUUCUAAAACCGGGUGUGACAUAAGUGGUAUCAAAGUCGUGCUGACUGUAGGACCGCUAACCUAGAGUAGAAUGGUCGUUCUAAGGACUAUAGACCUCUGUCUCUGCCUUGACUUUGAUAUCCCUUCAAAAGUUGGUCAUACCGACCAAACCUAUGUUCUACUAUAUAUUAUACCUUGCUGAAAAUCACGUUUUAUUAUAAUCCUUCAUUUACUUAUGAUUCAUUAUUUGCUGGUCAUAUUAAUUCUGUUCUCACCCUUUUGCUUGCGAUGUCUUUUGUAGAUGGCUCGACUUAGACACACUGCACGAAAGUCCGUCAUCCCCUUCUUACCCUCCUGUCUUGCUGAGCGUCCGCUUCGCCGUCCCGUGGCCGGACAAUCCAGCCACUUGGAGAGACUGCACCACCGCCUGCAUGAGGAGCAGGAACGUCGAGGACAGGAGCAACAGGGCUCUUCUUUCUCGCUCCACCAGGAGAUAGAGUCCGUGAGGAGCUGCUCCCCCGUGCUUCCCCUGGAGGCGCCCCCUGCACCACCACUGGGCGCCCCAGCUUCUGGAGUAGCUGCUGGAGGAGACCCAGACGACGGAGGUGGCGACGAUAGCUCGAGCCACGACACCGACCUUUCUGCUAACCAUGAGCCGGAAGGAUGGGUUGCUCGACCCAUCACUCGCGACGCUGCUCGCGGGUGUCACUUCCACGAUGCGCUCGACACCCUGCUACGUCGGGCACUUAACCGGCAUACUUGGUCCAUCGAGUAUCGCUGUGUGGUCUACCAGCACAGUCGCGGGGUCUACCCGGACCGCUGGGAGGCAACCUGCUUGGUGCGCCGCCCGGAGAACAGUCUUUAGGGUGCGGAGGCCUGCUCAGAGCACUAUUCUAUCUCUGAGCGGGACUCAGCUGAGGCAGCCAUGCAAGAUGUUGCACGACGUGCGCUUUCGCACUACUGCUCGGUUUUCGGUGGGGUAGCUGACGGCCUUGACCUGAAGUAUUACCCCCGCCGUCCAUCUGGCAGCACAGGAGGCGUGAUGGUCUCACUUGUUGGUAAGGGCAAUCCUAGGUUGAGCAGCACAGUCAACCUAGCCGCCGUGCUAAACACGGAGCUGGACCAUGCAUUAGACGAGCUGAGUAGGGCUCGUGCUGAGAUCGCCCUGCUGCGGGCUGAGCGCGCGGAACGUCGUCACCUGGAUGGUGGUUCCCCCGCUCCCGUUGGGACUCAGCACCCGUACCGCUCACCUCGGCGUGGACACCAGCCUUAUGGCAAUCCCGACUGCAAGACCAAGAUAAAUCUGGAACCAUAGCUCGUUAGAGUUGGAUCUUGUAAUUAAUACAAAAUAUAUAUACGUAGAAGCUACAGUCUUAGCGUUAGUCUCGGUCUUAGUUAGUCUUAGUUAGACAGGGUAGUUUGCUAUAUCCUGUGCAUUUAUGCUUGUCAUGAUGAACUAUGUUUGGUUUGGAUCUUUGUAAUGACUGUCACCAGAGUGUGGGUAUCCCCUGCAUUAUGGUUUACCUGUUAUAUGUUAAUGGAGUUAGUUAUAUAGUUGGGAAACCUUUUAUUCCACUUUCUUCUUUAUCUGAGAAGUUGUGUGGUCUGUGUUGGAGAUCAAUGAGGAUGCUCAUCUGUCCAGUGCUGUUGAAGGAUUCUAUACUCUUCUCUUAUGCUGCAAGAUUUGUCAGAUCAGUUCUGAUGUGUGGUUGCAUUCUGCAGCUGUCAGAGAAAGGUUACAUCCGGCCAAGCACCUCGCCUUGGGCCGCCCCUGUCCUAUUUGUGGAGAAGAAAGAUGGCACCAAGAGGAUGUGCAUCGAUUACCGAGCUUUGAAUGAAGUCACAAUCAAGAACAAGUACCCUUUGCCCAGAAUAGAAGAUUUGUUCGACCAGUUGAGAGGAGCCAGUGUGUUCUCCAAGAUUGAUCUGAGGUCAGGUUAUCAUCAGCUCAGGAUCUGACCUUCGGACAUUCCGAAGACGGCAUUAAUUACCAAGUAUGGUUUGUAUGAGUUCACAGUGAUGUCUUUUGGUUUGACCAAUGCGCCAGCAUUCUUCAUGAACUUGAUGAACAGUGUAUUCAUGGAUUACCUUGAUAAGUUUGUGGUGGUAUUUAUUGAUGACAUUCUGGUUUAUUCUCAAAGCGAAGAAGAGCACACAGAUCAUUUGAGAAUGGUAUUGCAGAGAUUGCGAGAGCACCAGUUGUAUGCAAAGUUGAGCAAGUGUGAGUUCUGGAUCAGUGAAGUCCUGUUCUUGGGUCACAUAAUCAACAAAGAAGGAUUGGCUGUGGAUCCAGAGAAAGUGGCAGACAUUUUGAACUGGAAAGCGCCAACAGAUGCUCGAGGAAUCAAGAGCUUCAUUGGAAUGGCCGGAUAUUAUCGGUGAUUCAUUGAAGGGUUUUCGAAGAUUGCGAAACCAAUGACAGCGUUGCUAGGCAACAAAGUUGAGUUCAAGUGGACCGAGAAAUGCCAAGAGGCCUUUGAAGCGCUGAAAGAGAGGUUGACUACAGCGCCUGUCCUAGUCUUGCCUGAUGUGCACAAGCCCUUCUCGGUGUAUUGUGAUGCUUGUUACACAGGUUUGGGAUGCGUGUUGAUGCAAGAGGGAAGAGUUGUGGCUUACUCGUCCCGACAGCUGAAGGUUCAUGAGAAGAACUACCCAAUCCAUGAUCUAGAGUUGGCAGCAGUGGUUCACGCACUGAAGACAUGGAGGCACUAUCUGUAUGGACAGAAAUGCAAUGUUUAUACGGAUCACAAGAGUCUGAAGUAUAUUCACUCAGUCAGAGUUGAACAUGAGGCAACGAAGAUGGUUAGAGUUGAUCAAAGAUUAUGAGUUGGAGAUUCAUUACCAUCCAGGCAAAGCAAACGUAGUGGCAGAUGUGUUAAGCAGAAAGAGUCAAGUCAAUCUGAUGGUCGCUCGUCCGAUGCCUUAUGAGUUGGCCAAGGAGUUUGACAGGUUGAGUCUCGGAUUUCUGAACAAUUCGCGAGGAGUCACAGUUGAGUUGGAACCUACCUUAGAGCGUGAAAUCAAAGAAGCGCAGAAGAAUGAUGAGAAGAUCAGUGAGAUCCGGCGACUGAUUCUAGAUGGCAGAGGCAAAGAUUUUCGAGAAGAUGUAGAAGGCGUGAUAUAGUUCAAAGAUCGCUUGUGUGUUCCCAAUGUCCAGUCCAUUCGAGAGUUGAUUCUUAAGGAAGCUCAUGAGACAGCUUAUUCGAUUCACCCUGGCAGUGAGAAGAUGUAUCAGGAUCUGAAGAAGAAAUUCUGGUGGUACGGAAUGAAGAGGGAAAUCGCAAAGCAUGUGGCUAUGUGUGAUAGUUGUCGAAGAAUUAAGGCAGAGCACCAGAGACCAGCUGGAUUGUUGCAACCGUUGCAGAUCCCUCAGUGGAAAUGGGACGAAAUCGGUAUGGAUUUCAUAGUCGGAUUGCCUCGCACUCGAGCCGGCUACGAUUCCAUUUGGGUAGUAGUGGACCGCUUGACCAAGUCAGCCCACUUCAUACCUGUCAAGACCAACUACAGCAGUGCAGUAUUGGCAGAAUUGUAUAUGUCUCGGAUCGUUUGUCUUCAUGGUGUGCCAAAGAAGAUAGUAUCAGAUAGAGGAACGCAGUUCACCUCUCAUUUCUGGCAGCAGUUGCAUGAAGCCUUGGGCACCCAUCUGAAUUUCAGUUUAGCUUAUCACCCGCAGACAGAUGGCCAGACCGAAAGGACCAACCAAAUUCUUGAAGAUAUGCUGAGAGCCUGUGCGUUGCAAGAUCAGUCCGGAUGGGACAAGAGAUUGCCUUAUGCAGAGUUUUCCUAUAACAACAGUUACCAGGCCAGUUUGAAGAUGUCACCAUUUCAGGCGCUCUAUGGAAGGAGUUGUAGAACUCCGUUGCAAUGGGAUCAGCCUGGAGAAAAGCAGGUGUUUGGGCUAGACAUUCUGCUUGAAGCCGAAGAGAACAUCAAGAUGGUCCGAGAGAAUCUGAAGAUAGCGCAAUCAAGACAGCAAAGCUAUGCAGACACAAGAAGAAGAGAGCUGAGUUUCGAAGUCGGAGACUUUGUCUAUCUGAAAGUGUCACCGAUCAGAGGAGUCAGAAGAUUCGGAGUGAAAGGCAAGCUAGCACCCCGCUACAUUGGUCCGUAUCAAAUUCUUGCAAGACGUGGAGAAGUGGCCUAUCAGCUCAGUUUGCCAGAGAAUUUGUCAGCUGUGCAUGAUGUCUUUCAUGUGUAUCGGUUGAAGAAGUGCUUGCGUGUGCCAGAAGAGCAGUUGCCAGUGGAAAGUCUUGAAGUCCAAGAGGACUUGACCUACGUGGAGAAGCCAGUGCAAAUCCUUGAGGUCGCAGACCGAGUCACCCGGAGGAAGACUAUCAGAAUGUGCAAAGUUAGAUGGAAUCACCACUCUGAGGAAGAAGCAACCUGGGAGCGUGAAGAUGAUUUGAUGGCUAAAUACCCUGAGCUCUUUGCUAGCCAACCCUGAAUCUCGAGGGCGAGAUUCUUUUAAGGGGGAUAGGUUUGUAACGCCCUAAAUUUGGGGGUAGAAUUUUUUCUUCUUUUCUCUCACCAAAUUCGGGCGUUACUCUCUUUUCUCUUUCCCCGUUUGCUCCUUCUUCCCAAUUUCAAACCAGUAUAGCGACAAGUGACCGUGUCAUGUAUAAACCAAAACCUAAGUGUCAUGGGUGUUGCAUCAUGCCGAAGCACUUUUCUUUGUCUGAUGUUGAGUGUUUGUCUCGUUCCGUUCUGGAUUUCGAUUCGCAAUUUAAUUCCGUUUAGUGGUCCGCGCACGUCGUGGGUUUUCAAUCCGCGAAGUGGCUCGACCCAGCCUAGCCCAGCCCAGCCCAGCCGGCCCGGUCCGACCCGGCCCUGCGCGCCCCUGGCGCCCAACCCCCCCAUGCGCCCCCUCCUCUCUCUCUCUCUCAUUUGGAUCUCCCGCGCAACAACCUCUCCUCUCCCUCUUCCACCUCUCUCUCCCCGUGGUGCCCUAGGAUUUGGAGACGGCGAUCACCGGAUUUUGGACCCCGAGGUGAGCUCCCCUCCCCUCCCCUUCUCCUCUCUCUCUCCCUCUCCCUCCUCUUCUCUCCCCCACGCGCGCCCUCUCUCUCUCCCUGCUCGCACGCGCCCCCGCCCUCCCCUGGCCCGCGGCGGCGCGGCCCCCGCCCCCCUGCCUGCGCGGCGGCGCCCGCGGCCCCCGCCUGCUCCCCCCCGCGGCGCGCGACCCCGCCCCGGCCUCCCCGCGGCGGCGCUCGCCCCCGUCCCAGCCCCGUGCGCGGCGGCGCAGCCCCGGCGGCCCCUGCUCGCCCGGCGCGGCCCCCGGAGCGGCGGCGCGGCCCCGGCGUGGCCCCGGCGCGGUCCGGCCCCCGGCGCAGCCCCUGGCCGGUUCAACCGCCCCCCCGGUUCAACAGCCCCGGCCCGGUCGCCCCGCCCCCGUCCCGGCCUCGCUCGACCGUAUACUCGCUCGCCCGCGCUCGCGAUGAUUAUUUGUUAGUCGAUAGUUAAUGUCAAACUCCGUUAGUUAGCGUGCUGCGUCGCGCGCUUCGCCGCGCGACGGAUUGUCUAAAUUCAGAUUCUAUCUAUGUGCUGCGUCGUGCGCUUCGUCGCGCGACGAUCCAUUUUAAUUUCAGGUUGUUUAAGGUGUAACGCCGCGUGUGUAUUCACGUGACGUUCCACUUUGGACUCAGUUUAGUCGACGUAUGCUGUCGCGCGUCUCGCCGCGCGACCAUCCUCUUUAUUUAUCUCCACCUGCUUAUAAUGAUUAGACAUGAAACAUGACUUUACUUUACGCUAAACAUAGUGUCUACAUUAAAUUUCCUUACAUUAAGCGAGUGGUUAAUUUAUAAUCAUGUAACGUGAUCGUUUCUCGACUGUCUUUUCCUCUUUCUCUCUUAACCGUACUCGCGAACCCGCGUGGAACGUCUGUUUACUUAUUGCAUUCUAUUGUAUGGUGUACUGUUCUUUUGUAUUAAAUAUGUGGAUGUAUGUAUGUUUGCAAUCGCAUAGAGAACGAUCCGGUUGAAGAGCCCGAGGAACUCGCAGGAGAAGCCCCUGAGCAGCAGUCGGUUGGUGGAGGCAAGUGUCCCUUGACCUAUCUCUGUCCUAUUCAUUAUUUAAUUCACCUCCCGCAUUACACAUUUAUACCUAAGGAUUUACUAGCUUUUGUGAUCCAUGUCCUUGUUUACCUAUCUGGGUUGGAUUAUUAUUGUUUAGCUUUAUGCUAUUGCUCAAACUCUAAUCAAUGAACAUGAUGAGAUUAUCUAUGAUACGCUGUUUUCCCCUUUCUUAUGAUGAUGUUAUACUUGUGGUCUUCAAGGGGGCUCGAGCGGUUUCUCGAGUGCCUCUCCGUAAGGACCUGUUCUUUGGAUGACCGCCCGGGAAAACAGUGCAACCAUGAGGGUGGAAUGGGGUGCCCUUAGCUGAAUAAUUAGAGGAUCCGGGGUGUAGUUCGCUUAGCCGUCGUGCCGUCAAUGGGGCUCGGUGUAUGCGGCUCGCUCUGCCAAGUUUGGGUUCGCCCCUUGGGGAGGAGUGCGGUGCAUUUAGGAAACCUAACGGGUGGCUACAGCCCCGGGGAAUCUUUGUAAAGGCUACGUAGUGAUGCCCUGCUAGGCCACCUAGGUAGUGGUCAAUGGGGAGUAGCUCUCUCCGGGCAGAAAGGGAAUCACGGCUUGUGGGUAAAGUGCACAACCUUUGUAGAGUGUUUGAAAACUGAUAUAUCAGCCGUGCUCGCGGUUAUGAGCGGCCAAGGGAGCUCCAGUGAUUAGUGGUAGUUGAUCAGAGAUACUUUGGUACAGGUGGCGAUGAGAUCAAUGGUUUUGGUUAUGACUAUGGUGCUGGUAAGUGGUAUUCUUUCCGUUUGGAAAGGGUACAUCGGGCUAAUAACUUGGGUUAAUGCUAAAACCUGGCUUUUUCAUUAGUAAAUAAUAAUCUGACCAACUAAAAGCAACCGCUUGACUUAUCCCCACAUAAAGCUAGUCCACUACAGCCAAACAGGAUACUUGUUGAGUAUGUUGAUGUGUACUCACCCUUGCUCUACACACCAACCCCCCCAUCCCUAGGUUGUCAGCAUUGCAACCACUGCUCAGGCGAAGAUAAAGCUGUGGAAGGAGACUUCCAGGAGUUCCAAGACUACGACGAGUUCUAGGUGUGGGUUAGCGGCAACCCCCAGUCGGUUGCCUGUGAAGGCCGCGGUUAUCUACGUUUCUUUUCCGCACUUUGAUUUAUUGUAAGGACUAUAUGGACGUCUCAGACGUAUGAUGUAAUCGACUAUUAUUUCCCUUUUUAAUACUAUUUGAGCACUGUGUGAUGAUGUCCAUGUUAUGUAACUGCUGUGUACGUGAAUAACUGAUCCUGGCACGUACAUGGUUCGCAUUCGGUUUGCCUUCUAAAACCGGGUGUGACAGCGACCGACCGUUGCGCUGGCGACCGUUGGCUCACCGGACAAUCCGGUGUACCACCGGACAGUCCAAUGAAUUAUAGCCGUACGCCGCCAAACUUUUCCCGAGAACGGCCUGUUAACCGGAGACCAGUCUGGCGCACCGGACACUGUCCGGUGCACCACCGGACAGUCCGGUGUGCCAGACUGAGCUAAGUUUUGGCUACACCGAGCCAAGUCUUUUUCCCAUUCUUUUCUCCCUAUUUCUAGUACUUAGACAAAAUAUGUUAGUACUCAAAACAAUAUACUAAGUCUAGAAACGUACCUUGUUACAUGAUUUGCACUUCUUGCUUGUUUGGCACAUCAGAACUCAAUUAAAUGUGUUGGACACUUAAUCACCAAAACAUUAUAGAAAUGGCCCAAGGGCACAUUUCCCUUUCAACUAGACCAAGGGAAUGCAAUUCACAACCACCCUCAAUAUUCUUCUAUCUGCCAUGUUUUAGUGACUACGCAUGAGAUGUCUACUUUAAAAUAUUUAGCCGAACAGAUUUACUGUCAUGUUACCCCUUUUUUUAUACAAUUAUCUUGAGAACUAUUUGUUGAUAAAUUAAUUUUAAGCAAUUGGUUUUGCAUAUCCUUGACAUGACUGCAAUUUUCUUAGUAGUUACAUGUUUUCUUACAUAACAAGUUCUCGGUAAUUUUGGUGCGAUUUUCUUUGCUAAUGUAUAAUGUUUUUUUGUUUGUCGAUGGACUAGUUGUAAUUUGGGGACCUUGCCAUUAAAACUUUCUAGACUACUCUCGAUGAAAUAAACUCUAAGCAUAUCACAAGAUUUACCAAAGUCAAUCAUUUUUAGAGCCUUUUGAGGCAGAAUAAAUGUCUUUCACCAAUAAAUCAAUUGUUUGUUAUGAUAAUAGCUUCUAUAUUCACUAAAAAUAAGGAAUGGAAGGUCAUGGGAAUAAGGAAGAUUGUGCUACAAAGGCUAAGGAAUGGGUUACUGCUAAAUCUGUUACGGGAAACUAACAGAUUCAACAACAUGCCAUAUCUACAAGUAAUUGGAGGACAUCGUAAUGGUUACCAUGAUCAGUAUCAACAACUAGCUGGUCUGCCCACAUAAGUUAUAGAAGCUUUGCACCCACCAGUACCUCAAUCGAGUAUUGAUCAUGUGCCAUUUCUAAUGAUAGGUCAACAGAGCGAAAUAAACCAUUUAUUAGGUGAAGUAUCUUAUUUCCUUUGGUCUAUAAAUUUUACGUACGGAUGUGCAAGUUUUAGAAUGAAGCUGAAGAUUAUAUUGCAAAUAGAGGUCCAAUGGUGUCUCCAGCAAAAAAUGGUUCAUUUUCGUCCACCUGUGAGCAGGAGAUCACCUACAACAGAAUUGACAAUAAAAAUGGGUCCUUCGGCGCAAUGGAUGUCCUCCUGAGCAAGCGACACUUCCCAGCGGUGCCAACUCAGGUCCGUUGGAGUGGGGGAGGAUAUUGGAGGUGAUUCCUGCUGCCUUGGCCCCCAUCUCACCGAGGCGGCGUCCACCCCGGUCUCCCGCGUCCUCUUGGCCAUGACCUCCUCCAUUCAAAAACCCCGAGCACACGAGGGAGAAACGAAGAGAGUCACAAGGUCAAGGAGCUCUACCGAUGCAGACGCCGAGAGCGUGGGGAGGGAGAAGAUAGAAAAUAGAAAGCAAUCACCCUAAAGGAUGGUAAGUUAUGUGGGACCUAGUUGUGAACUUGUGAUUUGGUUAUUCCACCGGUGUCGAUGUGCAAAAGACAUGCCAAAAGGAUCAAUUGACCUUGUAGUAGUGAGUUGAAUGGUUUGUUUUCAUGUGUUCAAUAAAUCCUAUGUGAUAUAGUUCUCAUGACCUUUCUAUUUGACAUUGACUACUAAUGAGACCAUAAUGUUUUUUCUUUAUUUUCGAUGUGUGGGUGGGUCUUCCCGGCCUCCCGGCAUAGGGAGAUAUAUGCAUAUUCAUUAACCAUAGUUUAUUAGUUUGUGUCUAGGAACAACACACGGAAUUCUCGAGGAAACUCUUGGGCAACUAGAUGCUCUCACUUAAUAUCCGGAACACCUGACCAUUUUUGUCUGACCGCUCUUUGGACUUUGGAUCGGUUGUGAAUUCCAGCAUAAGUGUAUGCCCUUUUAUUUGUUGCAUUUGGUAUAAUAAGAAGGAUACAUGUUCUAUAGUUUCUCAUGCCUUCUUGUUUGUUACCUACAUGAUAAGGUUAUAAUCUGCCCCGAGUCACUGUAUUUGUUUUUUAAGGCCGAGUGGUUGGUUGUUUUUAGGGUGUAAUUGUAUUUGUUUUUAAGGCUGAGUGGUUGGUUGUUUUUAGGGUGUAAUCGAACCAGAUACAGACGAAUAUUGUUGGUACCAUAUUUGUUUUUAUAUUUUUCUUUUCGAAUUCGGAUUGGAUAUGAAUAUUAUUAUCGAGGUGUGUCGGAUAAGAUUUGAAUAGAUAUCGAUAUCUUGAAUAUUCAACUUUGAGUAUAAGAAUAUGAAUAUAAAUUGCAUACGGAUCGGAUACUGAGUACCCGAAAUCAAAUACGGAUUGAACAUCAGUCUUCUAUGGGCUAGUUUGACAACUACACUUUCCCAAGAGAUUCCCAUUUUCUAAAGGGAAAAUAAACUAAUUUUCCUUUGGAAAAUAAAAAUACCUUGAAAAACUAGGUUGUCAAACUAGCUCUACGACGAAUCAAAUAAAUAAGGACAAAUAAUAUCCAUAUCAUUUACGUCUUUAGUUGGUUUGAUUUUGCAUACCAAAAGGAGACGUUGUGAUGGAAGUGAUAUGUCAUAUGUCCAGAUCAAAUGAGAGGAAAUCUCAGUUUGAAAUAUAUAUAUAUAUAUAGUAUUUAGAGCCCUGGGCUCUACUUAACUACAGGAAGCCCCACCAGGUGCGCAGACCGCACCGAACUUUUUUUGCUUAUUGUACCUAACUGUGCUUACGCUAAAUUAUAAUACGAGUUAUGCUGAUGUGUGUAUCAGUUUAUGCAAAUAUAGUCUGCGCAUAUUACGUGCAUCAGGCCCACGAUCCGGCCCACGCGCUCACAAUUAUCCAAUCACAUGCUGCCACUAUAAAAACACCCCCACGCCGCCAGGGAUUAGGUUUUAGCGGCGGCUGCGGUUCCCUCGGGCGUGCGAGCAUCGGUGAUCCUGGGGGGGCAGCAGCGGUGUCGCCUCGAGGCAGGCGACCGACGGCGGCGCUCCGCUAGGAACGAGCGACAACGACGCUCCGAGGCAAGCGGGCAAGCGGUGACGGCGCUGUCGAAGCGGACGGACGACGGCAGCGCACCCUAGACCCAGCGAUAACGACGGUUGUCCCGUCUGUCUCUGUGAUGGCCACCGUCGCCGCCGCUCCAGCAUCUGUGGCACCGUCCCUUGCACCCAAGGCCAACGACAACAGGAAGGCGGUGGUGCCCGUGGAUGCGUCGGAGCUGGAGAAGCACGUGCUGGCGGUGGACGACAAAUCUGUGGACCGUGUCGCGAUCGCCAGGAUCCUGCGUGGCUCCAGGUACAGGGUGACCGCCGUGGAGUUGCUCGCGAUGGGACUGCUCCCCGACGUCAGCAUGAUCAUCACCGACUACUGGAUGCCUGGGAUGACCGGGUACGAGCUGCUCAAGCGCGUCAAGGAGCCGGCGGCGCUCAGGGGCAUCUACGUCGUCAUCAUGUCGUCUAUGACCAUCGUGAUUUAUACAUUUUCAAACAAAAUUUUACGAUAGCUCUUAUUGCAUUUUACGCUUCCACUAAAAAGCAAGUGCCACAUUCGUCGUUACAAGACAGAUAAUUGAUUUACGCUAAAAUUCGUAUCCAUUUACGCUGUUUCGGAUCACGUUUUACGCUUAAAUCCACCUGACCUAGAACCUAAGCAUGUUCGGAGCGCGAUUUUCACGUCGUAAUUUAGGCCACAUUCGUCGUUACGAAAUAUAUUGAUGAUGUACGAUAAAAUUUGUACCCAUUUACGCUGUUUGGUUCAUGUUUUACGCUGAAAUUUGACCAAGCCAAAAUCCGUGCAUGAUCGAACGUGAUCAAUUUUCACGCCGUAAUUUUCGGACCCCAUUCGCUGUUACAAAAUAGAUCUAUAAUUUACGUAAAUUUCGUAUUCAUUUACGUUAUGUUGAUUCACGUUUUAUGAUUAAAUCCACCCGAGCCAGAACCCUAGCACGAUCGACUGCACGCGAUUUUCACGCCGUAAUUUUGGGCCCCGUUUGAUGUUACAAAACAGAUAUAGCUUUUACGCUAAAUUUCAUAUUCAUUUACGAUGUUUUAGCUCACGUUUUACGCCGGAAUCUGCCCUAGCCAGAACCCGCGCAUGAUUGGGUGCACGCGAUUUUCACGCCGUAAUUUUGGGCUUCAUUUGCUGUUACAAAACUGCUAUAUGAUUUACGCUAAAUUUCGUAAUCAUUUAUACUGUUUUAGCUCACGUUUUAUGCUGGAAUCCGCCCGAGCAGAACCCGCGAACUGUGGCUGUAAAUUAAAAUUUAUUUCCUUCUACUAAUGCUCCUCAAACCGUAACUAUCCCUUUAUUUACGCGAUUAUGCAGCACGUCUUUCCUUAUAUCAAACCGGUCAAUAUUUAUAUAAUGCAUGGUUUAUGCUAUCAUGUUACACAUCGUUAUGCAGUCGUAAACGGUGUGCACAUGGUAAUAUUCGUUUCCGUGAGUCGAGGUACAAAAUAUUCCUUCUAUGCAUGAUUUAUACACAUUACUACAUAUAUUUAUGCGUGCAUAUAUCUCCUGACGCGUAUCACCCGGGAUUCGUGGCUAUCAUGUGCAUGGCUGACGCAAGCACACGUACACUAGGCCGACCGCGGUCUGGCUGGGGCUUCCCCACUAACGAAAGCCCAGGGCUUCCAUUACCUCUUCCAUAUAUAUAUAUAUAACACACACUAGCCAGUUGGUCGUGCUCUACUACGAUUUUUAUAUAUCAUAUAAAUAGGUAUUAAAAUAUAACUAUUUUUUAUUUAUAAACACUAAGACACGUGUGGCUUUUGGUUAGCCUCACAUUUUCGGGGUUGGGUGUGUGGGUUCAAGUGCUCGCUCUACACUUUUUUGCGCGGUAUGGUAGCUGCGUGGGUGGGGUCUGGUGUUGAGCUAGCACCAGAUGUCCACAUUAGGUUCUUAAUAGAGUACUAUAGAUAAAUAUGUAUUGAUAUAUUUAUUCAAAUAUAAUUGUGUGGGUUUGAGUGCUCGUUUUGCACUAUUUUUGUUAUAUAUAUAGUUUAUCUAUUAAGAGACCUGGGCUUUAUAUAACUGUGGAGAGUCCCGACCAUCAACACUGCAAAUCCAUUUAAGCCCACGUUCGAUCACUUUUUAUGCAAGCGAACUGAUUUAGCGUAAACGGAAAACCACUUUAGCGUAAACAGAGUAAAAGUCGCGAGCCCUCGUUCCAGAAAAAGCGGUUUUAGGCCCAUUUAUCACGUGGUCAACCAUAUCUUCCUUAGUCAACACAUGUUUACACUACUCCAUUCUCCUGUUUAUACACAAUAGCGAUUUAGCGUAACUACUUCAUCCGACCCAAGUUACAGAAAUACAGGAUUAGGCCCACUACCCCACUUCCCACGCGGUCAAACAUUUCUAUACCCUAACCCCCGCGCGGUCAACCUUCCUGGCCGACUCGCCGCGAUUCUUCAGGCGUCGCCAGGGCGAUUCGUCUUCAUCCUCUCCCGACAGCGCGAUUCACCGUCCUCCGCCGCCGCACGCCCUCAACUUUAAUCGUCGCCGCUGUUGACAGUAUCGUCGAGCCGCUGCUGCUGUCAAUCCUCUGCGCCUCGCGUCACAUUGGUACACGUCCGCGGACGGUCUGUCGUCCGGAUUCCAAGGUGCUCGAGUUCCUCUAUUAAAUUUAUGCCUUACAAUGCAACUUCCUAAUAUCCUUCCUCCCCUCCGGCAGUGCGAAUCGCCUUUGUUUGUCCCCGCGCGAACUCAACCCUAAUCGGCGCCGCCGUUGACAGUGUCGUCGAGCCGACCGCCGCUGUCAAUCCUUCGCCAUCGCGUCACAUCAACGGUCGUCCUCUGAUUUCCUAGUUUUUUUCAGACAGGAGGUCAGAACGCCUACACUCAUAGUAGCUUUCAGUAGAGAAUUUAGUCAUGUAUAAAUGUUUAGGUUGCUGCUUAUUAACUACUACUGCUGCUGCAUAAAUAUAUAUUUUCCAGAGGAAAUACUGUUUUAGAUGAACAUUAUGUUGGUUUGCAUAUAUGUAUAUGACAGUCUAUAGUACUCUCAUAUAUAAGGUAGGGAUAGGGAGCUUCACCUUCCCUCCUUGAAAGCAAAUUGUGGCGCUUCCGAGUAUGUGGUAUUCCUAGCCUUGAACAUCAAAUUUGAUCAUAAGAAAAUCAGAAUAAUUGCCAAACUGUAAUGCCUUAUAUGAAUGCACAAUUUGUUUAUGCACUAUGGCAACCAAUCAAUCAUGGUUUGCUACACCCUACUCAGGUUGCAGUUAAUAUUACAAACAAAAAACAUUCUCUUUUUAGACAAAGGGAACUGAAACAUGAUUGCUGAAACCGAGACCAUAAUCACCAAUUUGAGACCAUAAAUGGUAGAAGAUUAUUUCUUCAUUUUGUUAUUUGCAAACCGAGACCAUAGUUACUUGAACGCAAUAAAAAUUAUAUCAACCCAUCAAUUACAAUAAUGAAACACUGAAAUGACCCCAAAAGCACAAGGAUCUUGAAAUAAAGAUCAUACUCAACUGACCUAUUUUUUCUUAUCAUACUCAACUUGAGUCACCAGCCCAAACAAUUUAGGCGGUUCUAGAUAUGUAGAGAGGUCAAACAACAGGCAUAUCUCUACAUUUUAGACGGUUCUAGAUAAAAAAGGGACAAGACUGCAUAAGUCUAGAACUUGUAGAGCUUGUUUAGUAACAUACAUCAAUUCCAGAAUGUGAUUCAGCCAGUUGGAUGUUUGCUUUUUUCAAGUAAAUUAUUAGAGUUUUAUUAUGUAAAAGUGUUCCAGAUGCACAGUAAGGGUCUAAUAUCCACGUAAACUAAUAUGUUAUGAACUGCAGAAUUUUGAACUUAUGGUUGCAUGUUUUUGUUUUAGUCAUGUAUAAAUGUUUAUGUUGUUGCUUAUUAACUACUACUACUACUGCAUAAAUAUAUAUUUUUAUGAGGAAAUACUGUUUUAGAUGAACAUUCUGUUGGUUUGCAUAUAUGUAUAUGGCAAUUUCUACAAUGCAAUGAUAUAAUUUUUUUGAUGUUUUGUUCACUUACCAUUUAUGUUGUUAGGGUCAUAUAACACAAUUGAUGAAUUAUAAUGUGUAUGACUGUGUUGAGUGUACAAUUGGUUCGUAUAAUCAUUGGUGUAUAUGUUGAUGUAACUCAAUAAAGCACAUAUGUUUUACAUUGUUCCUUUGCAGGCCGCUGCUUCAAUUAUGCGAAAGGUUGAUCGACCCCAACCAAUCUGAAGCGUUUAAUCAUUGAGUCAAGUCAAGAAUGUUUCAGUGUUGACAUUCCGCGCUCGACUGACAUUGGAGACCCUACAAAUACGCAGUGUGUUGGUGAUCCUUCGUAGCAUAGAAAGAGGGGUGUUGCUGCCGAUGCUAAAAAGAUUCCUAUGCCUAAUGUGGAUGAUGAUGACUUUGAGCCACCAAAAAACAAGUGCAAUAUCACAAUGGAUGCCCAAAUAAGACGCAAGUGAGUUUACAACAUUGCAGAAAUUUAUCGUUUCCAAUAUUUUAAUCAUGCAUCUAAUCACAAUACAUAGCUUAUGUGCUUAAAUAUAUAGGUUUCAACAUUACCUUAGCUCAUUAAUCCAAAACAGUCAUAGGCCAAGGAACUUUGUAUAAAUAAGAUCACAUAAAUUGUGAUAUUUAAUUAUUAACAUAUUCAUCCAUCUAUCUACGUUUUCAUUACAGAGACUCAACAUCAGAUGCAACCCAGGAGAUGUUCUCGCGUCCAUUCAGAUAUUGAAUGAAAGGCAACGUCAAGCUAUAGUCAGAAAAGGCUUCUCCAGUAUUCUUGACAUGACAAUUGAUGCAAUUGGAUGUCGAACACUUCUUUGUUGGCUCAUGAAGAAGCUAGACCCCAGAGACAUGACUCUUCAUAUUGGUCCAGACAAAGAACUCAAAAUCACCAAGCAGAUUGUCCAUCUGAUAUUGGGUCUUCCAAAUUCGGGUGGUGGAAAGCCACUUAAUAUUGUUGAAGCGAACGAAGCGGCAACACUUCGGUCCUCCUUGAAUAUUAGCAAGGAUGAAUUUGUUAUUUCAAAGCUACAGGACAGAUUGAGGCUAGGCCAGGAUGAUGAGCUUUCUAUCAGAUGUUUUUUUAUUCUCUUCAACCGGCUGCUAUUUCCAACAACUAGUUGGUCGAUAUCUUUCAAUGAGGUUCUACUUACAGAAGAAUUGGAGCGAUUCCCUCAAAUUGAUUGGUGCCAUCUAAUUUUUAGUGACCUAUGUGAAGCUGCCCAGAAAUGGCGCAAUAGGAGCACUAAUAAUGUGUCGGCGACGAUAUAUGGUUGUUCCAUCGUUGUUCUUGUAAGUUUCAUACUUAAUUUGGCAAAUCUUUUAUUAGAUUAAUCAAUUGCAAUCUGAAAAUACAUACAUAUAUUAUGUGUUUACGUUCAUUUGCAUAUGACUCUCAUGAUAUAUAUAUGUUAUGUAGUUGUAUUAUUUGGACCACUUGCACCAUGCCGCAGCUCCCAACAAUAGAAGUGGCACUCCGUGCAUAAAGUAUUUUAAUAAGAAUAUCAUAAGGGCGUUGUCAAUGGCUGAUAAGCGUAAGCCUCGCCAGGGAGGCGAACCAUUUGGUGUUUGCCCUGUGAGUAUUCAUUUAUUCUAUCAUAAUUUUAGCUUAAUGCACAUUUUUUCGAUACUAUAUUGUUGUUUGUAGUGUUUACAUUUUGCACAUUACAAGGCGUCAUCUAUGUUAGGUGUCAUCACAUCAUAUUUUUUCUGUUUUUUACAACAAUGUUAUUUAUGACUAUCUACAAAUUUAAUGAUUUUAGUAGUCAUAUCAUGAUCUCAAUUCAUGGCAUUUGUCAAUCCAUAUACAUAAUUCUUAAUUUUCAUUCAGUUUCAUCAGUUUGGGAGGAGCAGUGAGACUUGUUAUGUCUCAAAAUCGCCAUCUACUAGUCAGCUUGAGGUUAGAUCACAUAUCCACUAUGUUCUUUGUUUGUCUGUUUCUUUACCAUACUUAUUCUAUCAUUAUUAUAUUUUUUACUUUAGUCUACAAUGAGGCCAGAAACAGUUGAUGAAGACCCAAAUGAACAUGGCUGACUUCCCAAUAUAAACAUCCAACUGCCUCUUAUGCAAGACCUGAUGGCAACUAAGAUCCAGAUGCUUCCUGUACAUCAACGCCAGAAGUUCCAAGCUAAGUUAAUUGAUUAUGACUUAGUGAAAGGGAAAUAGGGUCAAACCUUUUCCUAAAUGAUUUUGAUGGUUGAAUUGCCCAACACAAAUAAUUGGACUAACUAGUUUGCUCUAGAAUAUAAGUUCUACAGGUGCCAAAGGUUCAACACAAACCAAUAAAAAGGUCCGAGUUAGGGUUCAAAAGAAAAGAGCAAAAGAAAUCGAAGAGGACCCUGGUCUGGCGCACCGGACUGUCCGGUGCACCAGGGAGGAUCGACCUCAAACUCUUCACCUUCGGGUUUCUUCAGGCGCACUCCGCUAUAAUUCACCGAACUGUCUGGUGUGCCACCGGACUGUCCGGUGCACCAAGCGGAGCAACAGCUAUCAGCGCAACGGUCGACUGCACAAUGCCCUGGCAGAGCUACAGUUUGCGGCAGAAGUCAGAGCAGGCGCCAGAGGCGCACCGGACAGUGAACAGUGCCUGUCCGGUGCACCAAGAUGUCAGAGCUCCAACAGUUGAAACCGUCAGAACCCUAACGGUUGGGUGACGUGGCUGGCGCACCGGACAGUGUCCGGUGGCGCACCAGACUGUCCGGUGCGCCCAUCGACAGCAGCCCAACCCCAACGGUUUGUUUGGUGGUUGGGGCUAUAAAUACCCCCAACCACCACCAUUCAAGGCAUCCAAGUUUUCAACCAUUGCAUUCAAUACAAGAGCUCUAGACUUCACUCCAAGACACAAACAAGAGAUCAAAUCCCCUCCCAAGUCCAAAAUCACUCCCAACACUUAGUGACUAGUGAGAGAGAUAUUUUCGUGUGCAUUUGAGUUCUUGUCGCUUUGAUCGCUUUUCUUCUUCCCCAUUCUUAUUCUCAACACCUUUGUAAUCAAAGCAAGAGACACCAAGUUGUGGUGGUCCUUGUGGGGUCUAAGUGACCCAUUUGAUUUAGGAGAAAAGCUCACUCGGUCUAGGUGACCGUUUGAGAGAGGGAAAGGGUUGAAAGAGACCCGGUCUUUGUGACCACCUCAACGGGGAGUAGGUUUGCAAGAACCGAACCUCGGUAAAACAAAUCACCAUGUCAUCCGCUCUAUUUCUUUGGUUGAUUUAUUUUCGCCCUCUCUUUCGGACUCGGUUAUACUUCUAAUGCUAACCCGGCUUGUAGUUGUGCUUAAAGUUUAUAAAUUUCAGAUUUGCCUAUUCACUCCCCCUCUAGGCUACUUUCAAUUGGUAUCAGAGCUCGAUACUUCAUUAGAGUCUAACCACUCGAAGUGAUGUCGGGAGGAUCCGCCAAGAGGGAGAUGGAAACGAACACAAGCCGCGAGAAAGCUCCAUCGAAGGAGUCCGGCGCCAAAGGAAGGGAGGAAUCACCUCCCCGCGUCAAGUCGCAUCGGAGUGGCGACAAGAAGAAGAAGAUGAAGAAAGUGGUCUACUAAGAGACCGACUCUUCGUCGCCAUCCACCUCCAGCUCCGACGCACCGUUCGUCACUUCUAAGCGCCAUGAGCGCAAGAAGUUUAGUAAGAUCCCCUUACGCUACCCUCGCAUUUCUAAACGUACUCCAUUACUUUCCGUCCCAUUAGGCAAACCACCAGUUUUUGACGGUGAAGAUUAUUGUAUGUGGAGUGAUAAAAUGAGGCAUUACCUAACCUCACUCCACUCUAGCAUUUGGGACAUUAUUGAGUUUGGAGCGCAGGUACCAUCCGUAGGGGAUGAAGGAUAUGAUUCAGACGAAGUUGCCAAAAUCUGGCACUUCAACUCCCAACCCACUACUAUACUCCUCGCCUCUCUAAGUCGAGAGGAGUAUAAUAAGGUGCAAGGGUUGAAGAGUGCCAAAGAAAUUUGGGACGUGCUCAAGACCGCGCACGAAGGGGAUGAGGUGACAAAGAUCACCAAGCGGGAGACGAUCGAGGGGGAGCUCGAUCGGUUCAUCCUCAACCAAGGAGAGGAGCCACAAGCCAUGUACAACCGUCUCAAGACCUUGGUGAAUCAAGUGCGCAACCUCGGGAGCACAAAAUGGGAUGACCAUGAAAUGGUCAAGGUUAUUCUAAGAUCACUCGUUUUUUUAACCCUACACAAGUUCAAUUAAUUCGUGGUGAUCCUAGAUACAAGCUAAUGUCUCCCGAGGAGGUUAUAUAAGAAAGUUUGUGAGCUUUGAAUUGAUGAUCAGAGGCUCCAAACAAAUCAUCGAGCGAGGCGCCACCUCCACACCCGAGGUGCAACCCGUUGCAUUCAAAGUGACGGAGGAGAAGAAAGAAGAGUCUACGUCAAGUAGACUCCCCAUCGAUGCCUCUAAGCUCGACAACGAGGAAAUGACGCUCAUCAUCAAGAGCUUCCGCCAAAUCCUCAAGCAAAGGAGGGGGAAGGAUUACAAGCCCCGCUCUAAGAAAGUUUGCUACAAGUGUGGUAAGCCCGAUCAUUUUAUUGCUAAAUGUCCAUUAUCAAGUGAUAGUGACAGGGGCGACGACAAGAAGGGAAGGAUGAAAGAAAAGAAGAAGUACUACAAGAAGAAGGGCGGCGAUGCCCAUGUGUGUCGGGAAUGGGACUCUGAUGAGAGCUCCACCGACUCCUCCUCCGACGAGGACACCGUCAACAUCAUCGUCACCAAAGGCCUCCUCUUCCCAAACGUCGCCACAAGUGCCUCAUGGCAAAGGACGACAAAAAGAAGAAGGCAAAAUCUAGAGCCUCCACUAAAUAUGCAACAUCUAGUGAUGAGGAUAGCUCUAGUGAUGAUGAAGAAAAUUUGCUUGCUCUUUUUGCCAACCUAAACAUGCAACAAAAAGAAAAAUUAAAUGAAUUGAUAGGUGCUAUUCAUGAGAAGGAUCAACUCUUGGGUAGCCAAGAGGACUUCCUUAUUAAGGAAAAUAAAAAGCAUGUUAAGGUAAAAAAUGCUUAUGCUUAGGAAGUAGAAAAAUGUCAAAAAUUAACUAGUGAGCUUAGCAUUUGCCAUUGUUGGGGGCCUUCGUCUUCUGAAGGUCCUCAAAAACAUGAUUUAACAAUGUUUCUGGAGUUUAAUACAUGAACAGGUACCUUCGGACUCGGAACAGAACUACAGCGUGAAGAAGCACAAAGAAUACGAAGGUUGGCACGAAGCCGAAGCUAUGCGCAAGGGAGCUUCGGCAUGAUAGCAGAAAAGGGAACCGACUUAAAAGGAAAAAGGCUAUUUAGACCUCGAUGGAUCACUAUAGAGUCAUUAGCAAAUGAAAAGGGCAUGGGUGUAAUUUUACAUGGGCUGCGUCCCGUGCCUAUAAAUAGAUGAACAGUGCUCCUGUACUAUUCACGCUGACUCGGCAUUUGCUUUUGCAUCACGCCUGUACCUUUGUUGUCUAUCAAGUCAAAGGUAUCAAAUGUAACUCAAUAUUGUUUUUAUUCUCUCAUGAUAAUAUAAUGGAGAUGAAUUGAUACUACUAUAUGAUUGUCUAUAUUAUCUUUUAUAUUUUGCGCGCUUCCUUUUAUUACCUUCAUAUCUUCGAUAUACGAAGGUAUGUAUUUUUAACCUUCAUCUAAAGAUCAUUAUGUCCCAAGGGAAAUAAUAUUUCGGAGGAUGAAGGGAUUUAAUAUUUAACAUUCUAUGUUGCCUCGUUCUUGAUUCAUAGCAUUUGAGAACAAGUCCCCAACAUUGGCGCCCACCUCCGGUGAAUCCUUUUCGACCACCUUCAGCAAGCUUGACCUUCGUCAUGCCAUCGAAGAAAGUUUCAGCGCCAGGGGCUGCCGCUUUGCAGCCGCUGGACCCGAACCAGGAGACCCUUUCUCUUCGACAGGCCCGAAGCCAGAAGAGGAAGGCCACUAGUCCAACACCCCAGGAGGACGAGUUGGACCAAGAAAUCAGAAACAUGGAGAUGCUUCAUCAACAAGUACAAAGGAAGAAGGAGAAGAUGGCUCGACUAGCCGACCUUCAAAGGCAGAUUGACGAAGCCACUGAAGAAGUACGCCAUCUUGCUCAAGAUGAACAAGAACAAAGGCCCCAACACAGGGAGCUUCAUCAAGAAGGCAUGUUCGAUGAUGGAUGGUAUGAUGAUUUUAAUCAUGGUACCUUUACUUUUGACGAUGCUUCUCCCUUGGCAGCAGAACUGCAAGCUAUCCCAUGGCCCCCAUCGUAUAAGCCACUUCAGCUUCCGAUGUAUGAUGGGCAUUCAGACCCGAAGCAGUUUUUGAUGAGUUAUGAAGCAACUAUAUCCUCAUACGGAGGUAAUGCAGCUGUCAUGGCCAAGUCCUUCAUCAUGGCAGUCAAGAAUGUAGCUCAAACGUGAUAUUCUUCUCUUCGGCCAGGGACCAUCACUUCAUGGCAGAAGCUUAAGGACAUGAAGUCAUAGCUCAGGCUCUGUUUCAAUGCACGCAAGACCAUGAGGAGUAUCUCUAGGCAUAAGUUUGAAGGUUCUUGCGUCUAAGAGCACAAGCGCCUACAGUGCCCAAUGAGAUCGUCAUUGAGGGCAUGAUCAAGGGGCUUCGUCGAGGACCUACGGCCCAGUAUUUCGCUAGAAAGCCUCCACAGACUUUGGAGAAGCUGCUUCAAAAGAUGGAUGAAUACAUCUGUGCUGACAAUGACUUUCGCCAAAGAAGGGAGGAAGCCUACAGGUUCUCUGAGACGACCAGGGGCUUCAGAGGAAGAAUCCACCCAAGGCAUGUCAGGUCAAUCCACUCCACCCAGAGUGACGAUAGAGGAAGUGAACAGCAGAGGCCGCAAUAUUCCUCGCAAGCUUCGGGGCAACAACAAAAUUCUUUCCGGCCACCAGCUCCAAGAGGCAGAGGCGCCAGGGGCUUCGGAGGAAGGUUUGGGGAUCAGCCUAGGAAAAUUUAUUGCCUAUUCUGUGGUGAGGACAAGGGCCAUACUACAAGGAUGUGCCAUGUCACCAUUCAGAAACAGAAGGAAAUAGCAGAAGCCACAGCUCAAUAGAACCAAGCGAAGCAGGUCAUGCACACUGCUUCGUAUCACUCGCCCUACAUACCAGAGUAUGUGGGUAACCAUCCUGCAACUUCUGUGGCUUCGGUUAGCCAGCCACAGGCAUCCUGGCAACAACCUCCACCUCCACCACCACUACAACUUGCAUAUUCACGAGGCCAGCAGCCAGAAGGGAGCCAUCAGCAGCGAGAUUUCAGGGAGGAGUCCGAAGCUCGCACAGUCAAAAGUACUGUGCCAGAAUCGAAGCAUAUCUAUUGAGAGAUAUCCUACUCCUGAAGCAAUCUUUACAUUCAUCGUCACUUUCUUUUUUACUAAGGAACAAUUCUCUCGUUAAUUUCAAUUUCCUGUAAUAACUUCGUUCUUGCAAUAGUGAAAUAUAUCUUCUCCACAAACUCACGAAGUUUGAAAAGUCGUUCUAAAGGAACGCAGCGUAAGUUGCCGAAGCUACGAAAAGUCGUUCUAAGGAACGCAACGUAAGUUGCCGAAGCUACAAAAAGUCAUUCUAAGGAACGCAGCGUAAGUUUGCCUAAGCUACAAAAAGUCGUUCCUAAGAGAGCGCAGUGUAAGUUUUCUGCUCAAAAGUCGUUCCAAAGGGAAUGCAGAGCCAAAUACCGCCGAAAUAUAAGGCGAAGCGCGAAAAGUCAACGUGAAUACCGCCGAAAUAGAAGGCGAAGAAGUUCAAAAGGCGUUCCUAAGGGAAUGCAGAACUUACAGCGAAAAGUCAGCGCUGAUACACCGAAAAAUAAGCGGUGAAGCCGAAAAAUAAACGGCAAAGAGAUUGUGUAUUCCACUAUGGGAAUGUGUGUCUUCGGCACAAAUAUCAUUUUGCAUAGCAUAACAUCAUCACAUCAUUUCGCAUAACAUAACAUCAUACAUCAUAUUGCAUCAAUGGCACAAGAAGGGGAUACAAUGUUAACCUUCGGAGAAUGCUUCGAAGAAGUGAAAUUGUGCUAAGGCACAAAAUAAGUUUUGAAGAAAUACAGCUUCAUCAGCUCUGAUACGGAGGAAAAAAUCUAUUGUUGAUGAAGCAUUAAUGUUUUGGCGACACUUGGAGGAUUUUUUACGAAGCAUUCUGUUGUGGAGGAAAAAAUCUAUUGUUGACGAAGCAUUAAUAUUUUUGCCAUGAUUGGAGGAUUUUUUAUGAAGCAUAAAAGCCCUUCUUUACGAAGCAUGAAAAGAAGGGAAGGUGUUUUUUCGCCGAAGGCUCAAAAACGGUAUGUACAUAAAAGUUCCAUGCAUCGCAAAGAAAUGAAUUACAAAGCCAUUUAUAUAUUACAUUCAAAACCCAUGAGCACCAAAUAUUACAAGCAUAGUCCACCAAAUGUUACAUUCACAUUCUACAAAUGUUUUUACAAUAGUUGUUCUUCUUCUUUCAAAACUCUAUCUGCAACUUUGGUCAGCAGGUGGGUGACGACUUCAACCAUAAUGGUUUCGGCCAUGCUAAUAAUUUCUAUUGAUUCCUUUGCCUCUGGGUCGGCCAGUGACUCGAAGGGCUCUGGGGGAGAAGAUAGUUCAGCUGCGGUAGAAAACGUAAAUCAGUUCGAAUUCAUAAAAAUAAACAAUAGAGUUAAAAGCUAUAAAGCAAUACCUAUCCGUCUUUCGAGUUCCGCAACUUUUUCAGCUGCUUUCGCUGCUUCUCUAGCGUCGUGAGUAUCUUUUUCGCUCUUCUUUAUUAUUUCGUGGGCCAUCCCUCGGCCGCCAUUUUCCCAGAUGUCAGUGAAGAAUUUUCCACCAAUUAAGCUUGCUUCGGCCGAGAGGUCUUUCGUACCGUCAACAGAGAAAGCAGCUUCGGCUUGGGCCAGAAUUUUCACAUGUUCGCACCCUGCUUUCUCCAAAAUACUUGCACCAGAGAAGGCACAGACGUCCCCUCGGUCGCUCAAAAUUUCUUCAAAAGCUUCGGCUUCGUUGCUGAUCCACUCAAUUGGGCCUUCGGGGUCGCCCCGUACAAAGUUAUCUUCACUUGAAUAUGCGUCAACAUUGGCGAAGCUGGUUUUUAUCUUUUUCACACAUUCUACAGAUUUUUCAAAACAUCUUUCUUUGGAUAUGCGAAGUUCUUCGAUGUUUCUCUCUAAAUAAUUUGUCCAUUGUUCGCUAAUUUCUCGUUUGGCUUCUGCGACUGCGCACUUCUCUUUAGUUUCGGCUAAUUGCUUCCGAAGGUCUUCAAUCUCAAUUUUUUGGGUUUCAGAUUGGGUUUUGAAGUUAGCUUCAUCUCCCUUUACUUUGUCCACCAAUGUAAGUAGAAUUUUGUCUUUUUCCAAAGCUUCGUUCCUCAGCUUAAUAACCUCUGUUCGAAGGUUGUUGAGAGCAAUAGUGCAACUCUCGUCUUCGGCAUUCUUUUGCGCCCUUAAGACGUUGCUGAGUAUUAAGCCCUACACCAAAGAAUGAAUGAAUCAAUAUAAGAGCCAAAGGCUAAUUCAAAAUUCAUAAAAUUCCAAAUUCGUACCUUCAGACUAUUGUAUGCGAGGCUAUCUACAAGAUCGUCCUUCGUCAUGGCGCAAAGGCCAGCUUCAAGCUUCGGAAACCCCAUACUUCUGGCCAUCUCCCGGCAGACAGAUAAUUCUUUGUUGUCUGGGAGGCAAUAUAAGAAGUCAUCUUCGUAUGUGCCAUUGAACACUAAGGCCCCUUUCGGGUACCUCAGUUCUCGGGCAUAGUGUUUAGCUUCAAAAAUAUCUUCUUUAGAUAAUCUUUUUCCCGAAGCGUGUCGUAUAAUAUAAUCAAGAGCUUCGAGAGUCCCUUCGGGAGUGGGAGUGGCAACUUUUUCAUGCGCAAUUUGUUCUACAACUUCCGUUUCCGCUGCCUUUCCUCUGGUUUCCAAGGAUUUUUCCUUGGUAGGCUCUGAAGGCCCAGCUUCGGCGUCGGCCUGGCUCUUUGUAGCUUCAGCUUUGGUCAGCUUUGUCUCGGUUUCAAUCUGCGUUUUCGAAGCCUUGGCAGUUUUCCCUGGAGUAGAGCUUGAAGCUUUUAUUGUCUCCAGCACAUCUAGUACACAGGACAUCCUUUUUCUCUUGGGAGUCGCUGUAAAACCUUUUCUUCAUCUUCAACCACAAAUUUGCUUAAGGGUAACCGAAGCCCAGCUUUCAAGAAGCUUCGGUAGAUCACAACUUCAUUUUCUUCGGUAACAGGAACAGUCUUAUCUCCGAUGUUAGCCCUCACAAUAGACAUAUCCCGAAAAUACCUUCCUCUCAUAUUAUCGAGAUGACUCUGUUUAAUAGUUGAUUUUCCGAAGACUGAAUGGCUUGGCCGCCAGGGUCGAUCUUCGGAGUCUUCGCCCCCACUUUCUGCAUCAUAGCUGUCGCUGUCAUCAGUAUCUUCAGAUAAGCCUUCUAGAAUUUCUUUCGUAAUUUUCUCUGUAUUGGUUUUUGCAAUUGACUCAAUGAAUCCAGCAGUCUUCUCCUUAAGGAGCUUCUCCUCCUCACUCAGCUUCGUCUCAGCAACAACUUUUUAUCUUGAGACAUCUUCUCUUCGGAAACGGUGAAAAUGUGUUCUUAAAACCGAAGCUUUCAAAAUCUAAGAAACUAAGCAAAUGUUGGCAAACAAGAGCUAAAAAAUUAAGCAAAGCAAAGCAGGCGUACCAAAUGUGCUCGGGGUGAGUUCUUAUUUAUACGCCCAACGCGCUCCGAGUUGGAGGGUCCCGUUUGUCAUUGACUGUUGCUAUUCUAGCAAAGGGAAGGUGUUUUUCGGACCUUCGGCUUAAGGCCUUCGUCCAUAUCUCAAUCUGAAUUCGUUAUUCUAACAAAUUAACCUUGUGAGGGGCUACUGUUGGGGGCCUUCGUCUUCUGAAGGUCCUCAAAAACAUGAUUUAACAAUGUUUCUGGAGUAUAAUACAUGAAUAGGUACCUUCGGACUCGGAACAGAACUACAGCGUGAAGAAGCACAAAGAAUACGAAGGUUGGCACGAAGCCGAAGCUAUGCGCAAGGGAGCUUCGGCAUGAUAGCAGAAAAUGGAACCGACUUAAAAGGGAAAAGGCUAUUUAGACCCCCGAUGGAUCACUAUAGAGUCAUUAGCAAAUGAAAAAAGCAUGGGUGUAAUUUUACAUGGGCUACGUCCCGUGCCUAUAAAUAGAUGAACAGUGCUCCCGUACUGUUCACGCUGAUUCGACAUUUGCUUUUGCAUCACGCCUGUACCUUUGCUGUCUAUCAAGUCAAAGGUAUCAAAUGUAACUCAAUAUUGUUUUUAUUCUCGCAUGAUAAUAUAAUGGAGAUGAAUUGAUACUACUAUAUGAUUGUCUAUAUUAUCUUUUAUAUUUUGCGCGCUUCCUUUUAUUACCUUCAUAUCUUCGAUAUACGAAGGUAUGUAUUUUAUAACCUUCGUCUAAAGAUCAUUAUGUCCCAAGGGAAAUAAUGUUUCGAAGGACGAAGGGCUUUAAUAUUUAACAUUCUAUGUUGCCUUGUUCUUGAUUCAUAGCAUUUGAGAACAAGUCCCCAACAGCCAUGACACUAUCUCUAACCUUAGAAUUGAAAAUGCCAAAUUAAUUGCUAAGAUGGAGAAAUCAAAUGUUUGUAAUAAUUCUCUUGUCAACCUUAAAAAUGAUAAUGCUAGUUUGAUUGCUAAGAUUGACAAGUUGAAUGAAUCACUUUCUAGCCUUAAGAUUGAGAAUGAUAAAUUAAUGUCUAAGGCUAAAGAUUUAAAUGUUUGCAAUGUUUCUAUUUCCAAUUUUAGAAAUGAGAAUGCCAUGUUACAUGCUAAGAUUGAUGAAUUAAAUGUUUGCAAACCCUCUACAUCCACCGUUGAUCAUGUUUCUAUUUGCAUGAGAUGUAGAAAUAUUAAUGUUGAUGCUAUCCAUGAUCACAUAGCACAACUAACUAGUAAAAUUAAUGAGCAUGAGAUAGAAAAUGAAAAUUUUAAAUUUGCUAGAAGUAUGCUCUAUAGUGGGAGACGCCCUGGCAUUAAGGAUGGCAUUGGCUUCCAAAAGGGAGACAAUGUCAAGCUUAAUGCCUCUAAGAGAUUGUCCAAUUUUGUUAAGGGCAAGGCUCCCAUGGCUCAGGAUAACGAGGGCUAUAUUUUAUAUCCUGCUGGUUAUCCCGAGCACAAAAUCGGGAGAAUUCAUUAUAGGAAGUCUCAUUCUGGUUCUCAUCAUGCUUUUAUGUAUAAGAAUGAGGCAUCUAGUUCUAGGCAAUCCACUCAUGUUAAAUUGCCUAAAAAGAAAACUCCUACUGCAUCAAAUGAUCAUAAAUUUUCAUUUAAGACUUUUGAUGACUCUUAUGUUUUAACUAACAAAUCGGGCAAAGUAGUUGCCAAAUAUGCUGGGGGCAAACACAAGGGCUCCAAGACUUGUGUUUGGCAAGGUGCUUGUUUCUAAUGUCAAAGGACCCAAGACCGUUUGGGUACCUAAAAACAAGGCCUAAACUUGUUUUGUAGGUUUAUGCAUCCGGGGGCUCAAGUUGGAUCAUUGAUAGCGGGUGCACAAACCACAUGACUGGGGAGAAAAGGAUGUUCUCCUCCUAUGAGAAAAACAAUGAUCCCUAAAGAGCUAUCACAUUCGGGGAUGGAAAUCGAGGUUUGGUCAAAGCACUUGGUAAAAUUGCUAUAUCACCUGACCAUUCUAUUUCCAAUGUUUUUCUUGUAGAUUCUUUAGAUUACAAUUUGCUUUCUGUCUCUCAAUUAUGCAAAAUGGAUUACAACUGUAUUUUUACGAAUAUAGGUGUUACUGUCUUUAGAAGAAGUGAUGAUUCAAUAGCAUUUAAGGGAGUAUUAGAGGGUCAGCUAUACUUAGUUGAUUUUAAUAGAGCUGAACUCGAUAUUUGCUUAAUUGCUAAGACUAAUAUGGAUUGGCUGUGGCAUCGCCGACUAGCCCAUGUUGGGAUGAAAAAUCUUCACAAGCUUCUAAAGGGAGAACACAUUUUAGGACUAACAAAUAUUCAUUUUGAGAAAGACAGGGUUUGUAGCGCAUGCCAAGCAGGAAAGCAAGUUGGUGCCCACCAUCCACACAAGAACAUCAUGACGACCGACAGGCCGCUUGAGCUACUCCACAUGGAUCUAUUCGGCCCGAUAGCUUACAUAAGCAUCGGUGGGAGUAAGUAUUGUCUUGUAAUUAUGGAUGAUUAUUCUCGCUUCACUUGGGUAUUAUUUUUGCAGGAAUAAUCUCAAACCCAAGAGACUUUAAAGGGAUUCUUGAGAUGAGCUCAAAAUGAGUUCGGAUUAAGGAUCAAUAAAAUAAGAAGCGACAACGGGACAGAGUUCAAGAACUCACAAAUAGAAGGCUUUCUUGAGGACGAGGGGAUCAAGCAUGAGUUCCCUUCUCCCUACACACCUCAACAAAAUGGUGUAGUGGAGAGGAAGAAUAGAACUCUAUUGGACAUGGCGAGGACCAUGCUUGAUAAGUACAAGACUUUGGACCGGUUUUGGGCGGAAGCAGUCAACACCGUUUGAUACGCCAUCAAUCGACUCUACCUUCACCGAAUCCUCAAGAAGACAUCAUAUGAACUUCGAACCGGUAAAAAGCCCAAUGUUUCAUAUUUUAGAGUCUUUGGUAGAAAAUGCUUCAUUCUUGUUAAAAGAGGUAGAAAAUCUAAAUUUGCUCCUAAGGCUAUAGAAUGCUUUUUACUUGGUUAUGACUCAAACACAAGGGCAUAUAGAGUCUUUAACAAGUCCACUAGGCUAGUUAAAGUUUCUUGUGACAUUGUGUUUGAUGAGACUAAUGGCUCCCAAGUGGAGCAAGUUGAUCUUGAUGAAUUAGAUGAUGAAGAGGCUCAAUGCGUCGCUCUAAGGAACAUGUCCAUUGGGGAUGUGUGUUCUAAGGAAUCCGAAGAGCCCACUCAUGCACAAGAUCAACCGUCAUCUUCCAAUCAAGCAUCUCCACCAACCCAAGAUGAGGAUCAAGCUCAAGAUGAUGAAAAUGAAGAUCAAGAGAAUGAGCCACCUCAAGAGGAGGACAAUGAUCAAGGGAGAGAUGACAAUGAUCAAGACAAGAAAGAUGAUCAAGAAGUACAGGGUCAAAAACCGCCACACCCAAGAGUCCACCAAGCGAUACAACGAGAUCACCCCGUGAAAUCCAUCCUCGGCGAUAUUCAUAAGGGGGUAACCACUCGAUCUCGUGCCGCUCACUUUUGUGAACAUUACUCUUUUGUGUCUUCUACUGAGCCAUAUAGGGUGGAAGAUGCAUUAAGAGAUUCAGAUUGGGUGUUGGCAAUGCAAGAGGAACUCAACAACUUCACGAGAAAUGAGGUAUGACAUUUGGUUCCACGUCCUAAUCAAAAUGUUGUAGGAACCAAGUGGGUAUUCCGCAACAAGCAAGAUGAGCAUGGUGUGGUGACAAGGAACAAAGCCCGACUUGUGGCCAUGGGAUAUUCACAAGUCGAAGGUUUGGAUUUCGGUGAAACCUAUGCACCCGUAGCUAGGCUUGAGUCAAUUCGUAUAUUACUUGCCUAUGCUACUUACCAUGGCUUCAAGCUUUAUCAAAUGGACGUGAAAAGUGCCUUCCUCAAUGGACCAAUCAAGGAAGAGGUCUAUGUUGAGCAACCUCCCGGCUUUGAAGAUAGUGAGUACCCUAAUCAUGUUUACAAACUCUCUAAGGCGCUUUAUGGGCUCAAGCAAGCCCCAAGAGCAUGAUAUGAGUGCCUAAGAGAUUUCCUUAUCACUAAUGGCUUCAAAGUCGGCAAAGCCGAUCCUACACUUUUUACUAAAACUAUUGCAAAUGAUUUGUUUGUAUGCCAAAUUUAUGUUGAUGAUAUCAUAUUUGGGUCUACUAACAAAUCUACUUGUGAAGGGUUUAGUAGGAUUAUGAUUCAAAAAUUCGAGAUGUCGAUGAUGAGGGAGUUGAAGUAUUUCCUAGGAUUUCAAGUGAAGCAACUCCAAGAGGGCACCUUCAUCAGCCAAACCAAGUACACUCAAGAUAUACUUACCAAGUUUGGAAUGAAGGAUGUUGUCGGAGAGGAAAUCUCCGGCCGGGUGGCGGAAUGCACCCGCCCUAAAUCCUUAGAUGAGAAGGGGCCUAUGCAUUUUUCCUGUUAGGUGGAAACGGGAAGAACACACAAGGGUUUAAAGUGGUUCGGGCCGUCGGAGCGUAAUACCCUACUCCACUGUGUGUUGUAUUGAACUUGAGAGCUUGUGUGAACUUGUGAGUGUCUGAGUGAGUCUGUGUCUGAGCCUUCUUGAACCUAUGUUGUAACGGUGGAUGCCUCCCCUUUUAUAGUUAAGGGGGACACGUACAAGGGUACUGAGCCCCGACAUGUGGGCCCAGGGACAUAACGGAUGUAAUACUUGGAGCAACUAAUGUUCGUUGCUGGUGCAAUCUUCUUGCGCCCUGACAUCCGUGAUCUGCGUAGUAUUGGCGUGCAGGAGAAGCUUUCCUGGCAACGUAUAAGUGCUUAUGGACACAGUAUUAUGCAAAAUUCUGAAAUCAUUUUUGAUUUACUAUGCAAAAUUCCGAAAUCAUUUUUCAGCAUAGUUACAUUCUACUUCUAUAUUCUGUUUAACUUUUUCUUAUGCUGUUAGUAAAUGUAUUUGCUUUGAGAAUGAUAUAAGAAGAAUAUAUUCAAUUACCAAUCUAUGUGACAACCGAGGGAGAUAAUGGAAUUUUAGCUAUGCUGGUGUCAGUUGAAGCUAUUUGAGGUGAAGUUGUAAUAGAGAAGCGGAUUUGCCAUGUGACACUCUCCUCUCCAACUCCAUCAAGCUUGGCAUCUCUCUUUCAUCCCUGGCAGAUUAGGGUGAGGGAAUUUUUGGGUUGAGGAUUCAGACCUUUGAGGGAAGGAAGGUCAGCUCGGUGGUGGAGGUGGUUGCUGGGUGUAAUGAUAAGGUGGUAGGGAUGCUGUGGUGGAGGAUUGGUAGGGUUGGUGCGGGGGUAAUUCACUCGACAGGUUAGCGCAGCUGUGUGGAACGGCAGCGGUUCUGGCUGCAGGAAAUGGGAGGAGGACAAGACGGAGGCUGCCAAUGGAGAUAGGGGGAGGUGAGUAGGCAGAGCCCUGGGGUCCUCCUUGGGGCGUGGACGCGUGGUUGUAGGAAGAAUAUGAUGGUUGGAUGAAAAGGGCAAAAGGUAAAAGAAAGGAGAGCCCCUGGAUGGAAUAUUCUAAUAAGAUCCAAUGUCCCAAAAUUUGAGUAUGGGUAGACAGGUGGUAGAGAUCAACACAUAGAUAUCCACUAGGUGCACCCUAGAAAAGCUUGUCACCAAGGUCAUCAUGUGAAUUCUUCACAUUGGUGCUUUGUUCACUAGUAUGAGUUUUUUUUUUGCUUUAAAAAAUCCUUUUUUAUAUAUUUCUCUUUGCGUUAUUGACUUACCGUAUGUCUGCCAGUUUUGGUGCAUUGCAAGAUACUGUUUUUUUUUCUUAUCAAAUGUUCAUUUGUUCUUCAUACAAUUAUUCUUGGUUCAGGUGUGAAGGGUUCUCUACUUAUCCAAGGACAUAUGACCUUAUACAUUCUAAUGGCAUCUUCAGCUUGUACCAAAACAAGUAAGCAUGUGGCAUCUGUAAAUUUGCAGUGGGACAAGUUUGUGAAUAAAAUAAAACUUCCUAACUAAUAUCUGUGUUCUUGAACAGAUGUCAGUUUGAAGAUAUACUCCUGGAAAUGGACAGAAUCUUACGGCCGGAGGGUGCAGUCAUAAUUCGUGACAAGGUUGAUGUUCUUGUAAAAGUGGAGAAAAUAGCCAAUGCCAUGAGGUGGAAGACAAGAUUGGCUGAUCAUGAGGGUGGCCCUCUUGUACCUGAGAAGAUACUCUUCGCGGUCAAGCAAUACUGGACCGUUGCAAAAACAAGCAGCUAACAUUAUUCGUAUUUUAUUUUUUUCUCCAGUCACAGGUAACUUGGUCCCUGGAUGUGUUUAUUGGGGGGAAAAUCUGCCGGUUUGAAAAUCAUCAUCCCAUGUUUGUUACUAAAAAUAGAAAACGAGCUUACAAUCACCCUGGAGGAUGGUAAGUUAUGCGGGACCUAGUUGUGAACUUGUGAUUUGGUUAUUCCACUGUUGCAGAGAUGCAGAAGACAUGCCAAAAGGAUCAAUUGGCCUUGCACUAGUGACUCAUAUAGUCAUAUCUGAUCGGACAGAUGCAGCUGCUUAUAAUUGGAACCCUGCAGCAGUCCAGGAAGUUAUGAACUAGCAGUGGACUUACAGUUUUGUAUAGGAUACUCAUUUACCUCUACACGCACCUCUUUUUUGUUGUUGUAUCUC